rnacentral:lncRNA from 1 species
AACAAUAGACUAGAUUAAUAGUAAACCACUUCAAUGGUAUGUCUACAUGGGUAUCUAUAGCUCUCUAAUCCAUUGUCUCGUUUUUCUCUAUAGACUAUCUCCAUGUUAGUAGAUAGCUUUGCUCUCUCUCUUCAUUUAAUCUCUUUCAAGUAGGAAAAUAUGCUGACAUGGAUCUCUUGUAGAGAGCUUAUAGAUAACCAUUGUGGGUGCCCUUAUACCAUACUUACUUAUAGAUAUAUACUAUACCAUUAAUGCAUAUCCUAUCUCACAUAGGUUAUUGGAGCUUGUGUUGUAGUUGACUACAAAUCUUUAACCAACUUUUCUCUUUCCUUCAAGUAAACACAAAUAUAGUGUGGUAAUAUGUAGAACAUACUUGCAUCGUCAUAUUGAGUUGAUUUGGUUUGUGGCCUAAAUAGGCCUUACCAAAUUUUGUCUAAUUUUGGUAAGGUAAAGUUGUAUUUGGAUUGAAGUCAAAAUAGCCUAAGUUUACUAUUGAAAUGGUCUAUUUUCUUAGACAUGCUAAAAUUUGGCUUCAAACCAAAUAGACAGUAAAUACUAUUGAAAUUGUCAAAUAUUGGUAAGUCUAAUUUAGGCCUCAAACCAAACCAGUCCAUUAUACUCGCUCGGGUCAAAAGAGGCUAUAGGCAGGGUAGAGUGUCAUUUGGACCUUGAACAUUUUAAAGAACAAAACAUUCAAGUUAAUAUUUUACUCCUGAUGAGAGAGUUGCUGUUACAGAGUGUGAAAAACCUUAGGAUUCCUGAACAUAUUUUACUCCCUGAUGGGUAAAAAGAACAGAGUGAUUAAUUAAUGUCUGAUGCUGGGCCCAUCCAAGACCAAUCAUGGUGGAGCUGCAGUAACUGUUACUCCAAUAUUGACCAAAUGUUUGUGUGUACGUACUGUAGUAGUAGAAUGUAUGACCAGCUAGCUAGUCAGAUUCCAAAGAAAGAUAGUACUAGUAGUAAAAAUAACUGAAAACAGGCGUACUAUAGUAGUAAUACCUAGUACUACUGAGUGAAAGCAGGGGGUGUACUCUUGUACGUGUUUCACGUGCUAUAUGUAAGAGCAGGUACAAUAACAAAUUAUAAAUAAAAAAGAAAAUAAAGAAGAGAGAUGAGCAAUUGGCUAUAGAUUUAUAGCCAGCUACAAUAUGGACUCGAAGACACAAUUUAUAUAUAACAUGUAGGAUCAGAUAUUAAUAGUAUAUUAUAUAUUUGUAGGUAACUAUUAUAUAAAUUGGCUAUAAAUGAUUUGGAGCUAUUAGUUGGCUAUACUACUAUUAAACUUGCUUGGCUAUACUAUUAAACUUGCUCUAAGCAGAAGUGGUGAACAAAAGCCGGGAGUACACCCUCAGUUCCUAAGUAGAGCAAUUUUUGGUUGAAAGAGAUACAGAGUACUUUCCUAAGGAUGAAUUUGGACAUACUCCCUAUCUAAAUUCAUAAUAUUAGGAUAUAUCACAUCUGACAGAGCGUGGGGCUCCUCACCGGGAGACCGCGCAGGCCCCCCUUUGCCGGUUCGGCCGGGGGCUCAGGGUGAAAUCCCAAGCUCUCUCUGUAUGUGGAAAGAUCGCGACCUAUCGAAAGAGCAUGAGACACAGGCGAUGUAUACAGGUUCGGGCCGCUUAGAAGCGUAAUACCCUACUCCUGUGUUUUGGUGGAUCUGUGUAUGAAGGAGCUACAAAGUGUGAGCCAGCCUCUCCCUUGUUCUGGGUUCCGAAUCUGGCCCCCCCCCAAAUCCCCCCUUUUCUAAAUGGGCAAGGUCCUCCUUUUAUAUUUCAAGGGGAUACCACAUGCACCCCCCUCUCUCCCAACUGGACUUUUCUUCUCUUCAUAAAUGGACGGAGAUUUGCAUGGUUGCCCUCCGAAUGACCUUCUGACGGGACGGCCCAUACCUACCUCCACUUCUGCCGAAGGCAGGCGCGUCGUGGGAACGUGGCUGUCUGCUGACGACAUGAUCAGUGUCAGACCGGUCACAAGUCGGUCAUUCUUGUCCACCAUGCGUCAGCUUAGCAACAUGCAUGUUUGCCCUUCUUCACACAACAUAUUGCUUGUAAUGGUUAGGAUGAAGCCUGGCAUAUAUCCGACCGGGGCUAACGUGCCAUCUCUGGGAGGUAACACGCUAGCUCCAGCUGGGGACGAGUGCCUAGAAGCUCUCGUCUUGACGGGAUGGGGCGAAGCGUGCGUCAGACCGCCUGUCGCCACCUAACCCGCGAUCUGACCGGUCUGUGACUGGUCACAGACCGGAUAAACCAGUGCACUGCACUGCAUUUCGUGCGGCGUGACACGUUUAGCCGAGCCGCAAUAAAUGCGGUUAGGUGAGCCCCGCUGUGUUCACCUAACCCAUACACGCGGAGUAGAACCCGCGAGGGGUCGGGGCGCCUCGGCCCUCGGGGGCGAGGCAGGAGUGGUCCGACCCCCCUGGGGGAGACCAAGAGGUGGGCGCACACAUCACCCUCGGGCCCGACGUCCCCCGAGGGUGCCAGGCCACGUGGUGUAAAGUAUCUCUUCCCUCGACAGUCGUCUAAGGUCCCUCUAUCAAAUACUAGUCUACAUUCUCACACGGAUUCUGAUAAUAUAUUGUUAAUGUAAAAUUUAAAAAUAAAAUAAAAUCCAAAAAGAGAAAACACUGAUUUUUACUACUCAUAUCACCAGUUUUUAAUCGGAAUCCUGAGCUAUAUAUCAAACAAUGACUAAGUUCCUUUUAUUUUCUUUACAUAAUUCUCGCCUUCUUUUUAUCCUUAUAGGCUAGGUUAAUUUGUAACACAUUUUGCUACCUUAAUUUAAUUAAGGAACAAAUGGUAUAUCUCCGAUACGCAGCAGGAAGCCACCAAAAUAAAGGCCUAUUUAAUAUUGACUAGCUAACAAGAGUAAGCAUGAGAUAAGUUUAAGACUGCUUAAGUUUAACUCUAGUUCUUUUGUUGAAGUUCUCAACUCAACUUAACUCUUUUGUUUUUCACGUACACACCUUUAAAACUAUUAAACAGUAUGUUUUUUUAAAAAAUAUAUACAAAAGUUGCUUUAAAAAUCAUAUUAAUCCCUUUUUAAAAAAUAAUUGAUACUUAACUAUCGUGAUUUAAUGAGUCGUUUCUUUUUACGUGCGUGAGAGAUGAGUUUUCAACACCGAGCACCGAACUCAGCUUGAAGCUUUAGAUUCUAAGAAACAAUGGAUGAAAAUCUAGCAAGUAAUUAAUUAAUUUAGAGAAGCUAAGAUAACAACUUUUAUCUUUCAGUUUGUUAUCUAAGUAUAGUAUCUUAAAAUUUUAAAAAAAGCUAAAUUAUUUGGAAAACUUUAGUUCUUAAAAAAAUUGUAGAUGCUAAAGUCUUCGUAAACAUGUCCUCAAACUCGGGUGGGGAUGGUCUAGGUAUGCGAUUGAACUAAUUAAACUAUGGUCCAGCUCUGCUAUAUAUCUUAAUUUACUUUGACACGUGAACUUGUCAUGAAAAAUAUAUAAUGCAAACCAAAUAUGUAGUGAAACUUGAAAACUAUCGUUGGAUUAAAAAAAUAACAUUUGAGAUUGAUCCACGUCACGAAAAGAAAAAAAGUUUUCAGGAGUAAAGUUUUUACUCAUGAUGUGGACAAAUCUCAGCCAUUUAUUUUCAGAUCUCACGAUAGUUUCCAUAUUUGUAUUACAUAUGUGGUUUGUAUUACAUAUUUUCCUAAUUUAUCGCUGGCCGGUGAAAAAACAUGUUGAAGUUUGUGUUCUUGUGGCAAACACAUAUCUUAGUUUAUGAUUUGUUUUUUAUAAUCGAUGGUAUUGCUUGGGAAGCUUAAGAUUUUGAGAAAUGAUAGUUAGCUUUUGAGAAUAUUGAGAAGCUCAGAUUCUGACUUCUAGUUUAUUUGGGAUUGUUUUUGACUCUAGAAGAAGCUAUAGAUGUCAGAAGUUCCCUAAACGGACUCCUAAUGCAAAAGAAUGCAUUUCACGAAAGAAAGUUAACUUUCCUCUAUUCAAAGGAAAUGCUUGACAUCGGGAAAAACACAAAGGUGUUCAUAUCCAAAGCAUGAUUGUUGGAUAUUUGUUUGGGAUCAUAUGGCUAUAUGUCAUGUUUAGAGAGCUUGAUAUCUGUAACUACUCGUGGAGUUUUUCACUGACUCAAACAAUCAAAUUCUCGCUUAAAUUAUAUGAAUCAGUAGCUAGCUUUUUCUUAUUCACCUCAAAAUAUAGUUUUAGAGCUUUUAUUCACCAGUUUUGAUGUAUACAACUUUCGAUAGAAUUUUAAUAAGAUCAUGGAUGCAAUCACUGGUUUGUCUCUUAAAAUGUGUGUUAGGGGACGCAUUCACGGGAGUGCGAGUGUAGUGCUACAUAUAUAGUGGUGUGUGUCCGUGUGCCAUGUAAUCGAAUGGCCUGUUUAUAUUGUACCCAAAAUAAACCUUAUAAAAUUUUGACAAUGACAAAAAUUUGGCAAUUUAAUAAUAUAUAUUGCCAAAAUUUUGGUAGGAUUUUUUAUGUAUUUACUAAAGUUUGGCAAGAAACUAAAUGAAUGUGUUUAUUUGACAACUCUAAAAAAAAUGGUAUGGUUUGAAAUGACAUCGAUCUGAAUAGGUCCGAAAAUAAAAAAAAUGUUGUAUGAUUUUAUAAGGUAUAGGAAUACUGCCGUUGUGUUUGUGUAGCGCAACUGUGCAUAGUACAGUGUCUCAUGUUCUCAUGAUCUCGUCCCUUUGCCAUGCCAGACGUACCUGCCCGCCCAGUCACCUCGCCUGCGUAAUCUCUGCAUAUGCAUCGCAAUUCGCAAGAGGCGAGAGGGAGGAUCCAAUGCUGCUGACACGGUGGGUCCCACAUAAACUGACACCGUAGCACAUCAGCACGCUUUCUGAGCUUCUCCCUCUCCGGUCUCACGGUGUCCCCCGCCUUGAGCCUGGUGAAUGACAGGUGGGCCCGUCCUGCGCGUGGGACCAACCGGUCAGGGGGUCGGUGCGGAGCUCUGGGCUUUGCAGCUGCAGGUCGCACGUGUCGCGGGGCUCCAUAGCGGAUUGGAUGUGGGCCCCACUCUCCCCAGCCGCUAAGAGCAUGUACAAUAGCAGACUAUUAGCCAGCUACAAACAUAUUUUAAAGAGAUAAAAUAUGAGAGAGAAUAGCAACGGGGGCUACAGAUCUGUAGCCAGCUGCAGCACGGACUCCAAAGACACAAUGUGUGUAUGACAUGUGGGACCAUGUACUAAUAGUAUAGUAAGCAAUUAUUGUAUGAAUUGGCUAUUAGCUUGGCUAUAUAUGAAUUAGAGCUAGUAGUGGGCUAUACUAUUAAACUUGCUCUAACCACACGCGGGUUUUGGUUAUAGACUUCAUAAUUUUGCACAUCCUUUUACAGAAAAUCUAUCGUACGGUAUUCUGUGGAGACGGAAUAGUAGUACUGCCUUAUCUCCUUUUCCUCUCUCUCUGUAUCUCUUCCCCUCCACUCGCUCUCUCUCUCUGUCUCUUCCCCUCCACUCGAUCUCUCUCUCUCUGACUACCACCCAUGAGCACGGAGGCGGCAACGGCGACGACGGUGGUGGCAACGGCGGCGACGACGAUGACGACGGCGAUGCCGUCACUACUAGCCCCCGCGGAUGACCUAGACGACAGUCGGCGGACCACCACGGGCGACGGCCGCCGUCGAGAAGCCUCCUCAUCAAGCUCCUCAAGCCGCUCCUCCUCUUCAUCAUUCUUGUCGCUGGCUUCCUCGCCGCUGCCGCCCUCCUCCUCCUCGGCUGCGCUGGCGCCUCCUACAGUCGGGGAGCGCUUGGCACAACAUGAGCGACGAGGAGCUGCUCUAGGUGGCGUCAAUGGAGCUACGGGUUCGGCGGUUUGGAGCGAGGCACGACGACGAGCGACGGAAUGGCACAAGGUAGGCACCAGAUCUAUCGCCUCCUCUUCCUCUUCCUCCGCCGCCGCCCAGCUGCUCGACCUCCCCGACCUGCAACUCCUCCUCCUCCUCUUCUCUCUUGAGAUAUCACGCUGAUACCCAGGUACCAAGGCCUGAUACCUAGGUAUCAGCUCGAUACCUAGGGUACCAGGUAUCAGUCGAUACCAGGGUACUAGCUGAUACCAGUGUACUAGGUACCACCUCGAUACCUUACCCAAGGUACUAGGGAGGAUUGGAUAAGGUGGAAUCACAGGAUAGCAUGGACCUCCCCACGAAAUUGACUAUGCGUAUUAAAUCUCUCGGGAUUUUAGUUAUCCUGUGACUGCUAGGAGCAACGGAAUCCCGUGGGGUAGCAACCCUCAUCCUUUUAUUACCGAUGGUGUAAUUUCCCCGUACUGAGCUGGAUCACGAGUCAUCAAAUAUUGGUCAGGAUGCAUGCAUGUUAAAUUAUACGGAGUACUUCUUGUAUCCUAAAAUAAAUAGUAAUAAACGUAACACAACCGAAAUAUAAACCGACUUAAUUGCAUCUAAGCGCGAAAUGUUCAGAAUUAUACCCCUAACCAACAUGUCCGUGUGAGCACGUAAUUUCGGUUGAUCAGACCUCCAACGGAGUAAGGGCAUGUUCAAUGCGUAGCCCGGCGAGUGGCUCUGGCUCACGGUGUCGAUUUUUUCGGUCGGAGCCGUCUCCCAGCAGAGGGCCAUGACCCCUCUGCAGGGGACGCGCCUCCUGUGUUCCUCCGCUCCUUUUUGUCGAGCCACAGGACCGGGCUUCACGUUGGAGACACCGUGGCUAGGGGAGUGGCUCAUGGACACUGCUCUCACCCACGGAUUUUCCCCUUCCACCCCUAGCCCCAGCAGUCUCGUGCUUAAUAGAUGCUUCAUUAGCGACGGCGAAGAGGGAGGCGCAUAGGAGAGAGGCGACGAGGGGUGGUGCGAGAGAGAGAGAGGCGAUGACGAUGACUAGAUCUGGCCACCAGCCAAUGACGGGCAGAGAGGGAGGCGUACGCGGUGGUGCCUCGUUGUCCUCUGCGACGGGAGAGAGAAGGAGAGAGGCGACGAUGGGUGGCAAAAGAGAGAAAGAGGAGAGUGGCGACGGCGACGACCAGAUCCGGCCAUUGCGCGCCGUGGCAGCCGUCCGUCGGCCACCAGCCGGCGAGGGGCGAAGGGCUUCCUCACGCGGCGGCAGCGACCAGAUCUGGCGCAGGCUGUCGGCGCGGCGGUGGUGGCUAGGGAGGGUGAGGAGGGAGGCGACAGCGGUGGCUAGGGAGGGCGAGGAGGGAGGCAGCGGCGAGCGGCGGGGGAGAAAUAGGCGACGCGCUCGAGAGAGGGGGAGAGAUUGGCGAUGCAUGUGCGCGAGAGAGAGGAGAAGUGUCGGUAGGGAAAAAAAGUCGUCGGUGAGCUGGAGGAUAGAGGAGGGUAGUAUAGGAAAAUAUUCACUGUGGGGGAUUUUUGGUUGGAACACCCACUGUGGGCCUGAGUACUUUCACCCAAUUGCCUCAUAUUUUAAAGAGCCUAUCUAGUGUAGCCUUUAUUGAAAGAUGAGUGUCUCUGAGAAUGUCCUCAGUUAGUGAGAACAAUCUAGGGGUGGCUUUGAUUUUACAUGCUCUAAGUGGGCUGCCAAUUCCCUUUUUUUCCUAGUAACUCAUGGUUUGUGUUGCAUAUGGGGAUAGAUUAAAAAACAAUCUAGUUUGUUUACUAAAUAAUAUCCAACAUAGAUUAAUCUGGUUGGUAGCAUUCUACAAACCAGAUUAAUCUAUUUUGGAUAUUUAGUAAACCAUGCUAUUUCAGAUUAAUGCCAUUUCAAACCAUGAUAUUAUUUGGUAAAAAUGAUUAUGUGGCUAUAUUUAGUAAUGACUAUGGAAUUUUGACAAUAUUAUAUUGAGCACAUCCUACUAAAAUUUGGUAAUGUUGUCAAUUUAUCAAAAUUUUGGUAUUACCAAAUUUUGAAAAGUUGUAUUUUGAUAUCAAUCUGAACAUACCUUAAGGUCCUCUUUGAUUCAAAGGAAAUUCAUAAGAAUUUUAAAGGAUUUUAUUUCUAUAGAAAAUUUUCCUAUAUAGCCCUUUGAAUCAAAGGAAUGAAUCCUAUGCAAUCCUAUGAAAUUCCUAUGGAAUGCCUCUUCCUAUGUAAUUAUUGGAGGAAAUUUAGCAUGAGGUAGAACCUCAUGUUAAGAAUUCUUUGAGUCUUUAUAUCUACUCAAAUUCCUGUAUUUUUCCUACGGCUUAAUCAAACGGUCAUUCCUAUGUUUUUCCUGUGUUUUGUAACCCUCUGUUUUACACUUAUAUUUCUGUGAGAAUUCUAUGUUUUUUCUAUUCCUCCGUUUUUUUAUUUCUGUAAUUCAAAGAGGCCUUAACUCAGUUGUUUGUUAGUAGUAGUUGUUUGUGUGGCCACUGUACAAAUUUCAUGUCACUGCGCGCAUAUACCAGACCAAUCAAAUGAGUAAGCACAAAGCAAUCGAUGCGCUAACAUGUACCUACUCCUGUAUUACAUUGCGACAAACAAGAUAUAUAUUGCGAAUCAAAGCCCAUUAAUAUCUUGGUUACUAUUUACUCCCUCCGUCAAAAAAAGACAAACCCGGAUUUCCGUGUCCAACGUUUAACCGUCCGUCUUAUUUAAAAAAAUUAUGAAAAAAAUUAAAAAGACAAGUCACGCAUAAAAUAUUAAUCAUGUUUUAUUAUCUAACAACAAUGAAAAUACGGAUUAUAAAAAAAUUUAUAUAAGACGGACAGUUAAAGUUGGACACGAAAACCCAGGGUUUGCCCUGAUGCCCUGGCACAACGAGCUGAACUUGGUUUUUUUUUUGACGGAGAGAUAGUUAAAAAGACGGCCAAUUUAUUUCACUGGGCCUGGUGAACCGAAUUGGCGUGCUCACACUAGCAUGUUGGUUAGAAAAAUAAUUCUGAAAAUUACAUGCUUGGAUUUGAAAUUACGUGGUUGCAUGUGUGUUUAGAUUAAAAAAAAGUCAUGACCUGGUUUCAAUAACUGAUUAUAAUAAGUACUCCCUCCGUUUUUUAAUAUAUGACGCCAUUGACUUUUUCUUACAUGUUUGACCAUUCGUCUUAUUCAAAAAAUUUACGUAAUUAUAAUUUAUUUUGUUAUGGAUUGUUUUAUCGUUCAUAGUACUUUAAGUGUAAUUUAUAUCUUAUACAUUUGCAUAAAAUUUUUGAAUAACACAAAUGGUCAAACAUGUGAGAAAAAGUCAACGGCGUCAUCUAUUAAAAAACGGAGGUAGUAAUGUUUAUUAGAAAUAAAAAGAUAAUUUACUAGAUGUUUCACGAGUAAAAUUUUUAUUCAUGAUGACGUGGAUAAACCUCAUAGAUCUAAUUUUCCACAUCUAACUACACAUUUCUAUUUAAUAUGUGUGAUUUGCACCGCAUACUUUCCCCGACAAUAGAUCAUCCUGUGCGCGCUUAGAGCAGGUACAAUAAUAGACUAUAUAUCAACUAUAAACACAUAUCGAGGAGAUGGAAGAAGGGAGAGAUGAGCAGCGGGCUAUAGAUUUGUAGUUAGCUACAACACAGACUUCAAGACGUAAUGUGUGUAUAACAGAUAAGACCCGAUAUUAAUAGUGUAGUAUAUUGUAUAUAUUUGUAGAUAACUAUGGUAUGAAUUAGCUAUUAAAUCAACUAUAAUUAGUUGGCUAUAUUAUUAAACUUGAUCUUAAAUAAUUAACGAAAAUCAUCGAGGUAGGCGAGGGCAGUUUGGUCAGAACACACACAAAAAAAAAAGUUAAAGCUCGGAAACGGCAAAAGCUAUGGCGACCGACCGGUCACUUCCCACUCCCCAGUUCCCAGUGAACAGAGCAGGAGCAGCCUCCACUCCUCCUCUGCCACUCCACUCCCCACCACCACUCGCAUCACCAUCCAUCCAUCCAUCUCCAACCCAAGCCGAAUCACACCAAUCGCCAUCGCCAUCGCCAUCGCCGUGCGUGGUCGCCGGUGCCGGCGGCGGAGGGGGAGGGGGACCAAGGGAAAAGAGAGAAGGUGAGCUGAGCUGAGCUGAGGUGAAGUGGUGCUGAGGCGAGUGACUGGGGGGCAAUGGCAGCGGCGUGGGUGCUGGCCGCGGCGGCGGCGUUGGCGCUGUGGGCGGCGGCGGCGGAGGGGGCAAGGUCGCCGGCGGCGAGGGUGCACCGGCACCUCAAGAGGCUCAACAAGCCGGCCGUCAAGAGCAUCGAGGUUGGGUGGCCAGUUCUUGAAAACAUUUGCUUCUUUUUAUUAUUAUUUCUUUUGGGGGUUAUCGCUCAACUUUGUGUUGUUGAUGCAUUGUUACAUUGGGAGUUCAAAAUGUUAGUAUUUUCAUUUCACAUUCUUUUUUUUUUCACUUUUGUUUCUAUGAGUUUUGGUCUAGCAUUGAUUUGCUAAGAUUUUGAGAUGGAUUGAUUUGCAGAGAAGAAAGUUUGCCCCUCUUUUCUGUGCUUCUUUUGGGCUGUUCUUGGUAGUUUUUCUCAUUGCUGCUUUAAAGAAUUUUUCGAAAAAGUUGCAAUCUUUUGGAGGUACAUUUUGGCAACUCAAGCAAAAGAAGGCAGAAAAGACGUGUCCUGCUUUCAGGCUGGCUCUGGCAAAGUUGUAUUAUUCUCCAAUGAAAAAAGGGGUUGAAUGAACAAUUCCUUUUUUUAAAUCUUUCUUUACAUUUCCGAACAAUGAUUUCUGCGUUUUCCAAAAAGUUCAAAACCUGAAGCGUUUGUCUUCUUUUUUUUGGUAUUAUUGUUAUUAUUAUUUGUCAUGAACAAAUGUCCUAUCCGUUUGAAACUGUUUUGCAAACCGAUGCAGAGCCCAGAUGGAGACAUCAUCGACUGCGUGCAUCUCUCUCACCAACCAGCAUUUGAUCAUCCCCUACUCAAGAACCAUACUCUCCAGGUAAAAUGCUUCACUUUGCAAUCAUUUCAAAGUACUCAUCAAACCUGCAUUUACCACAGUACAUCUGUACAUGGUCCAAUAUGUUGCAUUCAACAUUUUUCUAAAAGAAAGCUCUGUCAAAAAUCUUUAUCCUUGCAGAUGAGGCCGGCCUACCACCCUGAAGGCUUGUAUGAUGAUGACAAGAGAAGCGUGGCCUCUGACAAUGCCGGCGAGAAGCCGAUGCUCCAGCUAUGGCAUCAAAAGGGGAGGUGCCCGGAGGGCACCGUCCCGAUCAGGAGAACGAAGAAGGAUGAUCUGCUCAGAGCGAGCUCGUUGCGGCGGUAUGGCAGGAAACGGCAUACCGCCGUGAACCCGCUGUCCAUUGAUCCCAACAUGCUCAAUGAGGGUGGUCACCAAGUAUGUCCGAAUACGAUGUCAUGUUGAGUUGAAAUCAAAAUGGAACAUGGUAAUGGCAUCGGCAUGUUUGGUACUUAACCGAAACUGUUUUCUUGUUGCAAAUUCAGCAUGCCAUAGCGUAUGUGGAGGGGGAUAAGUACUAUGGUGCCAAGGCCACCAUUAAUGUGUGGGAGCCCAAGAUUCAGCAGCCUAACGAGUUCAGCCUGUCCCAGCUCUGGAUCUUGGGGGGUUCAUUUGGUGAGGAUCUCAACAGCAUCGAGGCCGGGUGGCAGGUACUACUGGGAAGAAAACCUGAGCUCAUAUGAGCUUCAUCACAUUCAUAGUUACGCGAAUUGAAUGAUGACCGUUUUCGCGGUCGGCUGUCCCCCUGCCAUGAUGCAUGGAUGCAAUUGCAACCUGUGCUGUGUGUCUGAUCAUUUGCGCUAACCGCCGUCCUUUGAUUCAUCAGGUCAGCCCAGACCUCUAUGGAGAUAAUAACACUAGGCUGUUCACAUACUGGACUGUAAGUUUCACAAACUCAACAAUCCAUAUGCUUAUACUAUUGAUGGUACAUUGUUAUACUAUUAAUGUUCUCUGUACUCUGGCAACAGACAUUCUGUUGUUGAUGCAUUAACUUCGGUGUCCCUUACGUUUGCUUUCGCAUUGGGGUCUUUUUUGUAGAGUGAUGCUUACCAAGCAACAGGGUGCUACAACAUAUUGUGCUCCGGAUUCAUUCAGAUCAACAGCGAGAUCGCCAUGGGCGCGAGCAUCUUCCCCAUCUCGAACAUCGCCGGCUCACAGUAUGAUAUCAGUAUUCUGAUCUGGAAGGUGAGCAAUUCUUAAACUAUUACCAAGGCAUCAUCACAUAAUGACAUGCUUAGUGCCUUGAGAAUUAGCAUAAGAACUAAUGGGGCCAGAGAAUCUUUCCCCACUUGCUCUAAUGCUCCUUCACACACCUGGUUCUUUGAAAACCAUUUUGUCCAAAUCACAUGUACUAGGCAUGCAUAACUAACACUAAUGUGGCAUCUCUAGUGACUAUAUUAUCGAAAAAAAACUCUAAUUAUAUAGUAAUAUUCUAUGUGCUUCAUCUGUGGACAGGACCCAAAGGAAGGAAACUGGUGGAUGCAGUUCGGCAGGGAGUAUGUCCUCGGCUACUGGCCGUCCUUCCUCUUCUCCUACCUCGUCGACAGUGCGUCGAUGGUCGAGUGGGGCGGGGAGGUGGUGAACUCGGAGCCCGACGGCACGCACACGUCGACGCAGAUGGGGAGCGGGCGGUUCCCGGAGGAAGGGUUCGGCAAGGCGAGCUACUUCAAGAACAUCCAGGUGGUGGACAGCAGCAACCAGCUGAAGGCCCCCAAGGGGGUGGGCACCUACACCGAGCAGUCCAAUUGCUACGAUGUUCAGAACGGCAACAAUGGCGACUGGGGCACCUACUUCUACUAUGGCGGCCCGGGGAAGAACUCGAAUUGCCCAUGAAUUUGGUGAUGAAGAAGCUGAUGAUAUAUAUAUAUUUAUAUAUAUAUAUAUAAUAUAUGGUGAAGUGUGCAAGUGUAACCAAGCAUUAAUCAUGUGUGGAAUACAGAUUGAUCUGCAUCUGUUUCUUAAUUUAGCCCUAGGUAGUAUAUGUGUAUCUUUCCUACUGAUUUUCUUUUUCUUCUCUUCAUUAGUUUUUUCUUCUUCUUUUUCUGAUGUGCCAUGUAAAAGUUUCUGAAGAGAAGCAUGGCGUGAGGUGGUGGUGCAGGGGUGAUGAUGACAAUUGAUUUGUGGGUAAUUUGCAAGUCAAACGGCUUGUGAUCAGUACUACAAAUUUAUUAGCUGUUGUGUUAGCUGAUAAAAUGACUUGGUAGUAGACAGUAGUUCUGUAGAAACGUGAGAAAAUUUGACAGAUUCGAAAUACAAAUUCAAAGCAACGAGGAAGGGAGCUGGGCUAGACUGUCAGAAAUCCAAUGUACACGAAGAGAAAAUAAUAAAUUCUUGAGGUGGCCUACCUUCUCGGGGAACAUGUUUGUUCUCAGAAGAGUGUUGGUAGCUGAGAAACUCUGAAUCCAUGGUUCACCUCCAUUUUAUAUCAAACUAGCCAAUAGAUCGUGCGUUGCAAGGAAAAACAAAUUAAGUUUAUAGCUUAUUCAGUCAAUUAAACACAUAUUUAGUCUAAGUAGUACUUUUAUGUUUUUUUAUUGAACAAGUAGUUUCUUUUUUAGAUAAUAGAAAUGUGUUACAUCUCCGAUCUCUGCCCGUAGGCACACAACAAAAAGUCUAGAAGUGAACAGAAAAAAGCUUAAGAAGUACGGAGUAGUUGAUUUCAAAAUUUAGGAAGAGCCAUGUAUAAUAGUAUAGAUUGUGGUAUAAUAACAUAGAUCGUUAGACCCAAAUGUCAGUGAUAAGGGUGGUGUGAUAACGGCCAGCACUACUAGUAACAUUUUAAGUAGCAUAAAUGCAUACCGAUAGAUAUAUGAUGACAUUUUAAUGCAAUAGCUGUAUCAGGGUCUUUGGGAGGAAAAGCAAGAGUGAUGAAUGCCAAAAUUUAUAUGAAGAUGUCAAAUUUUAUAUGACACCGUUGAUUUUUGACGUGAUAUUUGAUCAUUCGUCCUAAUUAAAAAAUAUAUAUAAAUGCUAUUUAUUUCAUUGUGACAUGGUUUCUCAUUAAAUAAAUUUUACUAUAAAUUACACUUAGGCAUAUUUAUACAAAUGUUUUUUAAAAAAGAAUGAUCAAACAUUAUUUUUAAAAGUCAACGACAUCAACUGUUAAAAAUGGAGGGCAGAUCAACAGUGUUAGCAUCAGUGUCAGGCGACACCGACGACUUUCGACAAAACCUAAAUUAUUAUUUUUAGAUCCGCCACUGAAACGGAGGUAGUAUCAAUUACAGAAGAAGAGCGAGAGGAAAAGGAGGGCAAGCAGUGGCGGAUCCAGAAAAUCGAUUCGUUAGUGUCAGAACGUGUCUAUCGGUGUCAUAGUAUGCUAAUUACACUUAGAUCAUGGUGUUAUAGCAUAUGAAUAAGCAGUUUCGCUAUAGGUUUUGCCGAAAGUCGUCGGUGUCGCCUGACACCGGCCCUAUAACUAUAGAUCCGCCCCUGAGGGCAAGUGUGAGGCAAUGGAGGAGACCUAACCGGCGGCUCACCAUCACCGGAGCUGUCUGCCAGUCAGUCUGCCGUGGCCGGCGGUGGCAUGGGGCAUGGCCGAAGCGGAGCCUCCUCUACUUAGGCCAAAAUUUGGUCUGGUCUGAGGCUUCAGCUAGGUCACACCACCAUUCAUUCCUUCAUUCAUCGCUGCCCAAAUUAAGUUUGUAAUUUGCACCCCUAGUCUCUCCAAUUUUACAAUUCUUAACAUUUUAGACAACACAUGGUCUCCAAAAUAUAUCUUUGACUAUAUAUUUCUAUUAUAACAUACUAGUCGCAUACCUGUGCAACGCACAGGUUAUUAUCAAUAUUUUAAACAUUGUUUACUUCUUGGAUUUUAUAUUUGAGGUGCCAGUCACUUUUGUCAUAUAAUAGCCCUAUGGUUCUCAUCACUACCCUAUCACUGAAAACAAAAAUUCCUUUCUAGGAUAAAAUGCUGGAAAUAGGCUACUAUAACAUACAAAAAUUUUCAAAACUACGGAACAUUAACUUAUAACUCAUAACAAUUUUUUUUAAAAAAAAUCAAAAUUACAUAUAAAUAAAGCAAACAACAAAAUGCAGUUAAAAUGAUCUAAAAUCCCACACUGCAUAGUGCAGUUUUGAGGACUAAAAAGUUACAGAUUUUUAGGCGCCUUAAUCACCUUGUUUCUUAUUCAUAAUUAUAUAUGAGUAAAAUAUAUGGCUGGUCCCUAAACUUGUGUGGUGGUGUCACUUAGGUCCGUGAACUUGGUUUAAUGUACCAUCCCGGUCCAAAUGUCCUUUAACUGCGUUUGACCGCAUGCCACGUAGGUAACACUUUUGCUCUCAGCCCCCUCCACAUCACAAUACAUCGCAUAUAUCUUCUUAUAGCUAUAUAUAGUAACACUAGAAUCCAAAAAAAAAAAUCUCAAAUCGUUCUCCCAUCUCAUUCUUCUCCUUUCAUGUAUAGAAAAUGCGGUUCCGAUUAGCAAUUGCUAUUGCUCCAUGCUCCAAAAUAAACUUAUUCUUACACAACGGGCACUUGAUCAACAACACAUUCUUCCCGUGACUUCAAGAUGGGGGUGAGCUUGUAGAAUCCAUGGGGAUGCCUAGCGUGCAAGCCGCAUUGCGCUGCCUCCUAUCGCAAAUCUGGCCGCACUGUGCCACCGCUAAUCCUGCUAUACCCUGUAUUGGCGCUGUCUCCUGCCGCUAAUCUCACUGCCAAGACCGCCACAACCACUACCUUUCGGUCUCCUUCCGCUAACCUCACCGUCGAAACCCUAGAUGAUUUAGGGAUAUUUUUGGGGAUUUGGGUUGAAAUGCAUUUGUCAGGGCAAGUUAUGUGCGAAGAUAUAUGUGAAGGGGGCUGAACACAAAAGUGUUGCUUACGUGGCAUGACACAUUGGCGGUCAAACGUGGUCAAAGGACGAUUGAACGGGGGUGGUACAUUAAACCAAGUUCACGGACUUAAAUGUGCAAUUUUUAAGUUUAUGGAUCUAAGUGACACCACCUCACAAGUUUAAGGACCGGCCAUAUAUUUCGCUCAUUAUAUAUUGUUCUCAUAUUCACAAAUAUCUUGAUCAGAAAUUGCUGACAACCUUCUGUAGAAAAAUUGUCAUUCCUCCUAUUUGGAAAUGUUAAAGCAUUCCUCUUACAACAAAACCCAAUAAAGCAUCAAGCACGUGGAUAUCCCUUCAACAAAACAUAAAUCAUCGAAAGGAUAUCAGACGACUUAACGAAGCAUAAAAGCGGAUUGGAAAUGGACGACUAUUUGAAGAAUGCCUAAAGAUCACAUAUUGAUAAGUCCGCAUUAAGUCGUCAACUUUGGAUCCGACUGGGGAUUUUUGAAGAAUGUUUCAUGAAAAAAUUGGAAAGCAAUGAUGUUGAUGCUUGCUUAUGAAAGGACAUGGGGGGCAACUAAGGUCUUGUUCGUUUCUCCAACAAGAUGGAGAUGAAAUUUUGGUUAUUCGUGGCACGCUUAUUAAACUGCUAAACGGUGUGUUUCGUGCGAAAACUCUCUAUAUGAAAGUUGCUCUAAAAUAUCAGAGUAAUUUAUUUUUCAAGUUUGUAAUAAUUAAAACUCAAGUAAUCACACGUUAUUACCACCUCAUUUUGCGUGAAACACUUAAUCUUUAUCUUCAGGAGAUACCUAAGCAUUGAACAUCAGGACCAUGAAUAUACCUGAUAAACUCCCACCGAAGAACAGAUCCAGAGGUACUUCUCUGUUGCUCUGCGAUAUGGUCAAGAAAGCGCGCAUAGAUCACCAGAUUAUUUACAUCCAUUAUAUAUGACAUGGCAGGCACUAAAAAACAAUUUAUAUUAAUUAUUAUGAUUAAAGAGUCAUAAGCUAGGUAAUCGAUCAAUCAAUGUUGUUUAAGAUGAGAAACAUGUGAAGAAAGAAUUAAAUUUUGAAAAAGGGUUCAAAUCAAAUCUUGCAUCAGUUGAGAAAAUAGCAUGCAAUAGUAGCUGCAUAGGAUUGAUCCAUCGAUUAUGAAACCGGAGGGAGCAACUUCUCUUGACUUUGAGUGAAACCCCCAGCCCAACUUGCAUUUGCGUUGGUGAGUGACCAUGUACAUUUUACACGUUGGGUGGAUGUUGCAUACAAGGAAUUCACUCCACUAGUGUAACUUAAUCAUAUUCAGCACAUAGAAUUUUAUUCCAUGAAUAUCAAACAAUGUGGAUAUUUCUUUUUUUUUUGUGGUCCUGUACUCUUGUUCGUUUCUCCAACAAGGAGGAGAUGAAAUUUUGGAUACUCAUGGCACGUUUUUUAAACUGCUAAAUGGUGUGUUUUGUGCGAAAACUUUCUAUAUGAAAGUUACUCUAAAAUGUUAGAUUAAUCUAUUUUUCAAGUUAGUAAUAAUUAAAACUCAAUUGAUCACAUAUUAUUACCACCUCGUUUUACGUGAAACACUUAAUCUUUAUCUUCACCUUUAUCUUUAGAAGAUUCAAACACCACCUUAACUGUACGGGGAAUUGUGUCCUUGCAAAGUCUAGGUUUGAAGAGCUACUGCAGCAGUGUGUUUUGUAUCUCCAAGUCCAACCGUUUAAUUGGAACAAGUGCAAGUUCUAUCUAUCGACUAUUAGCGCAAUUUGCAAUAUGGUUUUUCAAAUGGUGUCCUGCGCUAUUCCACCGUUGCUAAGGUUUUAUCCUCAUCCGCCAUAGCAAAUGUUUUAUUCUGGUUUUGCGAUAGUUAAGGUUUUAUUCUGCAUCGGUCAUUGAAGAAGCCAUACAUAGUAAGCCAUAAUUGUCUUUUAUCUUUUUUUGGUGUGUUAAUAAAAUUAAACAAUAGGAUCAGAGGCAUUGAUGGUAGGGAAUUUUCCGAACAAAACGAUAUAUAUAUUUACUGGUUUUUUUUCUCUUUCUAUACUUCUUCUAUCUAUAAAUAUCAAACUCGGACCUAAUGUCUCAUACACACAUCAAUUACAAUACAAUCUGGCAUAUAGCACAUAUUAGCUCAUCAGUAAGAAAUGGUGAACCACAGCUGCCAAGGACUUUUGUUACUUCUUCUAGUGUGUUCUGCCAUGCCUGCACUUAUCGAGGGUAACUAAUGAAUCUUCUAUUUUACUUUUGUAGGAAGGGGGCUCUAAUUUGCUUUUCAUUUAUAUGUCGUUUUGAUGGCACCACACUUAAAAUUUCAUCUUGAAUAGAUUAAUCGAAUUUACAUGUACAUUAUUGCAUUUUCAUUCUAUUUUGACAAUAUGUAUGUUCCCUUGAUAAACAGGAGCUGAUGUUAAAGAUUGCAUUCACAAUCCCAUGGACCCUCAUCAAAUAGAUAAGAACUUUUGUUGUGUAAAGGAUAAUGAGUGCUGGAUGUCGAUUCAAGAGUGCCUGGCAAAUUGCCCAUGUGGCAAAAAUUGUUCGACGUAAUCAUAUGCUCAUUAGUUAGAUCUGACAUCUUUAGCUAGAUACUACGUUAAUUAUCUCUACUACAUCCGGUAAUGCUGGCGAGUGCCAAGUAAACCAAAGGUCCGGCAAUGGUGUUGUCAGCGGUUGUGUGUGAGGGCGACCGAUGUUUUCCUUUUUCUCCUUGUUUACCGAUUCAACCUAACUAAGAUGAUGUUUUUGGUAAGGAUGAUAUUUUUUUCUUUUGCAUUUAUUAAUGUAAGGGUGACCAAUGUAACCCCUGAAUUUAUCUAAAAUAAAAUGAAGAAAAAAAUUGAACUCCCAUUUCAAAAUGGUAGUUCAAUUUUUUUUUCUUCAUUUGAUUGUUACCUUUGUUUCUAUGAAUUUUGGUUUAGUGGUGUAGCCGCAUUUGUUAAGAUUUUGAGCUGGAUUGAUUUGACAAGUUGUGCAUUCUCUAAUUCAGAAAAGUUUGCCCCUCUUUUCUGUGCUUCUUUUGGGCUUUCUUGGUAGUUUUUUUUCUUCUUAUAGCUGCUUGAAAGAAUUUUUCGACAAGAGUAAAUUGCAUUCAAGAUACACGAACUUGUAAAAUGAUCGUUUUGGUGCAUGAGCUUGUUUGGUGCGUGCAAAAAAAGGUGAAAAGAACAUUAAAUGGAUAAUCUUAUUGAUUUAAGGGCUGAUUAUGAUACUAUAUAAACAUAUAUUUGAGAAGGUUGCUAUUAGCCAUACACCUCUUCAAUAAAAAUAUAGAAUGGGCUAUAGUGAACGCAGAAAAAUAUAUGAAAAAAUGAGCAAUGAUAUAAGGGUUAGAGAUAUAUGACAUUCAUCAUUUACACGAUGAAGGAAAAAGUAUAGACCAAAAUUAUAAAUAUUAUAUGCUUUAUGCAUACUCAUUACACAUGCACGUCACAUAGUCAACAUCAGCUUUGUAAAAUUAGCAUUGCAAGCUAUUUUGGUCCCCGUUCGCACGAGCUAGACAAGUUCGUGUACCGAAACGAGCAUUUUACAAGUUUAUGUACUAAAUUGCACCCAUCUAACAAGUUUGUGUAACACCAAUGCAAUUUACUCUAUUCAAAAUCUAGGAUAAAGUGGUUGCUGCUCUAAGCAAACGGGCGACCGGUCGCUUUGUAGUCAUGUACAUAUAGAAAAUCCUCAAGAGGAUGGUAGGGGUAUAGAUUUGUAAACUUUAAAACAGAAUUAUACUUUUGUAAAUUUUUCAAAAAGAAUAUAUAAAUAUGAAAAUUCCUGAUUUCUACUUUAAUGGAUCUUGAUCCUACAUAUUUGGGUCCAAUCUGUUCGUGUAGCCUUUUCGGUUUGGCCCGAUUUGGGCUGGGAAUUAUUUAUUUGUUUCAUCCUGCCCAAAAAAUACAAACCAGAUCCAAAUAGACCGAAAAAAAACAGAAGGAAAAAAAAACGAUACCCAGCCCAAAUUGGGCACGGGCCGAAAACUUGGGUUAGUGCAAAUUGACCCAUAUAUAAGUAAAAAGAAUGACAAAAUAGAAAUAAAAAAAAAGAGCGUGCGCGCGCACACAACAAACCCACUUGGGCUUAGGGCACAACGAAGUUACGGAAAAAUACGACAUGUAACCAUAGUAAUAGCAUUGAAGCAUAAUGCAAGGCUAUAAGCUAAGGAAGCAAUUGUAGUAGUGGAUGGAGGGAGGCACAGUUUAACGCCUUACGAGCUGUCUAGCGAAUUUAUUUAUUUAUUGAACUUAGCUGCCUAGCGAAUUUAACCCAUGGUAAGAGAAUAUGUACGCAGAGUUUAACCCCUCUGAACUGAAUAUCGUGCCAAGUUGAGCGAACGCCAAAUAAAUCAGCUUCAGUUGAUGCAGCAGACAGCAGUUCUGAUUGCCAUCUGUCCUUGGCACCAUCUUUGCCACUGUUUGCUGAUAAUGCGAUGAAGAGUAGAUAGUAGUCAGAUGUUGCAGUUAGCGAUAUCUAUUGACUACCACUUCCAAUGGUUGCUGUGUUAUCACCAUGUCACGUAUUGAGCUCAUAUAUUCCCAUGAGUCCUACAACCAAAAUAGAGGGAUCUAAAGAGGUCUUGUGUUCUUCCGGAGCCAGUCGAGAGAAUGGCCACUCAACAAAGGGGAAACCUGAAAGUGAAAAUGAUUGUGGUUAAGCAACGCAAUGGUUCAUAUGAUCUUGGAAUGAUGUAUACGAGGAAUAAUUUUGCUUCCCAAGAAACAGUCGACGAUUCGCAUCCUAGUGAAUACUACCUCCGUCCCGAUAUAAGUGCAGAUGUAGGUUUCCGUGUCCAACAUGUAACUGUCCGUCUUAUUUAAAAAAAUAUUUAUGAUUAGUAUUUUUGUUGCUAUUACAUGAUAAAACAUGAAUUUAUGUGUGACUAAUUUUUUUUAUUUUUUUCAUAAUUUUUUUAAAUAAGACGAACGGUUAAAUGUUGUAUACGGAAACCCACAACUGUACUUAUAUUGGGACGGAGGUAGUACUGAAUAGUGACAUAAUACAUUGGGAAAAAAGCUAGUACAUGACAAUCAAAACCAUGCGCAUGUGCUGCAUGCAACAGUAUGUCCUAAAUAUUGCGCAACAAUUGACAUUUAAAAAUAAAAAAAGUGCUCUUUCUUAUUUAAAUAGCCACACCUAAUGCAGGCUUAGAAACAGAUUUGGAUAUCAAUUGUUCAAAAAAUAAUUUUGCCUCAAUGACAUAUGACUCACCUUUUCCCAGACUUCGUCAUGGUAUUCAUUGAUCCAAUUGAUCUCCGAAGGUGAUAGUAAGGACAAAUCAACAAGCUUGCUCUGAAGUUACCAAAGAAACGAAAAUUAAAUGUACAAGGUGGAUGAUAAUAAAAAGAAGUGUACAUAUAGAACAGCACACAAAGACUCAGGUUACCAGUCCUUAAAAUAAUUCUGUGGUAAGUUAUUAAUUUCAUAGGCCAACGUUAAAUUACUCAGACUUGAUUACUCAUUAGUAAGAAAGUAAUAUGUGGAUCAAUGCCAUUAUUGCAAUAUGUUUCCACAAAAAAUAGUAUCAAAUCGAGUUGAUGGUAUACCUGAAUUGGAACAAAAGUUAAUUUUUCAAAACCAAGGUACGAGACGCCACCAAACGAAUUUGGCAAAUUAACCUCUUUGACCAGAAGAAGAUUCUGCAAUAUUCAAGAAAAAAUAAUGAGAAAUGGCUAUUCAAUGUACUAUCUGCACAAUUGCUCAAUUUAGUCCUAAAAAUUUAGGAGACUGACAUGAGCAAAGAGUGGGGAAACCUACCUCUAUACGAAUGCCAAAGGAAUUGUCUUCGUAAUAACCAGGCUCAUUGCUUACGAUCAUGCCCUUCUGUAAAGCUGUCAAAUUUCCAUAUCGAUAGCUUAUGCUCUGAGGGCCCUCAUGGACAUUUAGUGCAGCUCCAACUCCAUGACCUGUGCCUGGAACAAGAGAAAAAUUGAUCAUCAAUUUACGUAGCAUCACAUGCCAUAACUUCCAGCAUUCAGAGAUUUUUGUGUGCUUAGAAAAUGUACCAUGUCUGUAAUCCAGCCCAAUCUUCCACAGAGAAGAGCGUGCAAGAACAUCUAAUACAAAGCCAGGAGUUCUCUCUGGAAAUACCGCCUGAUCGAGAGCUAUAUGUCCCUGAAACAAUAAAACUUUAUGACUCGAAUAAAGUAUGAAACAAAAAUCAAGUGUUGAGUGAGACAAGUAUCAUAGCACACUGAAGGCAAGACAUACUAAAUAACUGUUACAAUUGAGUAAAAAAUAACUGUUACAGGUCUAAACAAAAUUAAACAUUACCUGCAAAACCCUUGUGAAGCAUUCCUUUUGCCUUGGGGUUGGCUCACCAAAGUGAACAGUCCUUGUUAUGUCAGUAGUUCCAUCAAUAUAUUGAGCACCACUAUCUAACAGAAAGAGAUUGUCGCUUCCGACAGAGCUGCAGCUCUCUGGAGUUGGUCUGUAGUGUAUUAUAGCACCAUUUGCACCAUAACCUGAGUGGAAAAUUUGACUACAUAUUAGAAGUCAAGAACUGCAGACAUCACACGGCAUUUGCAAACAGCAGUAGUCCAAUGUCACAUUAAACAUUCCCAUGAUGCUCAGCAUGAAAAUUGAGAUAAGUCUAAACCAUAACAUGCAUUGUACUCCUACCAUAUAUCAAUACUCGUUUUAAAAGAAACAAGGCAGUUGUGGCACUGAAUCUGCCAGCACACCAACUCUGCAGUACAUUUGUACCAAGUACUUCUUAAGUUUGUUAAUAUUGUUAGUAUCUUAUUCCAUCUCUAAAUUCAUGGAAAGGUUUAUGGUGACAAAAAUUGUCACAUAUAUAGUAUAAAUGCUAAUUUACAAAUAGAGUAAUGCAAAAAGUUGUCUAAGUGUUCCCUUCAACAGAAGUAACAAAAACAUGGUGGGUGAGUUCAAUGAAAAAAAUCACGCAAUUUAUUCAAACAAUAUUAGCACAUGUAGAUCCAUUUUCAUUCGUAGCAACACAUGGACAUUUAGCUAGCAAAACUAAAUAAUGAAAAGGCUUAGAUAAACUGCUUGAGAAUAGUAACAAAGUUCCAGAUCGAUUGGUUCGAGGAACGUGAUAUGCUACUUGCAAGAGGUGUUUACAAGGUGGUACGAAAAUGUCCACGUGUUCCCAGGACAUUCCUGGUCAAGGAGCUGCCUUCGACCCAGAUCAUGACUAACCAUUAAUGUAUGCAUAAUUAUUCCCUAAUAUAUACAAUGAAAAAAUGCAGUAGGCUCAAGCUGAGUGAAACAUGUUACACCCCUCCCUAUCAAAUUACGCUGUAAUAAAGAGGUUUGAGAAAGGCACCAUAAUAAAUACCUAAAGACACUCUACCAACUACAAACAAUCAAUCCAGAUAAUAGAUAGCAAUAACAAACAAAUAUUAACAUUUGAAACUCAAGAUACUGGCCAUGUAAAACAGUUCUCAGGGAUUUUAAUAUUGCAGGGAAAAGUUGAAAUAUACCACUGAUAGUGUCAAAGCUUGUAUCUAUAAAGCCAUCUUGCUUUUGACGAAAUUCAAGAAGCUUUUCAGCAACUUGCACUUCUGUAAGUGGUACACUUUCACGAACUUGCCCUUCUAGCCAGCACCAGAAUUCUGCUAAAGCAGCAGCAUCUCUGUAAAUGUAUUUAUGUGCCAGUAUAGACAAUGCAGUGGUCAGCUGGACCCAAAGGCCACAUUAACAGAAAAAGGAAAAAAAAAAAGAAGAUGCUUCCUUUACAAAAUGAAAAAAAAAAAAAAACACCCAGCCGCUGCACUGGUAAGUGCAGAAAGCCAAACAACAAGAAGAUGAUGAAUGCUGAAAGUGAUGAUGAAUAAAAACCCAUUGCUAAUGAAAAAAAAUAGUAACAAUGGUAGUAGGUUAAGGAUCUCCAUUUUCUGUGGAGAAUGACAUCAUCUAAGUACAUGUCUAUGGAUGGAGCUUUGUAUUUGAUCUCUACUAUGAGUUGCUCACUACAUGAGAAUUUGGCACGUGAUAUCCAUAUCCAUAUUUAGGAUAUCUAUUUGUGCACGAUGAAUAGGUAAGCAGGCACUGUGUUUCCAUUGCAAAUUUUGUGACCUAGUCGUAUAUAGUGGGAAACUGAUAUGAGAUAUAUUAGAAGCAAUAUCAUUUAUUGUACAUCAGUACACUAGUAUCGGAUUUGUCGGAGUAAGGGGAAAGAUUAUUAGACAUUUUUCCAUGAGUGAAAUUGUCAUAUCAUUAGACAUUUUUUACAUGUAUAAAUAAUUAUAGAGCUUACUGGGCAAGUAUAAAGAAAAAGAAUAAUUGAAGUGAACAAUCCGUACAGGGAAAAUCACAUUUAUAUUGUUGCUACAAUGCAAUAACCAGACUAUAUGGUUGCCUCAGGUAUGGUUCUUUCAAUUCCAGGAAAUCAAGGUUCUGUCUUCACUCUUCAGGCAUUUUUCAACUGACGAAAAAACAAAGAAUUCAAAAACAUUUUUUAAAAACGAUACCUUAGGUGUGAACUCUUCAUACCCUCAACUUCUGCUUCAUUCUUAACUGCUUUGGCUAGGGUGGCUGGUGAAACUUUGUAUAGAGCAUUUACAGUUCCAUUCUGAACACCAGAGCUUCCAGUAGCUGGGUCACCUUGAGAUGAUUCUUUUCCAAUUUGUCUCCCUGCUUUUCCUCUCUUUUUCACGUAUCUCUCACAGCUUGAUCUAAACACAUUAACUAUGGCAGCAUUUAUACUUGAAGAAUCCAGCCAAAGCUUUGCACCAUUCUCUGCCAAUCUAGAAAAGGAAAAGGGAAACAAUUUCCAGACUAAGAUAAUCAUGGAGGAGUUUAAGAGGUGAACAUUGACAAUUUAAAUUAGUCUCUUUCAUAUAAUCACAUUUUAAGUUAGAGCUACUAAAAUACAAUUAUAAAAUUUAAUAGAAAUUGGUUCAAGAAUACUGACUGGAACAGCACACAAGUACUGAACCAGACCAAGGACUGGUAAAGUUGGCACAUUAUUAUAAUCAAAUACCAUGGCUAAAUGCCCUUUACAAAUUUUGGGAUCUCAAAAACAUGUUUGGUGUUCAAUCAGUAACAAGCUCAAGUCCUUUUGUGAGGUAUACGUGCAAUAAUGCGACAUAAUCAUUAUGUAUUUCUUUCAAAAUCAUGUACAUGAUUUUAAGUUCACAGAUGAACAUAAAAUCAAUAUGUGACAGGAAGAACAGGAAAUCCUACCACUUCCAGGGCAGAGAAGAAUUUAGAUAAAAGCUGUUGAACACGGAAAUGACGUAAUGGGUCACUGGUUUCAACAGGUUAUCAACUCACAAAAUUUAUGAUCAGAAUUGUAUAUCCGAUUGGCUAAGACUAAUAAGCACGCUCAACUACCAAAUUAAUUAAAGGUGGUUCUUAUCUAAUUCCAAAUAUAAAGGGAGAUGAUAUGACAUCAAUAUCAGAAACAAUAAUUGCUUUUCUGAAGAAUUACCUCUCAACAUCGGACAAAAUCGCUUCAUAUGGUUUUAGUUUUACUCCAGCCUUUUCGAGGUGCUCUAAAACAUCUUCAGAUACUUUGUUGUUAUCCACAAAUAAUGUAGCAGCGGUAUCCUCCACAAUAAGGUAGCUAUAAAAUACAGGUGAAUUUGGAACAUCACUUCCUCUCUGCAUACCAAAAUGUGACAAACUGACUAGCUUAACCAUAAUAAACCAAAGUGCAAGCAUGCUCAACAUAGUAGAAAAAAAAACAAACUCUGAACACGAAUUAUCAAGUGUGAAAAGUGCUAAUAUAUCAUGCCACCUCCCAAUUAUGGAUUAAUGACCUUCAUAAUUUGCACAAUAAGACAAUAGUACAGAAAUGUAUCCGAUAAGCAGAAAACAAGUUUACAACCAUAAAAGCACAAAACAUAAAACAUCCUUCAAAUUAUGAAAAGAAAGUACUAAGUGCUAAGCAGAAAGUUUGGUAAAAACAAACUUUGGUAAAUAUUAAUCUUGAGCUACAGAUAGUUGAGAAUCCAUAAAAAAGGAAUAUAGCAAUAAACAUAGGUGUCAAGUCAUAAGAAACGAUAUAAGUAACUGUGAGAGCCAAAAUAUUAGUACCAUGUUUAACAACCAUGCAACUUCAUCAAGCAACGAAAUGACCACAGCAUUACACCCAUUUUCAGCAAGCUGUGAUCUAACAAAGGACAAUUUUGAUGGCACGUCAACGCCAGCAUAUUUGAUUCCAUGCACUCUAGUUUGUUCUUUUGGGGGCUCUGGCCUUGAUUCUCCCCAUAUUUCAUCAACUAGAUUCAAAUCCUUGAUCAAAACUAACUCAUGGUUCUUCUCGGAAAUAGCAUCUUUUAGUUCUUCAGCUGCAUCAAAUGAGAAAAGAAACUGCAUCCUUCAAACAAAGUAAGAAAUAAAGUAUUAGGACAAGAAUAAAAUGAAACAAAAAUAUCAAAACAUAAACAAUUUUUCAGAAUGCACAUUUAUCUGAAACUUAGUAGGAAGACUAAAUGGAAUAAAGUUCUUGGUCAGAAUGUAACAUUUACAAAGUAAACACAAGAAGGUUUCAAAUGACUGUAAAUUUUACCAACAGUACACAUUCAUAAAACGGUUAACUUCUUGUGAGGGAGAUAUAAAAUUUAGAUAAAAAAAUAAGAUCUCAAAUUUUAAGAUGCAUGUGUGCCACAAAGCAGUUUCAGGAUACGAUUUUGCAAUUUAAUUUAAACAUCAAUCUAUUCUUUACUUCUAACAUCCAUACACUAGUUUGUCAUUUCAUGGGCAUGUAAGAAUUUGAAGUACAAAAACUGCAUGAAAAGAAGCCCAACUAAAAGAAAAGAUAAUUAUUUAUCACAUGAUAAUGGCAUGAGAAAAGGCAUAUUAGCAAAAUAAUCCAUUUUUAGUUUGGUUGAUGAUAAAACAAGAUCUCACCGGGUCAAUGCCAACUCGGCAACCAGAUGGUAACACCUCGUUCAACCAUUCGCUAGUGGUAGGAACACCUUGAUUUCCACUGCGCAUGAGUGUCCAAUCAUGGCUCAGUUCUUUCUCAGCCUACUCAACAGAAGAACAGAUGAAUGAUUAGCCAAUAGCCACAUAAAACCAUGGUUGCUAAGAAAUUAAUUUGCCGUGUGGGAAUUGAGUACCUGGAGAAAGUACCGGCCAUCAGUCCAGAGAGCAGCUUUAUCUUUUGUGACCACAGCCGUACCAGCACUACCAGUGAACCCAGUCAGGUAAGCACGCCUCAUGAAGCAUUCUGCGAUGAACUCGCUCUGAGAAUAAGAUAUUAACAAAAGCAGGUAAGUGGGAGAGGGGCAUGUAGUUUCAUGAGAUCAAGAAUGCAUUGAGGUUUUUCUACUUCCUAGUAUCAUGGAGCAUCAAUAGCUUCACAAACAAACAGUGUAGACACUAUAUAUCAUGUGCUCCCAUGCAUACAUGAAUCCUUGUUUCAGAUAGCUAGCUAACGAUGGUUUACUGAAAGGCCCUGACAUCAAAAUCAGGCCAUAGAACAUGACUACUUGCCAGAUACAAAAAGCAUACAUACGCAUCAGUAGUUGUUUCCACUAAUAUCAACGCACGAUCGAAACAGUCAAUCUGCAACUGCACCAUAAUCACCAUUGCUCACCAUUUCUGCACUACUUUCUGUUGUCUCCAUUAGUGUAUCAUCGAUUCUCCGUACGGAAUGAUCGAAUAAUUGGGAGCAAGGCAGGGUGUACUAAUAGACCUGGUGGGCGUCCUGGGAGGGGACGAUGUAGGCGUCGAUGGCGACGUCGGGCCGCGCGAGGAGGCGGCGGAGCGAGCGGAGCUUCUCGUCCUCACCACCACCAGGAGCAGCGGAGGAGGAGGAUGAUGCGCCGCCCCGGCGCUUGCGGAGCUCCGACGAGGGGAGGGCGACGGCGCGGCCGUCCCCGCCCGCGGCGGCGAGGAAGCAGAGGCGGCGGCGGCGCGGGGGGAGCAGGAGCGGGAGGGCGCGGCGGAGGGGGAGGGCGGCGGGAGGAGCGCCGCGGCGGCCGAGGAUGGCGGCGGCGGCGAGGGACGGGGAGAGGCGCGCGGCUUCGAUCGCCAUUGGAGCGGAAAGUGGGGACGACGACGAUGAUAUGAUAAGGGAGGGAGGGAUUGGAGGCUAGAGAGUAGAGAGAGAACCCCGGCUUGCUUUGUGAUGUGAUGUGGCACAACUGGGCCGCCACUCGUCAUUGACGGGCCGGCCCGGGCUGGACUGGGCCAGGCUUGGGCCCAAACGAUAAGCGGUUGUUGUUAUUAUAACAUCUAUAAAAUAAAUUUGGCAUCUAUAAACUAAACCACGGUAUCCCGUGGGGACGGGAUAGCGCUCAUCGACCCGAGCCCCAUCUAUUUGUCGCUCUCUUUUCAGAUAAUUUUGAGGCCUCGUCAACUCAGCUCCCCACCGACAUGGCCAGCGGCGGCGACGACGACUCUGUCUCCGCGCUCCGACGACGCCCCGCACGAGCUGUUCAUCUUCUCCACGUCUCGUCGGCAGACGACGACUUCGCCUCGGUGCUCCGACGACGCCUUGACGGUGGAGCUGGAGCGGGAGGCGGUGGGUGGGGUCGGGGAGCACGAGCGGCUCGGCAAGCGAUGCGCGCAACGCGUCCACCAGCGACGCCGCCGCCACGAGCGGGGAGGUGUGCCGACGCGAGCUUUCUCGAAGGUGUGGUCCAGGUGCCGCGCUACCGUCGUCUUGCCUCCAUGCUCCACCACGCGUCUGCCUUAUCCUCUCUCUCCUCCUCCUCGUCCUCCAGACUACCAGGUAUCAGGUAUCACGAGUACCUAGGUACCAUACUUGGUACAUGUGAGUAUUAGGCCUGAUACCUUUCGUCAUCGAGAUGGCCGGCGGCAGCGGCGGUGAGGUAUGUAGUGUGGUUAUACAUGACGGCAGUGUAUUGCAGUAGGGAAGGGAACAUGGACAAACUUGAUGUGGGCGACGUCCUCGACGAGCAGCUCGAAGUGGCAGCCGACGCACGUUAGGAAGAGUCGUGUGGCUGCGCAGCUUUGUUGGAAGCUUGCAUGUGGGGGUGAGGUGCGCGACUUCGGGGAUAUAUGCGGCGUUAGGCUGUCGCCCCGAGCAAUGCGAAGGGCAUCCCGUUCCCACGGAAUCCCGUGGGGUAGCAGCCCUCAAGAAAGAAAGAUAAUAGAAAAACUUGGCCAGAUUUUGUUAGGAAAGAACUCACUCUUGUUUUGUUGCGCAGGGCUGGUCCGAUAAACGAUGCAUGGGUGGGUGAUCGACCGACGGCAUGUGGCCGGCCAGGCUGGCGGAGUCCGACUCCCGAAUUCAAUUUGGUGUUUCUUGGGUUUCCUUGCGUGGACUUGAGAUAUCUCGAGUCUUAAUUAGUUUUUAAACCUAAUAUGACGUGGAGAGGGUCUUGUAGCAGACAUGACCAACUCUUUUAUAAGGGAUAUGGCUGGUUCAAUUGACGAACUGAUCUACAAUCAAUGCUAUUAGCCAAUUAAAUCAUUAUUUUAAAAUCACAAAUACCUUUUACCUAGUUUUUAGCCUACUUCGUCCAUCUUCUUGAUUUGCCCUGUAAGCCAUCUGUCUUUGUCGCGAGAAUAUAGAUCCUCCUAUAGGUUUAUCCUAAAAACCUUUCAUUUUGCCCACAAGGCGGAUUUUUAUCUUAGUUUAUCUAAAACAGCUCCAGUAGCCGGUUUUGAUUUCUAAACCCAUCUUGAUCAGGAGUUUUAUCAAGGUCGAGUUGAUUGACGCUUCGUUCAACCCCGUAAGGCUUUAGGUGAAUCCCGAUCAUGUGCGGUGGUGUGACCGAAAAUGGCGUCGAAAAUGGCGUCAACAGAUGGUAAUCUUUAUAUUUCACCAUACUAUUGUUUAUACCCUUAGUGGUUUAAAAACCAAAACUGAAAAAGAAAAUGGUGAAAAUUCAUGCAUAAUAAUUUAAAAUGAAGUUUUAAAAUUUAAACACUCAAAAUAUAGCAUUCCUAGGAGUAAAAAUGUCAAAAUUCAAAAACUGGUUAGGACUCUCUUUGAGAGAGCUGGAGAUUCUAAGUAGUUAGAAUAUGAAAAGGCUGGGAUUACUAGCUUCUGAUUCUAGUUUAUUUGUUAAAUUAUACGGUAACAAAUUCUCAGAAUCUAAGUUAUGGAGUAAGUUAUAACCAAGACCGUUUGGGGAAGAUGGGAGAUUUUAGGAAGUUGGCACAAUCUCCCUCCAAAGGCACCGCAAGCAGCAAGCGCCACGCGUGAGUUCACCAACCUGCUUUUUCACCAAUCUUCAUGCUGAGGGGUUGUUUGGUUCUUAACUAACAUUGUCUUAACUCACAUUAGGCAAGUGUGGCUUGCCAUACUUUUUUGGCCUACAAAUUGUAAGCCACACUUGUGGCAAAGUGAGACAAAGCCUAUGAAAUGUAGGGUAAGGUGUUAAAAAGUGUGGCUUACCACAACUACGGCAAUAAACCAAACACAAGACUAAGGGGAUAUGGUAACCUAAACUGUGGUAUGGCAAGUUAAAGUAUUAAACCAAACAACCCUUUAAGGAAUUGCACUGAUCAGACAGUACUUCCUCCGUCCCAAAAUGCAGAUAGUUUUGAGGUUAGCACAAGUAUUAAGAAAUUAGAUGAGAAUGAUUGAAUGAAAUGCGUGAUUGGUUGAAAAGAGAAAAUAGGUGAAAGAGAAUGGUUGUGGUUGGUUGAGAGGGGGAGGUAGGUGAUGUUAGAAAUAGCUAUAUUUUGAGAUGGAGAUAGUAGGUACUACUAGACAGUCGUUGUCACAAUCCAGAUACACGAGUAAUCAACAAAUCUUGGUAUCAUGUCAGGUCACAGUGCUUUACACCGUGUAUGUAUGUCAGUUGCUUGUAAGGGGGAUAAAGGGUCUGUUGGGGGAGCUUCUAGCUGCUGCAGCUUCUCCCAUAAUCAGAAGCUCCCCAAACAGUACAGCUUUUGGUCCAGAGUCUAAGAAGCUAUAGUUGUAGAAUUUAGAAAAUGAACUAAAAGCUAGAAGCUGACUACCAAUCAGCUGCUUCUCAUAAUUUUAAGCUCCCCCAAACAGGCCCAAAGAGACCAUUACAUGCAUGGACAAAGAUGGUGCUCCCAUUUACAUAAUGAUAAUUACAUUUGAAGUUGUCAACAGGGAGGCUUCUCUUUCUGGUUCAAGAAAGACACCUCUUUUUCUCAUAGACCACACCAAUUCCGUGAUGAUAUACUCUCCAAUUUGCAGCAUUUGACACAAGUUACAUACACACAUACAUGUAUAGCUCGUGAUAGAGGCACUGCUCCCCACAGUUUCUUCUCUACACGUUGCAAUGGCAAAAACAAACAAAAAAGAAUUAACCUAUAUAUAUGUAUAUACCGCUAUACAUAAAGAACGAAUCGAGUGGGUGUUGAAUCCGGUUGACCCUCUAAGACCAUGCACACGGAUAUGCAUAUAUUCCUCUUUCAAAAUAAACGGAAAAUUGCCACAUCAUUCGGUUUAUUAUCGGCUUGAGAUUUCUUUUCUUUGCUCAUCUAUGUGAAGAACUUGGUGGCAUGAUAGACUUGCUGCUGCAGGCUCAACCUCUAACAACCAGCAGCCCUGCGAAAAUUGUCGUAUGGACUUGAUGCCGGCAACCUCAGGAAAUGUUGCUGGGCUUGCUCAUAAGUUGGCUGUGGAUUGGCUUCGUUCAUGUUCAUGUACUGGGGGUAACCAUACAGGUUAUCGUCGACGAACGGAUUCGUGUUCGGCACCCCAACCUGCUCAGAAUCAAAUUAUUGGCCUUAAUUUAUUAUAUAUAUGAAAAUGCAGUAUAUGUAUAUGCUUUUGUCAGUGGAUUGACAUGGUAAAAGAAGAAUGGCAUUUAGAGUUGAAAUUGUUUGCUGUGCGAUUCGAUCUACCUGAGGCGGAUAUGGGUCAUGGAAAAGGGACAAAUCCGUCUGGAACGGCUGAUUGGUUGCCAUGGGAUCCAUUGUCAUAUCCUGCGAGAAGCUCAUGAAGGAGGCCAUUUUCUGAUGUUUCCUGACAGUGAGGGCUUCGCAUUGGCUACUCAUCUCCUUGAAUGGCAUGUCUGUUGAUACAGACACUCGUUCUGUAUGAGGUGCCGGGUCUGUGACAACCUGUGAAAAUGCCAGAGGAUGAAAACAUAAGUCAAAUCGGUUAUCAUGCCAAGUGAAACGAACUUAUAGAUCUAGCAUUCUUUACUUUUCAAACAGGUGUUGUUCUUUAAUUAGGACGUUGAUGAAACAAAUAGGUUAAUUUGACAUAUGGUUAGACAAUAUAGCAUUUCAGGCAUGGAUCAUUUGUUUUCUCCCAAUGAUAGGAACAUUGACUUUGAUGUAUCACAUUGGUGCAGGUCUUGGUUGAAUUUUGCAAAUGGGAAUCCUCGCCAUUCUGCUGAGAUCUUGUAACUUUCAAACUACUACUGUAUACCUGCUGAAAACUUGGUGGGUGUUUUCCUAGGUAUCCUAGAAUGCAGAAUAUCACACACAAUAGUAACUUUAUUCAUGCCAGGUUACCUCAUCAGAAGAGUACAACAAGAACAUAGAAAAUGAGUUUAAGAGAGCAAGGCAUACUGUUUCAAGAAGCUGAUCGAUACUCAGAAGAUCUGUUACAGGCACAGCAUUUGCAGAAGCAGCUGUACUUUCUGAAGCUUCCCCAAAGAUAUCGUGGUCAUUUCCCAGGUCGAUCAGCACAGCCUAUUGAAAAAAAACACAACUUUAGCAUUUUAAGUAGGACACAAAAUAUAUUUGCGAGCCUCAAAAUACCUCUGGAUGGUGAUCAUUAUCAUGAGAUCCUGGUGAUGAGUUAUCACCAGUUGCUUCAAAAAAAUGAGUGCUUGUUGGACACAUGUCAUCGGGAGAGAAAUCGCUUAGCAGUUGAUUCUUCACACUAUUCAACUCCGCCUGCAGAAACAGAGAAGUCAUCAGCGGUUGCACUUUUUAGCGAAUACAGCAGUUUCAUUGAGCUCAUGUUCAAACAAUGAAUUUAGGAGACCAUUGAGAAGAUGAACAUUACCUCUAGCAUAUUUGUUAUGUUGUUCAUGAUUGUGGAGACAAUGCAUUCUCGGGAUUGACUCUCUGAUAGUUCUAUCGCUGAAAGGGACUUCAGUGCGUUAGUAUUAUCCUCUGGUGAUCCGUAGAUUUUCGACGGAUCAUCCACGGAAUCUUUCACAGCCUGAAGCUUGCACUCAUCCACCAAACGGAGGAAUGGAUCACCCUAGACAGAACAGGACACACAUGUCAAAAUAAGGACUAUGCUAUUCAUGAAGUCAAGAUGCCGCAAAAAUGCCUCUAAUAACAAUAAGAUGAUUAAUUGUGGUUUGCUUAUCUCCAGACUAAGGGUUCCUUUCAAAUGCAAGAUAGAGAAAACAGAGGAAUAAGAAAAUCAUAGGAUUUUGACAGGAACGUAAGUACAAAACAAAUGAUCGUUUGAAUAGACCGUAGGAAAAAUAUAGAAAUCAGAUGAGAGAUAGACUCAAAAGGAAGUUUUCUAAGAGGUUAGAGCUCUUGCAAACUUUACUAAAAAAUCUGCAUGCAUUGAACCAUUCCUUAGGAAUUUCAUAGGAUUUAGAAAGCUUCAACCCUACGUUUCAAAGGGCCAAAUAGGAAAAAUUUCCUACAAAAUUCCUACACAGAUCCUUUGAUUCAAAGGGGGGCUAAAUAUAGAUGCAAUUGAAACCCAACUUUGAUAUAUGCAUUACACAAAUUUGGGGAUAUGAUUUUAAAUCGUGGUUUCAAGCCCGCUGUGAUAUUAUUAUCAAUGUACUCUUACCAUACUUACAAAGAAAAGUAUAUAUAGCAUAACAAGGAUAACAUAAAAAAAGGGAUGGAUAAAAAGAUUAAACUAAUGCAACAUAACAAGCUUAAUACUAAAGAGUAAAUUAGGUCCAUCAACUUGAUACUAACAUGUAUUCUUACCACUUCAAAUAGGUAAACAUCUCAGUUUGCAAAAUUGUCUUUGUUUAGGAGGUUACACUAUAGAAGGAAAAAAAAUGCACUGGACAAUAUUUUGAAUAUACAUACUGUUCUCUCAUUCAGCAUUUGUUUACAUAUUGGAAUAAGAGGUAACACGUUGAAAGUUCUUGAAGAGAAAAUGAUCAUAGCUGUAGCAAGAGUAAACAAGGAACGGCGCCGACAUGGUGGUAAUGAAUCUGCAAGACUUACAAAAAGAAAAGUUAGGCAUCCUCAUUCAUUUACAACAUGGGACCAAGUUUUCAUGACGCAUGGAACACUGCAUUUCAAUUUACUAUUAGUGCUACUUCAAGGCAACUUGGCUACCUGGUUCAGUCAGUGAAUAGCCCCUCAGUGAAAAUGCAACCUGAAAACUCUGAGUAAGAGCCUCAAAAACUGAUGCCUGGAAGAGCAAAAGAAGGGAGAAUAAGAAAAUAGGAAAUCAUGAUAGAUAUCCUUAAGCUUGGCAAAAAUUAAUCAAUACUAGCCCCUGAUAGUAGGGUUUAGUUAGGAUGAUCAUCAAUAACGCGUAUGAUAGAUCAUAGAUGUAAUAAUAAGGAGGAUUACCUUGGCUCCAGAGAACAAUAGAAGCAAACUAUAAGUGUGAGCAAUGGCUUCAUAGUUUGCUGGAGUAUUUUCAGGAGAUGUUGCUUGAGCCCAAAUGGAUGAAAGCAAAAGUGUGAUCUGGCGACUGCUCAGCUUCAGCAAAACUGAUUCCUGAGUGCAUUCAAGAUAAUGCAGAAACAAUUAUGUGAUUUUAGUUAAUACAUAUAGAGUUUAAGAACAAGCCAUAUUUGAUUAAGGUACCAUUUCAUCUUCUGGAUGGCUUGAGGAACCAUGGUCUGCCUUUAUAGACAUGGAAGGUGCUCUCAAAGACAUCGAAGUAACUCUGAGAGAUAUGGAAGGGGCUCUCAGGGCUACUGAAGGAGCUCUCAUAGCCAUUGAAGGACCCCUCUUCAUGGAAAAAUUAGGAAUUUUCAUGCUACGUCGGCGACUUUGAGACACAGGUAGGUUCGAACGUUUGGCAUUACUAGACUCUUCACUGAUACUAUGCAAGCCACUGCUAUCACCUUGUGAGUUGUCUGAGUGCUUGUCCUUUUUCAACUUGUCAAAGAUGGCAGCUGAAGAUGAAAACACCGAGACAGCCCUAGAGAGUGUCCUCUGCAUGUCAUGUUUCUUAGCCUGACCUGAUACACUUGCUUGAAUCGAGGGGGCAACGGAAGAGGGGACCAAGACAAUAGCGAAAAUGCGGUGCGCAGCUACUCGAGCUUCAUGAUCAGGGUGGAUCAUCGUUAAGAGCAACUGAUGAAACAGAGCUUCUGGAAACACCUGACAUCAUACACAAGAAGAUAAGUCUUCAAAACAGAAGAAAGUACUGCAGCAAGGAGAUAGUCUUCUAUCUUCUAGUUUUGACAGUAUACCUUAUUCUGAUAGGUAAUAUUUGGAACAGAAGCAAUUAUUUGAGCUGUACGAUAAACAGCAGCUGCAGUUGAUCUAGCUACAACAGGAGUGCUAGCAAUAUUUUCUAGCAUCACGGCCAUCAUGUCCAGAACUGGUCCAGCAUCAGUUACCUGUUCAACAAAAUACCCUUGAUAAACCUUCUGUGCAUUGUGGAUAGAUCUUCUGAAACUAAUCAUAGCAUUGCACAGAACAGAAAACAGGUUGCUGAGGGGCAUCAAUUGAAUCAAUCACAUUUAUAUAAACAAUAUGAUGGUGAUGUAACAGGUAUAGGAAAACAUAGAAGUUCGCAGAGGGAGAGAAAAAGAACAUACCUUCUUUGCCAGCUGUCCUAGACAAUCAUCUAUAGCCUUUCGGAACUUUUCAUUCCAUUUUACUAGCUCCGAAUCUUUGCUGCCGAGAGUAAUAUGAAAUGUCCUUUUCAAAUGCCUGACAAGAUCACUUAUGGCACCUAUAGUUGCUGCUGAAGCCUGAGCGAUGGAUUGUUCUGCUAGGGUGGCUGCUACCUCCACGAUACUAAGCUGCAUCUCCUGUUGCUUCACCAUGGUCUUGUGUUCAAUAUGCUUUAUCAGUAGAGACAACAUUAAGUGCAUGUUUUGUCCUGUAGGAAGUAUUUUAUCAAAAAUAAAUAUCUAGGUUCUUUGCAUAUGAUAAUGUUAGUAUCUGUGUGGAAAAGAUGCAAAUGAAGCACCUGCGUUUUCCACUAACAGUUGCAUGUCCAACAAUACACACAGAGCAAGUCCAUUUUCAGGUGACCAUGAACUGUUGUUGCCGAAGUACCGAAACAAAGACUCCAGGAUACGACGGAAUGUUGUUGCCUCCCUGGAAAGCCUAGCCAUAUUGUGCACACAUAUUCUGGACCAAAACUUAGGAUCCUUUGCUUCCUCCCUGCACAUCACACAAGUAUGUUCAGAAACCACCUACUGAAAAAGAAGAAUUGACAAACCAAAUCAACAGAGUAGAAAGAGAUAAUAUUACACAGUAAGGUUAACUCCACCCUUAACAUUAACUAUGUUCUCCCACAAGGGGACAGCAGAGAUGACAAAGGGGGAAGAGUCCUCCGUUUUGGAGUCCUCUGCUUUGGAGUCCUCCGUUUUGGGGGCUUCUUGCUCCAACUGGUCGCUUGAAUCCUUGGUAACUUGACCAUCAUUUUGCAUCUUCUGAGGUCGGUAGUUUUCAAGUACUACUUGAACCACCUAAGAAUGAAAAUAACAAAGAAAAAACCAUGAUGGAACAUUUGGAACUGUAAUAUGCUUGUGCUAGCAACCUACUACCUGAAAUUAGCCAAAAUGGAGAGCAGAAAGAAAACUGUAUGCAUCACCCAGUUACAUAAUUAUUUCAAUAAUAUUUCUGAUCAUCUUAUGAGCAACAACUAGUUGAUGUUUGGCUAAAUAUGCAUAAAUAAAUAAGAUUUAAAAAACCAUAGUAGCUGGUGUAGGAUUUAGAUAGUCCACCUCAAGGGGACAGUCCUAACUAUUAUGGCAGUCCAAGUCCACAGAUUAUCCAGAUCCAGCUAUCUAAAAGGUUUAAUUACAUAUAUUCCAUUUUUGAGUCGUAUGCAAUUUAAAGUAAGAUGCUAUCUGAUGAUUAUGAAAUACAUAAGCACAAAACUAAGGAAAUGAACUACUAAUCAGAUAUAACUUACAUUAUCGAAUUCCGAUGAAAUAUGUGAGAGCUCUCCCAUGAACCAAAUCUGCACAGCAUAAGAAACUAAAUGAUAUAAUCACUGUCAAAAAUAUUUGGUUCGCUAAGUUAUAAAUGUUUAGAAUAGUUGGUGCAUACAUUUGAAGCGAAAUAAAGUAGACAAAAAAGAGAACAAAGCAUCCAUUUACAUCAUUAUUGUGAAAGAUAAUUUACAGUAAAGCAAUAAAGCACUAUACUGUUGCAGAUUAGUUUUACGAAAAAAAAAAUAUGGUGGGAACAAAAUGUAUCAAUCUAGAAGUUAUGUUGCAAAAUAGUUCCUGGAAGUAAGUUGAUAGUAAUAAUAUAUGUAGUUAGUACUUAAUGCUUAAUGAUUAUGAGCUCCCAUUCGUCACGUAGGAAUGCAAGAAACCUCAGAUGCAAACUAAUGUGUUUUGCAGCAUACGUGUUAGUGUUUGCUUAGAAGUGAAGUGUAAUUUGAAUCUCUUCUGACACAGUAGUUGGACAUUUUUUACCUUCCUAGUCACUUCUUCACCAUUUUUGCAAUCAGUGCUAGACAUGUUAUAUGUGAAGUAUGAUUUGAAUCUCUUCUGGUAACAGUAUUCCCAUACUUUUGUUUUCCUUCCUACUCAUUCGUUCUUCAUUUUAACAAUAGGUUGAAGCAUAUGACGAAAGUUUGAUAUGGCUUAACAGUAAAGUUUACCAUAGCUGAAAGGGCUUGCAGGGCUGCAGCGCGUAGGGCAAUGGUCUGCUCAUCCUCUCCUACUUCUUGAGAUAGCUCACAUAGUCUUGGGACUAGCCCUUCCAAAUUGAACUGAUAUGUACCAUCCACCUAAAAUAGACGGAAAUAAAAGCAUGAACCAGAUACAUCAUGUCUUUCAAAAGAAUUCUGCUGGUGAGGAAUGGUAUCACUGAUCACCAGGCAACGGAAAUACCUGAUUAACUGCAAAGUCAAACAAGGUUUCACAUCCUAUGAUGCGCAUAUCAUCCUGCCUCUUUUGAUCUAAAAGAGUGUGUACAAUACUUAAUAAGCUACUUGCAAAUAGUGGCCUGCAUUGAGCAAACCAAAUGAUAGUAUUAACAUCUGAUGAAUAGAACCAGCAUGUUACAACUCGUUAAAGGAAAAGGGCAAAACAAGGGGAAAAAGAAGACUCUCACAUCUGCUCUUUACAAGAAACCAACAAUCUACGGUAUAUUAGCAUCACCACUUUUGCAAAGCCAUACUGUUCACUUCUCAAUUCCUUGUAGAUCCUUUGCUCCAAGGAAACCGUGAUCUGCUCAUACAUCAAUUUGGAAAAAAAAAUGGAGUCAACUGAGCUUGAAAUUUUCUUGAGAAAAGAUUGAGGUGAAUUUGUGUCAAUCAAUACAUGACUAACAACAACAAGAGCAUGACAGGAACAAUCUGACUAUUGACAGAAACAUUUUUAGCUCCACAAGAAGGUAGAGGGCGUGAACCUUGGGCACUCGGAGAGGGUUCCUCGAGCAAUACUCGCACAACUUCCCGAUCCUUCUCUCAUUCGGUUCUUCAUCCUACAUCAUGAUAACAUACGAGCAGCAACAACAAGUAAAUUAGCUAAGCUGCGGAGCAUCGAUUAGUCCGAUAAUGCGGCUUCCACACAUGAACAGAACAAACAAACAAGACAGAGAUGGGGGAUGCAGCAAGGGGCCCAACCUACCUGCGUUUUGGGGAAGAUCUCAGCAAGGAUCGACUUGUACCUCUUAACAGGCUGCCUUGAUCUUGCCCUCAACCCGGGGCAGAAAUAGCAGAGGCUCCCGCACGCCGGCAGGACCUUCCGAGAUAUCACGCCCAUCCCCUACUACUGUAAGCAGAAUUGAUUUAGCAGAGCAAAAAACAAAAAAAAAAGCUAAUUAGAAUAAUUGCAAACACAACAAUGGCGAUCAAAUCAAGGGAUUCCACCUCCAAUAUGCACUAUCUAGCUACGAAUUUUCUCCAAAGCAAGAUACAUUAAUAAUUGUUGUUGGCAAGUUAAAACCGAGCAGGCGAAAUUCAUAAAUUUUGGGGGGAAUGCCAUUUCUAACGGAAAUCAAAUCAAAACGAAAACAAAAAAAAUUCUAGCGGCGUUCGAUCUCGCUUAGCGGCGGCUGGCUUGGUGCUAGACCUUCUCCUAGGUUGCGUGUUUGUUUGUUUUUCUUUCAUGGUUACAGCCUUCCAUGGCUGCAAUCUUGUAAAAAUUAUUUUUCAUAUUAUAUCAAUAUAAAACUUAGCAAAUGUAUAAUGCAGGCACUUUAAGAAAAGAAAAACAAAAAAAAAUCGAGCGGCAACCUGCAACAACAGAAGCAAUGGUUCGAACCCCAAUCUCUCGACCAAUCAAACAUAAUUUAAUUAAAACGCUAUGGAAGGAGAUCGAUAGAUCGAUCGAUGGAGGAGGGCAAAGGAGGUUACGUUGCUAGGAGAGGCCGCCGCCCGGCGGGCGGGCUGGGCGCCGGGGGGGAAGAAACCGCGGGGACGGCGUACGUGCGUACGGCCGCGCUCUCCUGCCGAUCCGGCCGAUGGAGAGAUGCGGGGCGGGUGGGGAGGAGAGGAGACGCGGGGGUGGGAGGGAGGGAGAGAGGAGGGAGGCUGUGGCACGGCGGGCGCGCAUGGCCUUGGGCGAGGAAUGGGGGGUGGCCGCCAUUGGUGCGGGCGAAGUGGGCGCCGGAACUCGAGGCGCCUGCACCUGCAUGACCUCCGUUGCGCCAGCAAAUGCCAGGUGGGUGCAUGCCGGUGUUUGUACAAUCAUAGUGAUCUCGGAAUACGGCAGGUACUAUAGCCAUCCAAGUACGAGCCACAAGAUGCUACUGGCUCCGUCCUAAUUUGUAUAGCACCUUCUUUUUAAGAAAAAUUAAACCUGAUAACUUUUGACUAAUAAAUAUUAUGUAUAUUAUAUCACUAGAUUUAUAUUUAUGUUUUAAAGUACUUUCACGUGAUACUAAUUUUAUAUUUAUCGGAAACAUAACAUGGGAUAAAUUGAUGGUCAAAGUAUGUCAUUGAAGAAUGUAUAAAAUAUAUAGGCCUUAUAAUUUGGGACGGAGGAAAUACAUAGUAGUACUAAAUGAUGAGGUGGAGGAGAUAAGAAAGAUAAGAGCGAAAUAUUCACUUCUCAGAGCAAGUAUAAUAGCAGGCUAUAAGCGAGCUAUAACCACAUAUCGAGAAGAAAAGAGAAGAGAGAGAGAAGAAAGUGGGCUACAGAUUUGUAGCCAGGUGCAACACAGACUCUAAGUUGUUGUGUGCGUAUGAGAGGUGAGACCGGGUAUUAAUGGUGUAGUAUGUUUUUAUAGGUAACUAUUAUAUGAAUGGAUUAUUAGAUUAGCUAUAGAUAAUUUGGAGCUAACAUUUGGCUAUACUAUUAAACUUGCUCUUAUGCAAGGAGCAACCCCUACACAAACUUUAAUAAAUAUGUGAGAGUGUUAGAGAUAUUGGAGAUUGUGUGGUAGAGGCAACCUAUUACACAUGUUACCUCUUAAUUAAUUUAAUAGUAUAUGUCAUGUAUGAAAUUAGAUGUGGUAGUAACUUCUACCAUGAAGAUAUGUAUAUUGUUCUCCCCACUCAUUCCCCUAUAGAAGGCCACCGAAGCUCCGGAUUGUUGGUACUAGAAUCUAAGAGCAGGUACAAUAACAUGCUAUAAGCUAGAUAUAAGAAUAUUUUGUGAAGAUAAAAAGAUGAGAGAGAGAGAACAGCGGACUAUAGAUUUAUAGCCAGCCGCAGUACGGACUCCAAGACACAAUAUGUGUAUGAUAAGUGUGACCAGAUAUUAAUAGUAAUAUAGUAUAUGUUUAUAGGUAGCUAUUGUAUGAAUUGGCUGUUAAAUCGAUUAUAGAUGACUUGAAGCUAGCCGUUGGCUGUACUAUUAAACUUGCUUAUUCGUACCAUGCAUGAUUAACAACUAAAAAUAGCCUACAUGGGUAACAGAUAGAUAAAUAAACUGUAAGGGAGAAUCCUCUAUAAUAUUUUUUAUAAGGGUUCACAAUUUUAACAAAAACCAGUCGAAUUCCACGAAAAACCGAGGUUUUGACGUAGCCCGAAAGUAGAAGCCGUUUAGAAUUUUGAUGGGUUUCAUCCAAAUUUAAAUUUGAAUUGAUAAAAAGGAAAAAAAAUAAAACCCUAUAAAUAGUAUGAUAUUUAUAGAACCUAUUUGGGUAUAAAUUUUUCAAAAAAUUGGUGUAUUCGGUGUAUUUCUUAAACUUUAUAGUAGGAAAGAAAAAGAAUAACAAUUUAAAAAAAAGGAAAACACUUUCCUGGGCCGAAUUCCAUGCAGUAAGCCCACUUAGUAUUUAGCCCAGAUAAUAGAAUAGAGAGGGGAUGUAGUUCUACACCUGAUUUCGCUCGGAAUUUCGCUAAAGCUGACUGGUUUUUGCGAGCAUACUGGUAAACUUAGGGAAUUUGUAUUCAAAUUUUAGUUUAUGAAAUUUGUUCAAAAUCUACCGGUUUUCAACCUGAUUUUGCGAAAACUAUCAUACCGCCAAAGCCCGGAAUAGAAGGUCAUCUCGGAAUCGUAAACCCUAUGCAGAUACAUGAUAGUCCUAUAGCUUAUAAUUCAGUGAAAAUGCAGCAGUUAUAUGAUCAUGCCAACGCUGAUCAGCUACCUGACCAUGUAAGAUAUAUAUCUAAAGUUCAUACAAAUACUUGUAUCCCUGCAUUUUUUUCGAACGUGCAAAAAUGAUUACAUGUCAGUAUAUUAGAAAAAAAAAUCUUUUAUACUCUUAUACAGCGCAACCGGCCAGACGGCUAUUGCUUGGGGACAAGGAAAAAAAAAGAGAAAGAAACAGAAAGAAAGACUGCUAGAGUAAAAAAGUACGAAAGAGACACGUUGCUCCUAUAGAAAGGAGGGUGCCGGCGGAGCCCCACUACGCUCCCAACAUUAACAUUAACAGUUUUGUAUCCCUGCAUUAACAGUUAGCUGAUCAUCUGAAACAAAUUAAGGAUGAAAGAACCCUGUGCAGAUACAUGAUAGUCCUAAUCCAUCAUCUGUUCUGGAUUUCAUAAAUUGAUUUCACAUAGCCCUGAGAAAAGUUACCGACAAGGGAUUGGAAACACACGCACUCACUAUAUAACUUUGAUUAACAAAAUGUUCUCGUCUAGAUUUACAAAUAGAAAACAAGAUCAUUUAUCACCUAUGGAUGUACAUAAAUAAUUAAAAGCAUCCCUGAAACUUGAUGCAAGGAAACAGUUCCCCUUAUCCACCUAUCUCCCAUUCAGCAAUUUACAGUGUGAACCAAGAAAAUUCUGUUUGAAGAAGCAACUUUAUUUCAUUUUCCCACUUUUGGGAACAUAGCAAGCAACAUUAACCAGCAAUCUCGCCGGAAUUUUAACUGAAUCCUGUGAAACGCAAGUAAUUUCCGUGAAACACAUUCGCAUGCGAUGCAUUUGGGAAGUGAUGGCAUUCAUCCACUUCAACCAAUUGAUUGUUGAAUGGUGAUAUUGACGGUGAAACUCACUUUAUAUUUCAGUUCCCCAUAAUUGUCACAAGUAAGCUAGGAACAAAUCCCUGAUGAUGAGAUCGAUCCUUUUAUGCAUUUGUAACAUGUUCUUGUAAAAUAAAUAGACUUUGAUUUGUGAUGCCGGAGUACUAUGCACAUGCCUAGUAGAGGUCCUAGAGGACAUGUUUUUUUCCCCAAUACUUGUUUUUAUUUUUCUUGCCUAACCUCUAUGCCUUUGUUUAAUAUGCAUGAUCUGCCCAAAAUUAAUGAAAUUUAUAAUGGUUCAUUACUACGAACUGUAAAUACUUGUUUUUUUACUUGCAAAGUACACGAAUCUCUAUCUGUCGUGAAUAUGAAUAUCGUCCAAGAAAAAAAAUUAGUAACAUCCACGACACUAAAUUUGUUUCACUAAAUUUAAUAUUGAAUAUAUUUCGAUAAUAUGUUUGUUUUGGGUUACAAAUAUUACUGUAUUUUUCUACGAAUAUGAUCAAAUUUAAAGAAGUUUAACUAAUAAAAAAAAUCAAACGACUUAUAAUAUGAAUUGGAGGGAGUAUACUACUGCCACUGAGUUAAUCAUAGUUGAACGAUUUACAACUGACAGGGUUUUAAAUGAUGAAGUUGUAGGCCGUCCAAGUUUGCUGAGGAGCAGAGCCAAUGCUUAAUCUGUCAAGAAAACUAUGAUGGGUAACUACCAUUCCCUUGGUAGAAUCACCACAAGCUCUUCGCCUCUUCCUACUAGUCUUAUACUCUAGAUGUAAUCCAUGAAAUCCCAUGAAAGCUUGUACUAACAAUGAUCAGGAUUAAUUAAAACAAUGAAUAAAAAAGUAGUGAGUAAGAGGUAUUAAUUAUUGACUCAUUUGGUUCAUUUGUUUCAUAAGAGAAAUUAUGCUUGAGCCAUUUGAACCUAAAGUCUGGCCAGUCUAUAAAUUUGGUUGAUGUUAAACCUAUUUUGUUUUAAAAUAACUCCGGUUACUGCUCUAUAGAUUUCUACGGAUUUGAUGAUGUACCGUAGUAUAAGGUGAAAUUUGAUUUUGCACGCUCUGUUGCGAAGUGAAAAUGUGUGCUAAAUAAGGUGCAAAAAUAUAUAUUAAAAAAAGUGCACUGUACAUGGCGUAAAAUGCAGUACACUCAUAAAUGUCAGCGAUGGAUGGAAUUCACAACAUCAAUUUCUUUCACGAGGUACAGUGACAGUGCUACAAUUUCACUGCAUCCCCUGUUAAAAAUUGCUGGAGUGAGGGCUCUCAUUAGUCAUUACUAUCCAUUCACAUUAGGAAGACCUUAAUUGCUGGCAUUCGGUAGUGUGAAGUCUCAACACCAUACCUGCAUUUUGUACCCUCUCACUAGAGAGCCACAGUACAACUGGCAGCAGUGAAUGACAAUUGACAGUAUAAAGCUGCAUUUACUAGCAACAGUGGAAGGCAAUGUGCAGCUUAUAAGGUGUAUACAUGGAUCAUCUCUAAAACCACAACUAUCAAAUCAAUUGCUUUUCCCCUCUCACAGCAGCACAUAUUUUUACCACGAUCUUGUGAUCUAGGCAUGGGAUGCAUCAGGAGAAGAUACAUCGGUUGUUCUCUCAUUGGAUGCCGCUCUAGAGUCCAAAGAAGCUUUGGCAUGCAUGCUGCUCUGACGAUCCAGUUAAGUUAGUACCUUGCAUGAUUGAACAUGCUCCAUUGCUAACACAUCAACGAACAUAAGGUGAAGGUGUCUAUCUAUAACCUUUCUGUCCCUUGAGCUCAACAACACCCUUGACCUCAACAAUAUGAAAAAUCUGUGCAUCGUUUGCAUGGGAUGAAUGAUAUCUAAAAGUCUACAUUAACCAACAGCCUCCUGCACAAGAAUGGAGAUGACUGAAUAUCUUGAUCAAGUAAUAUUCCAUCUUGCUUUAAUUAAUAAUGGCUAUAUCGAGAGAAAUAAAAUGAUUUGGAAGCUUAAGAUACCGCUUAAGAUUAAGAUCUUCAUGUGGUACUUACUUAAAGGGGUUGUGUUAACCAAAGACAAUUUAGCAAGACAGAAUUAGAAUGGUAGUUUAAGAUGUUGUUUUUAUAUGAAAAAUGAGAAUAUUCAACAUCUUUUCAUGGAUUGCCAUUAUGCAAGGUUUAUAUGGAGAGCAAUACAAUAUUCUUUUGGUCUAUGCCCUCCUAGUAGUAUAUCAUAUAUUUUUUAUGGUUAGCUUUUGGUGGUGGACAAGAAAAUGAGUAAGCUUAUAUGGAGUAAGCUUAUACUUGUGGGGGUCUCUGCAAUAUGUUGGGCUCUGUGGUUGAGUAGGAAUGAUUUGGUUUUUGACAAAUCACCAUCUAUUACAUAUAUACAUGUAAUUUUCAAGGCAACAAAUUGGCUUCGGUGUUGGGCUCAGCUACAAAGUUAUGAUGAAGAUGACGAGUUUAUGAAGGUUGCAUGCCGUAGGCUUGAGACAAUAGUUAUGCAACUUUUUGCCAAUUAUGGUUGGAGAUUCACAAAUAGAUUUCAAUAAUGUGUUCUCCUUAUCUUAGAUGGAUUAUUUUUUAUUUUAAGUGCGUGUUCUCAAUGUUUUGUUGAACUACACUCUUUUUUGAGUGUAACUUUAUAAUAAUUGGUUGUAACUCGUUUUGAGUAAAGGCUGGGAUAUUCUAUUCCAUUAUCUUAAAAAUAAGUAAUAUUUGCAUGUAUGCAUCUGGGAAGAAAUUAGGGGACAGCCACAUGCCUCCACUUGAACCAACUGAUUACUCAACAUUUUCUCUCUGUACUUGAACCACAUGCCAGUUCCAUCAAUGCCUGGAUUGGAUGGAACUUCUGCAUUUUCUUUUUCUGUACUGAAAGAUAUACUGAUGGUAUUAUGACUUGGGCAGAUAUAGGAGUAGGGCAGCUACUCCUAGGCCCAAAUAUCGAUUGAAAUUACACUUCAAAAUUUGAAAAAGAAAGUAGAAUAUAGAAGACAGGUUUUUGUAGGUUAUACUAGUUCGUCCAUACUCUUAGAGCAAAUUCCUCCAUGACUGCUCCAAGCUCCUACGAACUUACUCCCUCCAUCCCAUUUUAAGCGCUGCUAUGAGUUUUUUUUUUCAACUUUCAUCAUCCGUCUUAUUUGAAUUUUUUUAUGAUUAGUAUUUUAUGCGUGACUUAUGUUUUUCAAUAUUUUCAUUUUUUUAAAUAAGAUGGACAAUUAAAGUUACUCAUGGCCGUGCUUAAAAUGGGACGGAGGGAGUAUAUAUUAGACCCAAGAGUAGAUAACCAGCAAACUCCAGUGAUCCAGACUGCCAUCUAUUUCUUCCCUUACAUAUUCAGUAGUUCAACAGAAAACCUGAGGCUUGAAGUUUUAGUUAAGCAGUGCAUCAGCUUACAGCAAAGGUGAUGUGGCUCCAGGAGAUGUGAAACUGUGAAAAGUAAACAUGAAUACCAUAGUGUAGGAAUGAGAAACAUCGAGAAGGAUUAGAGGAGACUCAGGGCUUAUUCGUUUCAAAGGAAUUGCAAAGGAAAAGCAUAGGGAUAAAAAUGGGUUUUAAACUACCAUUCGUUUCAUAGGAAUGAACCAUAGGAAAACUAUAGGAAAGUUUUCCAUUCCUCCAUUUUUGAAGGAAAAGCAUAGGAAAAAACAAUCCACUCUAACCUAAUAUUUGCAUUCCUUUGGUUGGCUUGCUCAACAACAUAGGAAAAAUUCUUGUAUUUUUUAAUCCAUAGGUCUGCACAUGUAUUCAUAUAGUAUUUCUACGUUUAUUCUAUUUCUACGUUUUGAAAAUGCUGUGAACCAAAUAAGCCCUCAAUGUGGCAAAUAGCAUAGCGUUGGGCAUUAAUAUCCCACAUGUAGAGUUGAGUUUAGAUAGGUUGAGGACCAGCGUAUAAACUUUUUGCAGUAAUGCCAGUUCUAGCUAGUUCAUCUGGGUUAACUUUAAAAAAAAGGGAUGGAUGGGAUUUACUACACCAUUUUAAAGGCACAUAUAUAGUAUAUAUGCUUUGAUUUCACCUACACCCCCUUCCCAGAAAACUAGCAUGAAGGCCACUCAUCAGUCUGUAGGAUCGAAUCACAAGAACUAAGCCAACCAGAGGGGGGUGAAUGGUUGGUAUACCCAAGAACCGAAAACUUUUAGCGGAAAUAAAAGUUACCCUCGAAUUCGACAGAAGUCGGUCUGACCGAGAUUGAUCUGCCAGUCUGACCGAGUGGAUGCCGCCGGUCUGACCGGUAUAGAUCACCCGGUCUGACCGCCGAUGUCGCCUGCUGCGCCUGUUGCCGCCGCCGGUCUGACUGCCGUGCUCCCGCCGGUCUGACCGCCGCUUGCCGCCGGUCUGACCGCCGGUGAGUUGCCAGUUAGACUGCCGAAACCCGGUGAAACAUAAAUCGAAGAACUCUUAAAGUAGAUGACGACUUUAUUGAUUCUCUAUGUGUUCACAAAGUGCAUCAACAUCACUCCUUACAAAAAUUUCGACUAAACUCGAAACCCUAACUAAACUAGCAACUCAAUUGCUCUCCAAAGUGAUACCAAAAAGCGAUACUGGGAAGCCUCACGCUCCCCCUCUAUUUAUACAUGAGGUAGGCAGCCUAAAACCACGAACCAAACUCAUACUAAGAGUCCUAAACACCUUAGGAAACCCUCUAGUACAAGACACAAACUUAACAUAACCAAUCGUACCAAAUUUGGACUCCUUCCAAAUUCGACUCCGCAUCCCAUACACACACAAUACUUCCACCGUAUGCCAUAUGGAAUCUUCACCAACCACGUGCAUCAACUCUAGCCUUAGUAUCCCGCAUGAUAUCUGACCACCACGGACAUCGUUUUACCACCAAGCCGACUCCCGGUCCAUCACCGCAAAUACUCUGCCGAGGCAUCGAGUCACCUACACAUGAAACAAACAAAGAAACCAUAUUCCGAGACCAAGCUAUCCUCAACUUGACUCAUUGUUAGCAAACAACAGUAUUACAUACGUAUAGUAUCCAUCUAGAAGCCAUAACCAUGAAACAAUCAUGGAUAUCCAAAGAACCAAUCCGAAACCGAAACCGACUCAGCGUUAGCCGGUCAGACCGCGGGCCUGGCCGGUCUGACCGCACACAUAGCGCCGGUCUGACCGGCAACCUCCGCCCGGUCGGACCGGACACAUAAAAUAACAGAAUCCGAUCAUCACCUGAAAAUUGAUUAUCUCCAAAACCACUUCGACGAUAAUCUCCAAAUAUCAAAACCAAUAAUCACAGAUGCCAAUUGUUCAUCACAGAAUAAGGAACAAAACACACUUUGAUCUUACACAAUCAUCACUACUCCAUCCAUCCCAUAAUGUAAGGGAUAAUGGGUAGAUGUGACACAUCAUAGUGCAAUGAAUCUGGACUAUGAUGUGUCACAUUCACCCAUUAUUCCUUAUAUUAUGGGACGGAGGGAGUACCAUUCACAUUAGCAUGAACUUAUGGACACUCAGUAGUGAACAAGUCUCUCAUGAACACCACACCUCCAUUUUCUACCCUCUCACUAGAGAGCCACAAGUACAACUAGCAGUAGUGCAUAUUAAAUGGCAUAGCCGCAUUUAAUUACUAACAAAGUGGAAGGCAAUGCAAGCUUAUAAUGAGUACAUGGAUCUCUGAAACCACAAUUACCCAAUCAGUUUCCUUUCCCCUCUUUCUACCACAAUAUCUCAUUAUCUCGGAAUGGGAUGCAUUUGGAGAAGAUAAAAGGGUAGUUCUCCCCAUUCAUGCUGCUCAAGAGGUCGUAGAAGCUCGGGAUUGUUGGUAUAGGGAUCUAAGUGAGCACCAUGCAUGAUUAACAACUAAAAAUAGCCUCCACCGGUAAUAGAUAAACAAACAUGAAGGGAGGACCCUCUAUAAGAUUAUGUCCCUACGUAGCAGUUAUAUACUUAUAUGAUCAUUGAAAUGUUGUUGCCUACCUGAUCAUGUAAGAUAUCUAAAGUUCAGUAUCCUAGAAUUAACAGGAAGCUGAUCAGAUGAAACAAAUCAAAGAAGAAAGAACCUUCUGCACAUACACAUGGUAACCCAUCACAUAUUCUGGAUUAAAUAGAUUAAUUCACGUAGACCUGAGAAAAGUUGCCAACAUGGGACUGGAGAUUGGACAUGCAUGCUCGUUAUAUCACUUUUAUUCACAAGUUCUUAUCUAGAUUUACAAAUAGAAAAAAAAGAUCAUUUUACAAAAUAAUUAUUAGCAUCCCUGAAACUUGAUGCAAGGAAAGGAACUGCUCCUAUCCACCUGUAUGAACCAAUAACUCUGUUUGAAGUACAGUCAUAAUGCUGCAAUUUCACCACGUCCCCUGCCAAUAGAAGUUCUGGAGUGAAGGCUCUCAUUAGUCAUCACUAUCCAUUUACAUUUGGAAGACCAUAAUUAUUGGCACUUGGUGGUGUGGAGUCUCCGUUGAUACUCAAAUUUGGUACUAGUUUGGAUUUAUAGCAACUUGCCAAAUUUGGAAACUAUCGAGUCUUUCCCGCGAAGGCCGGUCUGACUUCCAUUGUUUUUUUUAGGAAAACGACGGCAGGAGCUCUGCUGGAAUUUGAUUAAGAAGGAAAACAGAGUGCAAACAGAUCGGUCUGACUUCCGUUGUGUGGCCGGUCAAACCGGACAAUGAACUGCAGUCAGACCUUAGGUGUCCGCGUGGUCAGACCUUCAACACAAAGUCCGAGUCCAAUUAAGUAUUUCUCGUGUUUCCUUUUUUGAGACUAGGAUUUCUCGAAUCUUAGUUGAUUUCUAAGCCGAAUUGGACAUGAAAAUGACCCUGAGAAACAAGUCCACCCCUCCUACAAAUAUAAGGGGUCAAAACCGAUUGAAACAACAAUAAAUUAAUUAUCAAAAUCAAUUUAUUACCCAAACCCUCUAUAUUCUACAUCUUCCUCCUUCUUGCUACCUAUCCCAAAGUCUAUUCUACUCAAAUUCCCCAAUUGCUUGUCAUCCUCGUCUCUACGGCUUAGAGGACGUCCUAACUGGCCUGCCGGAGUCUAGGACAAACUGGCGCGUGUUCACCCUAACGGGGUCCCUCCUGGGUGUUCUUUUGAGCAUCCACCGCUCCUUGAGGCGGCUCGUCUCCGGGUGUGCCACUGCGGGUUGCACAUAAUGUGCUCAAUGUGUGAAGGCGCGAUUCGACGUCAACAGUCUCUAACACCGUACCUCCAUUUUCUACCCUCUCACUAGAGGGCCACUCCACACCACGUGACAAUACAACCGACUUAGUGAAUGUUAAUUGAAAGUAUAGCUGCAUUCACUAGCAAAGUGGAAGGCAAAAUGUGCAGCUUAUAAGGUGUACAUGGAUCUCUGGAACCACAACUAUAUAUCCAGUCAAGUGCUUAUCCCCUCUCUUUGCAUGACAAAUUUUACCACAAUCUUGUGACCUUGGAAUUGAACGCACUGGGAGAAGAUACAUGCAUGGGUUGUUCCCUCUAUUCUUGCCUCUCUAGAGGCCAACGAAGAUUUGGCUGGCUUGCUGGUCCAAGGAUCCAAGUUAGUACCUUGCAUGGUUGAACAAGAUCCACUUCUAAGAUAUCAAAGAACCUAACGUGAUGGUUGUUGAGUUGUGAUCCAAAUUCAUUUGCACUUAAUAAAAGCCAGCUUCUGCCCUAGUGAAGCGGAGGCUGAAGUUGGCCCAUUGGGUUGUGCACCUGGGGACGCCCGGGGGUGCGGGGGCGGAGGCCCCGCGGUACAGAUCGUAAUACCUUUUAGGGUUCCACCUCAUAUAUAUACCUCUCGUAAGCCGCCGUGCGGCGUUGUAACCUCACCCUCGAUAUAGUAAAGAUUUUUUUGCUGGCUGGCAUCCGUGGUUUUUUCUCUCCUGGUUUGGGAGGGUUUUCCACGUUAAAUCUCAUGUCUUCUGUGAUUGAUCUAUUGUUCUUUAUCGUUUGUUUGCCUAUCGCUUCCUAACAAUGGUGUGUGUCUGUAACUUUUCCGUCCUUGAGCUCAACAACAUGGAAAGUCUGUGCAUCAUUUGCAUGGGAUGAAUGACAUCUAAAAGUCAACAUCAACCAGCAACGUCCUGACAAGAAUGGAGGGACAUAAUUUGUUCUACCGAUGAUUUUAUUAUUCUAGAGGAGGUACCAUACUCUUUUAUAUCAAUUUGCAUUACCUCUUUAGACAUCUCCUGAACAAUUAGAAACAUCACCACUGCACUCCUUCAACCUUUUCACUUGCUGUUUCUACAUGAACAGAUGAAAUUCAUGAAACAGAGGGAGAGUGUUGAUUUAAGGAAAUACAGAUAUCAACAAUGAUAUGUUAUAGCCCGUAUUGGAAUGUAUGCAUGCAUAGGGAAACGGGGUAGCCAAAUGACGAUGAUCUUUACUAGGGAGCAGGGGCAUUUAGUAGACAUGGAAUGUAUUCCACUUAAUAUAAACUUUGGUUCAGAUCGAAGAUUACAAUCAUUUCCAGGAGCAACGACCCCAGAGAAUAGGUGUGCUAGCAAGUAUUUGGCAUGAACAUGUUAACCACAAUGAUGAUGUUGUGCCAUGGGAAUGGAAUGAUACACAUAUGUUGAGGAAAAGAGAGAAACCAAAGAGAAAAACAGCACGAGCAAUUCAGCAUCAGAAGCAGUCGUAGUAUAAACUAGAUAGCACUGGCUACGUUGUAUAUAUAGACAUCCAACUGAGGAGAAACAUGAACACUGUUGCUCACUGCUUAGGUGAAGUAUGAGCCUUAAUUAAUAAUUUUGAGUAAGAAAAUGCUGACAGCAUGUUGAUUAAUUUUGAAGUAUCAAAAUUUUUCGGUAUGUUGGCAUUCAAAAUUCUAAUAUUAUGGUAGACUAGUGGUCCAAUGGAGGGCACCUAUAUACCUAUAUAUACCUUCCACACAUCCAGAUUCCAGCACUAUUUAAUCAAAUACUCAUAUCUAAAGUCACAAGUCCAUCUAUAUCUGAUGGUUAUUCCGACUCUAUCUAGGGUGUAUAUAUACCAAUUUAUUUACAAGCUAGUAGCAACUCACACAAACAUGGAUCAGAUCGAGCUCAAACUACCUAAAGAUGAUGCAGAUCAACUGCCAGUGGCAUCACAAAUAUAGGCGUAGGAUGCAUUUGGGAAGGAGAAAAAGGACGUGAAACAAAGACUGCAUCGAUCACUCGCAAUCCAUAGAGCGUAGUGGCAUUGACUGACCUCACACAACCUUUUAUGCAGUAAGACACCAGAAAGAGUAGCAACGACCUGUAUGUUCAUAGUUGCAAUUUCUCAUAUACUCCAUGGAUUUAUCAGUAACUAGAUUAAAUUGUACCAAGUGAUAUUGUGGCACCAGCUAGCUAGUUUAAUAAAAAUGUUGGAAUAGUUGUAUGAUCAAUGUCAUAAUGAAAAUAAAUUCUAUGAAUUGAAAUUGAAAAAUGUACAAAGAAUAGGUAAAACAAUAGUAAGAAUGCUUGAUGGAAUGAUGGUAUUAUAAUGACUACCAUAUUAUUAUAGCUACCUAUGCUAUUUAAAUUUGAAUAGCAGAGGUAGCUUUUGAAUAGAGGUAGCUGUGUAUUAUGGGAUGGAGGUAGUAGUAAACUUUCAUUAGUACAAUUAUUAGUUACGUCUUCAGUUUCUUAAGGGAGAUUACUACCAUUGGAUGAUAUACCAAGUGUAAUAUUAUAUUAUACUAAUGAAUUUUCAUUAACGAUCUUUAGUAAUUUCAUUGUCAGAUCCAUCAAUGCCUAGACUGGAUGGACCAUAUGCUUUUUUUUUAUUUUUUCUGUACUGAAAUAUUUCGGUAUUAUGACUUGAAAUAUGUCGACAGAAAUGAACUUCACACAAUGCUCCUUACCUCCUACCAACAUAUAUAUAAGAUCCAAGAGUAGAUAACUAGAAAACUACUGUGAUCCAGACUACCAUAUAUUUCUUUCAUGAGCAUCUUUUCUAUCCUUGAGGAGAUACCACGAGGUACUAUGAGGUACGAGGCACCAUAAGGUACCAAUCUAAUCUAACCGUUGGUUUAACAGGGGUAUGAUCGGGCAAACAAAAAUAAGCUCUCCUCUCUUCCUUCUGCUGUAUCAGGUCGUCCAUGCCGGCUGUCUGCGCCGUGCCAUCGUCGCAUCGAGGCCGUCGCGCCGCCGUCACCCAUCAAGAUCGUCGCGCCGCCGUCGCCCAUCGUGGUCGUCGCGCUGCCGUCACAUCGAGGUUGUCGCGCCGCCGCCCAUCGAGGCCAUCGUGCCGCCGUCGCAUCGAGGCCGUCGCGCCGCCGUCGCAUCGAGGUUGUCGCGCCGCCGCCGUCCACCGGGGCCGUCGCGCAUCGAGCCUGCCGCCGCGGUCGCGCGAAGAUGCUUGAGCAGUAGGAAUUCUGAAGGUUGCCGUCGCGCAUCGAGCCCGCCGCCGCCGUCUCCGCCGCCGUCGCGCGAAGUUGGUUGAGCAGUAGGAAUUCUGAAGGAAGCUGAAGGUUGUCCAAUCGAAGAUGCUUGAGCAGUAGGAAUUCUGCAAGAGAUGGCAGUUUCUUCCAAUUUUUACAACCUCCCAAAUCUAGGCUGAUAAGAUUAUUCACUGAGGCUUUUGCAAUCCAGUAUGGGAUUUUAGCACCAACAUAACCUGAAAUCUUUAGGUUCUUCAGAAUAGAAUUUGGCUCAAGGUUAUCAAGAAUGAUUGAACAAUCUUCUCUGCUGUUGGUGCCAUCAUCCUCUGACCAUUCUAGAGAUAAUGAGCCGAGAUGCCGUUUUUCCUCCAGCUUCGCAUUCUUGGCUUCUUCUUCAUUCUCAAUAUUCUCUAGGUCCUUGAUAACUAGUUUACAGAGGCACUUACUGUGUAACCUUUUGCUUGUCGGACCUGAUAGUCUUCUAACAUCUCUCCUAGUUUGAUGUAUCGAAGGUGCUUUAACUUUGCCAGUUUGCCCAUAAAAUCAGAUGUAUGGAACAAUACCGUUUUAAACAGACCAUAAAAUAAAUGCAUGCAAGCAGCCCAUGCUGCAUAGGAAUUUAAUACUGAAUAGAAGGAGAUAAUCAGUUCAUAUCGGUGUUUCUUAGGUAAGAAAGAUCAUCGAUCAACGCUUAUGUUAGUUAACGUUGGUCCUAAUAUGAUCGGUUAAAAGCUGUCAAAUUUUAAUUAAAAAAUUUGGCAGAACCUCGCCAGUACUUGUGAACAUUCACGACAGGUAGUUUAUAAGCAAUCAGUCAUAAAGUCAUAAUCACAUCCAGACACAAAAUAACACAACCAACUCCAAGACUAAACAACACGACAAGUACAGAUCAAUUAUGUACUGAGAUUACAUAGUUUCAAAUUACAUAAUGUUACAUACUGACAGGCCUAAGCCUCAGAUAAGCAUACAAAAGAGAGUUACUGGCCACAUGCAAAUAUUCUUCAAUUUUGAUCAUCUAGGAUCAGCUGUGAGCCUGUGCCACAAUGGAUUGUCUGCAUGCCUUUCCUUUUCUGCUGAACAGAGAGAGAAAAAAACUGCACAAGUCAGAAAUAAAACUUCUCAUGCCUAAACAUAGCUGAAACAUUUUUAUUGAGAGAACAGAAACUAAUCUAGAAUUUGAGAGGCCAGCAUGUCGUUUCUGACAAUGCCAAGAAACGAUGAGACCGUUAAUUAUAUACCUAUAAGACAGUCAGUAAUUAUACCAUGGGCAUUCCGUCGAACGCCUUGAGUGCAAAAUAAACAAGAGAAGUUCUAUUCAACUAAGAUACAAUUUCCAUGCACACACAUGAAUUGACAAAUAGUGUGCAGUUCAUCUGCAAACAUGCAAAUGAAUAGCUAGCAAUUCGUAAUUCAUAUCUAUACACAGGAUAUAUAUUAGCAGCUGGAAAAAUCUUAACUAAUUAAGUGUAGUGCCAAAUUGCUUACCUGUUUUCAGGUCCUAUAAUAGUCCCCUAACUGAAGAUAUGCAAAUGAAAUUCUAACUGAAGAUAUAUCAAGAUUAUAUCUAACCCACAUUUUCCAUUUACUCUUGUGAUAUGAUAAAUACAACUACAAUCCAUAUAUCUCUUCAUGUUUUGUGAGUAUGCGACAUGCAACUAUAAUGCACAUACGUUUAACACAUAAAACAUUUACUAUCAAGAAUUAUUACACAUUCAAUUUGAAAUGUCCCCAUAUAGAAUCGACCCAAUGGUUCAGUCUUGUCUACAGCUGUGGUAUUGGGAUAAUUUUACUGACCUAGUGACCUUAACAGGAAGAGGAAGGGAAAACGUAGAUGAUGAACUCGGCCGUGGAGAGUCUAUGACCAGAGGAAGAAACUCGGUGGGUCAGGGCCUCAUGGGGGCACCGCAACCAUCCUAGGAAGGCGAGGGGGCGGACAAUCGGAUCGCACAGUCCCGGUAGCGCUGAGGAUAUGGUUGGUGAGGAGCAGCAUCACCGAACCGAGGCCAACACAACCCCUUACCCUCCCCCCGGUCCUCCCUGCGGAGCUCGUCGGCAUCUGGCGCCCUUGACCACGGGGGCGGCCGGAUCUGGCGACGAGGUGGCAGGAGUGGAGGCGCUAGGGAUGGGGAGGGGGAGGGUGCCAUAGGAUGCGGAGGAGCGGAGGAGACGGCAGCCAACGGCAUCGGCGUCCGCGCUCGAACGCGAAAGGAGGAGAUGGAAGCCGGCGCCCGGCAGCAUCUGUUCUUAGGCGGUUGUCGGUGAGAGAGAAGGGGAAAUCGGCGUUCGAGAGAGGCGAGGAGCCGGGGAGAUCGCUGGGUUGGGUGUUAUUGCGAAAUUACCACCUUACCCUUCCACCCAUGAAAUGCAUUCGGUACCGCCCUCGGGGAGACGCGGGUACCGAUACCAUCCAGGCCGUUGGAUCGCACGAAAUUGACGGUCAGGAUAUGGUACCUCCUUCCCUCAAGGACCGUAAAAAAUCUCUUAUUCCAUUACAUGCUCGAUCAGUAGUGAAAGAAAUCAGAGGUUAGAAGUUUAUACAGUAGUGCAUCAGCUUACCACAAAGGUGGAAUGGCUCUAGGAGAUGUGAAAAUGUGAAUAGUGAACAUGAAUGCCAUAAUGUAGGAAUGAGGUACAUCGAGGAGGAUUAGAGGAGACUCAAUGUAACAACCCAGCCGAGCAAUAAUAGUCCCACAUGUAGAGUUUAGAUUGGUUGAGCACCAGCACAUAAACCCGUGCGUUCUAACUCUGUAUGGAUUAACUCUUUUACAUAUAGCCAGAAUAGUAGAAGUAUAUAAAUUCCUCGAAAGAGCUGAGGUGUGGGCUUUUCAGAAACUAAGAUAGCAGCACCGACACUAACUUUAGUAGAGAGGUGAAGAGCCUGUAAGUUCUGUCAUUUGUGAUGAAGAAGAAAUGAUCAGAUUCUCUGUGAGCUCACAAAACCAAAAUGAGCAAGUACUUCCGGACAGUAUGCUCAUGCACCUACAGCACUUCAUUUGAACUUGUUCCACACCUUGUUUAAUAGAGUUUCUUAUUCUACUAGAAAGAGAAACCAUUGUAAAACAUCUAUAUUUUCUCACAUAGGAUCCCCCAAGGAAGAGACUAAUAUUAGAACAGAACAAUCAUGAAAGUCUUCCUCUUCAAAAAAUAUAAGGGGAGGGGGGUGUCAUUAGGAUGUGACAAAAUUUGGGGAAAAAAUACGAUGCCAUGAUAACAGAAAAGAGGAAUAAUGUUUUUAUUUUGACGGAAAAAGAGGAAUAAUGUUGGUAAUACAUGAUAAUCAUUUCAGAAAAAAAGGGAAUGUGUGCAAUACAUGUGCAUAUGUGAUUAUCAUUGACCCCUUGAACUAGUCAAAUCUAACACCAACUUUUAUAUAUGAAUUUGAACAUAACCUAUGUCUAGAUUUGUAUACAAAAGUUAAUUUAUUUUGGGAUGGACGAAGUAUAUCAAUAUUGCGAAUGUUUUCAAUCAGAGAAGUGGACAGAUAUGAACAUUUUGGUUUACACAUAAGAACAACUUAUCAUGUCGUGGUCAAUUCAUGUUUGAUGUCUAGGUCUUUUGUCUUCUGGAACAAAUUUUUAUUCCUGGUACGAAAUAGUAUCAAAUAAUUAUAAUCUUGAAACCAUCGAAUCGUGUGAAUAAAAAAAAACCAGAACUGCAGAAACACACAACGGACAUGUCUCAAAUUUCAUAAGUUAUUGAACAGAGGAGUAAAUUAUAAAUAUGAUUGAUGAUUUCUCAAACCAACAGGUGGUGAAUGUAAAAGGUGACCAUAACUCUCAGGGAAAAAAAAGCAUUCACCAACCUACCACUUAUUCAUAUCAGUUAUAAAUAACUAAACACCUGCCUUUCAUUUUUAUCAGUGCCACUUCGUUGUUUUCUUCCUUUCUACAGUUACAAGAACUAAACUUGAAGCAGUUGCCACACAUCAGUUAAAGAGCGAGGAGUAAUCUCUACCACAAAAUGCAUGGGUAUGCAACUGUGAGCUUAAUUCAUUGGUUCACACCCUCAUUUAUCUGAUCUGUUGUAGGGAUGGGAUGCAUUGAGGAAGAUAAGAAAAGGCACAACGAUAAUACCGGGAGUGUUUCAGCAUCGAUCGGUCCUGAUUCCUGACCUUCUUUCAGCAUGAAGUGCGACACUUGCAUCUCACACUAGGACAGAUGUCAUGACCUCAGACCAUGACGGAAUAACUACAGCCGGGAAGAUAGCCGGGCAGCGUCGGCUCCUGGAGAAGGGAUGUAGAUUCAGGCUAAGGAGAAGAACAUUGCUGGGAGAGAGAGAUUAGAUUAAUUGAUAUUCAUUGCUUAAUUGAUAAUAGAUACAAUCCCAUCCUUAUAUAGAUGGUACAAACUUGAUCCCUAAGUAAGAACUUAAUCUUAUCCUAUCUUAUCUCUAACUACUAACUAACUAAUAAUCUUAUCUCUAACUUGAUUGGUUUGGGCUGCCUAUAAACCUUGACCUACGGCCCAAUGCCCAUAACAUUGUGUGAGGUUCAACUCAUGAGCUCGUCAACCAAAGAGGUAGCUAACAUAGCUCACUCUAGGUUAAUGAGAAAGACGAAUUUGGAGCAGCAUAUGUUUCUUUUCCGGUUUCUUUGCAUGGGAAAUGUGAAAGAAGGUUCUGGCUGAUUUUUUUUUAUUGGCAAUGACACAACUGUUCAAAUCACUGAUGAGAUCUAGAUAUCACUAACGGCAAGAAACAUUAAAGAUUUGCCCUUCAAAUCACUGAUGAGACUAGAUAUAUCACUGUUUCAACAUUUAAAGAUCGACAGGGUUUCACAAGAGAGUAAAUAAAUAUUGUGUCGUUAGCCGCUACUAUCCUACAUUGGGUGGUAUAUUUUGGAUCAUGUGUAAUGCCGUGUUACAGGUUUUGGUAAAAAUAAAUAAAUGUUUGACAGCAAUGUGAAAAGGAUUAAAAAAUAUUAGUAAGUUGAAAAAUGUAUAUUAACAUGGAACUUCACAUCGUAGAAAAAAUAUGUUUCCAAAUAUUAAUCUCAUUGUUUUUAAAGUAUCACACUAUUAAUUUAUGGAGUUGAUGUUUGACAAUUCGUCUUAUUAAAAAUAAUUUUAGUACAUAUAUGUAAAAAUAUAAGUUAUAUUUAAGUAACUUUAGUGAUUAAACAAGUUACAACAUUACUUACCUAAUUUUUUAAUAAGAUAAAUAAUCAAAUGUCAUGUCCAAAAGUUAAUAUUAUACAUUUCAAAAUGAAGGUAGUACUAGCUUGUACAAGUGCACACACAUCUAGGUUGGCAAUUAAUAUCCUUAGUGCUGGCCAUGGCCUCUUUAUUUAGGUUUAGGCUUAUUGACUUAACCUUUUAAAUCAGUUUUUUGGCUUAUAUAAUUUAUAAGCUGGUGGAUUUAAAGUCCUAAUUUUAAGAGUGGAGUCAUACUUCUUUCUCUUGUAAGUAAAAAAAAACUUCUUCAACCUAGCUAGCUUUUAGCUUAAUAGUAUAAAAGUGGCUUAUGGUUUUAGGAAAGACAAACAAAAAAUUAUUAUUUAUUUAGGCUUAGAUAUUUUAACUCAUAAACUGACUUGUAAGUCUAAAAAAAGACCAAUGCCAAGAUAUGCUUAGGAUUUAGAACCAACGUGGCCAACAUCCACGUGGUGUUGCAUGCACAUUUCUGCUUUUCAUUGUGGAGGGUUGCCGAUAUAUGAUAUGUCACCCUUCUUGUCAAGCAAACCCAAGUAAGACACUAAUUAAGAAAUCUGGAAUUUUCCCUAAUGACAAAACCAAAAGAAAUAACAAUAUAAUAAUAAUAAUAAUAAUAAUAAUAAUAAUAAUAAUAAUAAUAAUAUACUUUUAGGUAGCACCAGCACACACAGAAUAAAAUAGCGACACAUACCCAUAAAAACUCCCGCUGCAUCUCAUGUUCUAUCCUGAUCCUCAAUCCAACACCACUUUACUAAGCAAAAGUUAUAUGCGCGAAAAUUGUUGUGUUUACGAUACACAAAAUUGCAAAACAAAGUGCUGCUGAAUUCUAUAAGAAUGGGAAGCAUUCAGAAAGCAAGAGUUUUUCCAAGAGAGGCAGUACUGCAGUAGAACAAGAGCAUAGCAGCUUGGCUCCAAGGGUAGACCCAUGGCCGAGCAGCCGAGGACACGGCAGAAUUGUGGCCAUGUCGCAUGAACAGCAUUAUUUGAUGACUCCAUAGGUUAGCCCGCUGUAAUAGUAUUUUCAUGGGCUCUAGAUGACUUCCUCGACGAGCCACUAAAAGAUAACUAGCCUCGUUUCUAGUUCAAACGAAAUGAAGGUGUAUACCGUCUUAGUUAUGAGAGGGCGUGCAUUCUCGUGGUUACAGUGAUAAUCUGAGUAGAUCGGAUAAAAAUAACCAUUCUAAAAAAAAUAAAAAAAGAAGAUGCCGUCUUAGUUCGCCAAGGAGCAGAGACAAUGUUUAAUUAUCAAUAAAAUUGUGAUGUGUGAUUUGGAAAGGGAACUACGUACCAGCCUCUUGGUAGAAUCACCACAAGUUCUCCUUUCUAGUCUUGUAGAUCUGAAAAUAGAAACUAAGGUACUCUUGACGUAAUCCAUCAAAUACUACCAAAGUUUGUAUUAACAGUGACCAGGGUUAAUUGUAACUAUAUAAGGAUGGGAACGGUUGGAAUCGUAACAUCUCUUUGGAAAGGACGCUUGGCCGAUCGAUGAUUUUUAGUAUUUAUCAAUUUAACUUGUUGAUAUCAAAACAAUGCUAAAAGAAAUUAGAGAAAUCAAAUCUCAUGUAUUGCAAAAAAUGGAAACGGUACAACUUACAAGGAAAGAACGCUCGGUCUGUCAGGAAUUUCCAUAGCAAUUUUCAUCGUUAAUUAAAACUAUGAAGUAAAAGGCAUAGUGAUUAAGAGGUAUUGUUGACUCAUUUGGUAUAAUUGUAUCAUAACAGAAAUUAUGCUUGAGCUCUUUGAACCAAAAGUUUGGUGGGUCCAUAAAUUUGGUUGAUGUUACACCUACUUUAAACAAAAAGUGCGCUGGCUGCAAUUGAGAUUUCUAUAGGCAAUUGUUGAUGUACGCUAGAAUAAACUGAAUUUGGCAUACUCUGCUGCAGAGUGAAAUUAAAUCUGCUAAAUAUGGUGCAAAGCAGUGUACAAUGUGUAAAAUGCAGUUUACUCAUCAUAUAUUCAAUAUUUUAACACAAUGGUAUAGGAGUAGUUCCUUAAUUUGUUUUUAUCAAGCGAUGGAUGGAAUUCAAUACAUCCAUUUGAGGUACAGUGAUAGUGCUACAAUUUCACUGCAUACCUUGCCAAAAAAUGCUGGAGUUAUAGCCCACUAUGGUGUAGUAGAAAGCAAUCUGAAUCACUGAUCUCAUUUGAUCGAAGGGUUUGCAUCUAUUUUUACUACCAUCCUAGUUAGCGUUAGUAGAAACAUGGAGAGACAUAUAUUUUCCAAAAUAAUAGGUGCUGAGGGGCAUAAUCGUCAUUAGCAGUAACUAAACAUUUGUUUUCCUACUUUUUUGGCUUUUUUGAUGGAUAUAUGAGUGAUGCCAGCAUAAUGAAUGACCACAAAUCAAUCUAGCCGGAAAAAAAAAGACAAAGUUAGUCAUUUUAAUAUCGAUCUAGCUUCAUUGUAUUAGUAAAUUACUAAUUUACCCUUAAUAUCAAAUAGUUUACAUCAUUUCUACUUGUACUACCAGUAGAGAGUAUUGGAGGAUCGCUUCUGGAGUUAAGGCUCUCAUAUGCCAAAAAUACCUCCAUUUCCAGAUUUCUUACCCUCUCACUGGUGAGCCUCGGUACAAAAAGCAGGAGUGCAUAUUUGGCAGUAUUGACUAACACAGUGCAAGAUAAUGUAAGCUUAUAAGGUGCACAUGGAUCUCAAAAACCACAACUAUCAAAUCAAUUUCUUUUCCCCUCACGCUGCAGGCUGCAGCACAAAUGUUACCACAAUCUCGUGAUCUUAAUUAGAAUGGGAUGCAUUAGGAGAAGAUAUAGGGGUUUUUCUCAACGCAGAAGCUUUGGCUUUCUGCUACGAGGAUCCAAGUGACUAAGUGAGCAUAAUGCAUGGUUGAUCAAACUCACCUGAUGAUAGAUCAACAAACCGAAUGCGGCGGUGUGUAUAGGAUAUCUGUCCGUUGUGCUGAACAAGCUACAGAGAAAUCAGGAAAUGUAUGCAACAUUUGCAUGGGAUGAACAUCAUUUUAAAAUCAGCAAAAAUCUCUACACCCAACAUUUUAACCCCAGCAGCCUCCUCAUAUGAUUUGGAGAAACUAACAGGACUGAUGAAUCCUGGGAGAUGCAGAUAAUUUUUGUGAUCCAGUAAUAUUUGCAUGGAUGCAUUUGGGAGGAAAUUAGGGGAUCAGACAGCCCCAUGAUCAUUCUGCAGGUUAGAUGGAUCCAACUACCAAUCUACCAUGCAUGCUGGGUAUGUUCAUACUUGCAAUUCCUUGCAUUUGCCAUGGAUUAUCAGCAAUGUGAAUAAAUUGUCCAGCAGAUAUUGUUGUACACUAAUCCUAGCUAGUUGAACAAAAAUGUUGGAAUAGUUGUAUGAUCAAUGCUACAGCGAAAGUAAGUUUUACAAAAUUUAAAAAUGUAUGAUAAUUGGUUAAAAAAAUAGUGAAAGUGAUUGAUAUGAUAACAAGUUUGUACUAUCAUAUACUCCCUCCUUUCCAAAAUAUAAGAAUUUCUUGGUUGUUUAGCAAGUACUAUGGUUAGGCCAAAAGAUUACUCUUUAGUUACUUUAAUUGUUAUUUUUUGAAUUUUGAAUGGAUUAGAUUCCCUUUCAAAGCAUUUGGUUGGCUCUGGAUUCAUCCAUUGAAGUUAUUUGAAUAGUGGGAAUCAGUGUAGGGAUCUCCUUACAUCGUGGUACAAAAUUUAAAUCCUAGAAAUCCUUACAUUUUGAAACAGAGAAAGUAUAUAUUAGCUAGAAAUCUUUCAUCAAUAUGGUCAGUAAUAAUGCCUUCGGUUUCAUAAGGCAUAUACAGUGCUCCAAUUAGAUGAUAUACGUACGGAGUGCGCUGUUAUACUAGUGAGCUUUCAUCAACGGCUUUAGUGAUUACAUUGUCAAUUUCAUCGAUGCAUGCUUGGGUUGGUUGGAAAUCUGUCAAUAGAAACUUUGCACAAUGCUCCAAGACUCCAACCAACAUAUAUAUCAUAUAAAGGAGUAGAUCGCUAGCAAACUCCUAUGGUCUAAACCACUAUGUAUUCCUUCCCAUGCAUCAUUAAUAGUGCAACCAGAAGCUAGAGGUGGUAGCACACCAUUGCAUCAGCUUAAAGCACAUGAGGAUAGAAGUUAACGUGAAUGUCGUAGUGUAGGAAUGAGAUGCAUCGAGAAGGAUAAGAGGAGACUCAAUUUAACACCACGGCCUAAUGAGUAUUGAUGGAUUAGUCUCCUCAGAUGCAGUGAUUGCAUAGAUAGCUUGAGACUGCAUAUUAACCAAUGCAUUUUAACUAUACAACUCUUUCCGGUUGAUCCUUUUGUAUAAAGUCAGAAUGAAAGCGCAAGGGUUCAAUGAUCAUCACCAUUUAGUUCAGUGUAAUUCAAAAGAAGACACACAACCACAGAAACACACAAGGGAUGCACCUAAUUUUCAUAAGUUUUGAACAGAGCUGUAAGUUUUAAAUAAUUUUCUAUUUGCAUGAAAACUGCAAACUAAUAUUAUAGCUCUUUUAUAUCAAAGGAACAGGUGCCAUAAGGGUUUCCACUUAUAUGAAUAUAAUGUAGAAGGUGACCACAUGACUCUUUCUUUACAAAAAAUAUGAUAGCUUAUGCCUAGCAAUUAGGGAACGUAUCAUAUGCACACAAGUCUUUUCAUGUAUACACUAUGCAUAGUAACUAGAAAAUAUCAACAAAAAUUCUAUAAAAAUUAUACAUGUACUUUUAAUAGUAUUAAAUUUAUAUCUUAAGUCCCAUCUUCAAAUUUAUUAUAACAGAUUUAUACUCUCAAAACUCAGAAUUCUUAUCUUUUUUUAUGACUAAAAUAUAAUGAAUUUGAGAUUAAGACUUCACAUAAGUGUAUUAUUAUUGGAAGUACUUGUACAAAUUUUUCUAGAUUUUUUUGGUAAAAUUUGUUAGUUGGUGUGCAUAGUAUGUACAUGAAAAGACUUUGUGCACAUGAUAUGUUCCCUAGCAUUUAUAUAUGUAUUGAAAGGGAAGUAGUUACAGGGGGGAAAAAGUUUUUCAUCAGUUAUAAAUAACCAAACACUUCGCUUUGAUUUUUACCACAACCACUUGUUUUCUUCCUUUUUCUACACCUGCAAGCACCAAAGUUGAAGCAGAUACCAUGCAGAAAUUGAACUGUUGAACCAUUACAAAAGAAUGGGAGAGGAAUCAAGACAUAAGGAGUAGAUAAUGUGGAUACAGCUUCAACUGAGCUUCAUUGGGGUUCAAUCUUGUUUUGUUUUGUGAGAAUGGGAUGCAUGGAGGAAAAGAAGACAAACCAGCACCGCAUUACCUGGAGGAUCUUAGGAGAAAUUGGUACGGCAUUUCAAACAGGAACAUCAAGCUCGAACGACAAGUGGUAAGUGAGAUAUACAAUUCUCAGCAUGGCUGGAGGGACAAGUGCAAUGUGCUGGAGGGAUCGAUGAGAGGAGAACAGAAUUGAAGUUGUCAACUGAAAUCAUCACCAAGUUUGGUUGCUGGCUGGUUCUUGUUUUAUUUUCGUUGCUAGCAAAAUGCAUGUACGUUGUUACAGAAUUUAGAAAAUCACAUCGCCACAUUGCAAAAAAAGAAAUCUAUUUUCAGUUUAGAGCCUAAUUUAGAAUUAAAUUAUAUGUUUUUUUUUCAUCUUUUUAUAUCUCAGCUAUAAAAGAUUUGAAAUGGACUCAACUAAAUCAUUAAUGCAUAACUUCCUCCCUUAAAAAGUAUUUGGUUUCGAGAGGGAUGGACAUGUGAGUUCCACGUGUUAUAGUUUGAGGGAGUUGGUGGUGGCAGACCGACCAACUUGAAACUCAAACAAGAUCAUCAUUAGUUUUAUGUGUAGCUGCUCUGAGCCUCCGUUCUCCAUGUCUCUCUUUUUGCUUUUGCCUAGUUGCUUACUUGCUUCCUAUUUACAAAAUGGCUUUCACCACUCUUUCUCAAACUAAAAGAAAGAAAUCAACUAGGAACGGUUGUACUAAGGUUGAACUGUGACAUCCUGGCUCAAUUAGGAUGAGGCAUUUGUGGCCCAUGAGAGCUAUGUGCUCAUGUUUAAUACCACCUCACUAGUUUAGCAAGAAUGGAACCAACUUAUAACGACUUGUUCCUCCAAACAUAUCACUCCCGGAUAAUCCCUUUUACAUGAAGCGAUGGUGAAAGUGUAAAUGGGUAGUAUGUAUAAGUAGGCCCACCCGUCAGAUGGGCUGGCUACGUUGUUCUAGAGGGUGGACUGUUACAAACUGAGCUCAACCACCAAUUAUACCGUUCCCAAUGUGGGACCACCAAAGAGGUAGCUAGCAAAGUACACUACCUAGGCAGCAAGAGAUCACCAGCGGCACAAGAACAGGCCUCUAGCUCAUGGCUUGAAUGUGUGAGAAUCAUAGAUUAUUUAUUUCUAAUCUAUAACAUGAUGGCUUUAGUCUAAAAUGAUCACCCUAAUUCUAAUGCGGAAUUGGAUAAUGGACGGUGUUUUGUUGACAGACAUGGAGAUGUUGUUGAUGCUAUGAAUAGUCGAUAGUUUUAAGUUGGUUAUUUAAUUUGGAUAUAGACUGACAAAUGAUUAUAUUCUUCUAAUUGAUUAAAUUCUACUUUUGGAUGGUUGAUAGGAUUAUUUACAAGUUAUUGGAAGAACUUGCAGCAUGUGGGGUAUAUGGUUAUACUACGUGACAUAUAUUCAUGAGUGGAGUUCAGAGUUUUGGCUUGUCUCCAGGCAUACAUAUACCUAGGCACAAGUCCAGCGCAAAAGCAUACAAGGAAGAUCAUAACAACAUGUUUCCCUUCUCUGGAAAAUUUUGUUGGCAACAGAUGCCUUCUCCUUCUUUCAGCUUCUGCUUCUUUAGUCAGUUUGGAGGAAGCAGCAAAUAGUUGAUGAUAUGAGAAUUCCUUCUACAUCGGCUUAGGUGUAGCAACACGACUUUAUUAUUAUUAUUAUUAUUAUUAUUAUUAUUUUACAAAAAUAUAAAAUAGAUCAGUCCCUCACCACAAGUAGAGCAAGUUGGUGAGUUAUUGUAAAGUUCUACAAAGCUAAUUUAAAAGUUAUUGCAUUAACUUAUUUCAUAUUACAAACAAGAGUGUCAAUGGAACAAUGAAAACCAUAUGACAUACUAUAAUUUUGUUUUUAUUAUUGAAAUUAUAUAAUUCAAAGAGAAUAAAUCCACAUAGCCGUAAAGUUCUACAUGUGGUGCAUUACCAAAAUAUAUAUAGCUUACAAAACAUGACAAGCUUAGUUUGAAAAAUUGCAAUCCUUAUCACAUUGACACAUAAAGUGAGUGAUGAGUCAUAAUAUUAUUUUUCUUGCUACCCAUCAUGUAUAUAUGAUAGCCACAAAGUUACUUUGAUGAUGAUAUCAAAGAACAUUUUUAGGUGCACCUAACAGAAUAUCCAAAUAAUAUGACUCACUUAGAUCAUAAUAGAGCAUCAAGUAAAACUAACACUCUAAAGCAACCGAUGGGAAAGCAUCUAUAAAUAGACAAGCACAAUGAAAAUCCUCAUCAUCCUUCACCACAAUUCAAAUAUUAUAGUUGAAGCAUAGUAGUAGAAUCCAACAACAAUGAAGAUCAUUUUCGUAUUUGCUCUCCUUGCUAUUGUUGCAUGCAAUGCCUCUGCGCGGUUUGAUCCUCUUAGUCAAAGUUAUAGGCAAUAUCAACUACAGUCGCAUCUCCUACUACAGCAACAAGUGCUCAGCCCAUGCAGUGAGUUCGUAAGGCAACAGUAUAGCAUAGUGGCAACCCCCUUCUGGCAACCAGCUACGUUUCAAUUGAUAAACAACCAAGUCAUGCAGCAGCAGUGUUGCCAACAGCUCAGGCUGGUAGCACAACAAUCUCACUACCAGGCCAUUAGUAUUGUUCAAGCGAUUGUGCAACAGCUACAACUGCAGCAAUUUAGUGGUGUCUACUUUGAUCAGACUCAAGCUCAAGCCCAAACUCUGUUGACCUUCAACUUGCCAUCCAUAUGUGGUAUCUACCCUAACUACUAUAGUGCUCCCAGGAGCAUUGCCACUGUUGGUGGUGUCUGGUACUGAAUUGUAACAAUAUAAUAGUUCGUAUGUUAAAAAUAAAGUCAUACAUCAUCAUGUGUGACUGUUGAAACUUAGGGUCAUAUAAAUCUAAAUAAAAUCAUCUUACCUAUUUAAAUAGCAUUCCUCUAUGAGGAUAAAUCCUAUUACAUUAUCGUAGCUAAUUACCAUCACAGGGACUUUACAAUUUUACUAUAUGCAUGCAUUUGAUCCUAAGCUGCUUUGGCUAUUAGAUAUAAAUGAAGUGCAUUAAGCAAGUUCAACCUUUCAUUCCCAAUAGGAACGAACUUGAAGCACAGAUGUCAAUUACUAUACCCCUAACAAUUGAUACACUAUAGCAGCGGUUGUAGCCGCAGCUGGAGGAUUCGCUGUCGAGCAGACCAUAUACCUGAAUUUAAACCAUGUCAAAUAUCCGUAAUGAAUAACAAAUAAUUUUAUAUUGUGCAUAUCCAAUGAAUAAUCAAACAUUUGCCUUUCGACUGUAAUGCUUGCAUGGCCUGCUAUUGUAUUGCUCUGGAAACACAUCUUUAACAGAUGUUGUAUUAUCACAUACAUUACAUUGGAGGAGAAGGAUUUAAGUGAUCAUAUAUAGAACAGAGGAUAUGAUGUUUUAGAAAAAAGAAGAUUAAUAAUGUCAAGAAUACUUUGUGAAACAGUGCAUGAUGCAGGCACAUCACUUGAUACAUUAAAAGCGCUGUAAAAAAUUUAUGCUGGGGAACUAAUGCACUACUACUAGCCUCACUAAUAUCAUCAGUUCGCGGUAUGUAACAAGCUAACAUUCUACACUGCACCACCCCAUCCAUUCUUGCUUUUUUCUAUAGAACACAAGAAGGAACAUCAGUAACUGGAUGCAUGUGUGCACCGCCAGCUGCCACAGUGUUGGCCAUUAUCUCUUUCUUCAAGGCAUUUCUUCCCAUCAACUCCUGCUUGACACAAGCAGGACAAAAAUGUAGCUUUGGUUAAGUCAAGGGGAGUCAGUCCAGCUAUAGAUGAACCAGCGCCCUUAUUAUUGUGAUUACUGCCCUAGCUCACACACCGGAAAUGGACUCAAAUCUUAAAGGCAUGUGAGCUUCUAACGAGCCCACAUUCCAUCUAGGUAACAUGAUAUAUUGUAAGGCUCUAUUUUUUUCAGAUUAUUAAAAUGGAUUAUUUGCUCCAUGCUUUAAAAUAUAUGUUUGCUCCAUAUUCUAAGUCAAGUAUUUUAUUUAGGGUAAUUAUUUUGAUCCUAGAGGAGACAUCCUAGGAUUUCUCUAAACAUCAUGAAAAUAGUUAUAGUAAAGAAAUUUCGUAAUAUUUAUGUGGUGUACAUAUUCCACCCUCACAAAUUAAUUUUCAAGUUAAGCUCAGUAGCAAAUCGACAAGUAAAAAAGGACAGGUCCAGCAUAUAAACGUUCAUGUGCAAUGUACAUACGAAUUUAUUUAUUUUGUUUCUCAAUGUUCAGAUCCAAUUUAAACUUGGUUUUUUCGUUGAGUAGUAAAUUGUCAUUGUACUCUAUAUUGUCAUUUUGUUAGGGAAUCUUUCAUUACUGUGUGCACUGCAUCGAAGAGAAAAAAAGGGCGUGUAAAUGCAUAUCCUCUAUUAAAAUCCGACUUCUAUAUAUUUUGCCCCAUUUUCUCUAUAAUUUCUAGUGGUUAUUGAUUGAGAACAGCUACAAAUUACUUACUAAGCACCUUUCAUGGGCACUAUAUAACUCAUGCAAUUCUUAAGGUUUACGAAUGCGAAUACAAAUAGAAAUUCGCUGUGCCGACCUGUUUUCAAAGAUUAAAAAAUUGAAACAUCAAUCAGAAACCAUUCCAGAAUGGGCCAAAAUUUGGAAAACAAAUUUUGAAUUCCAUGGAGAAAAUUAACUGGCUGGCAAUUGCACAUUUGCACUGCUUUGCCCCUAUAAACAUCUUCGAGUAGCCAUUUCAUUAUUCCCAGUAAAAUAUUAAUACUCCUUAAUCAAGAACUGCCAUAUAGGUCAUUUCUCUUGGUACUUCAGUUCGCUCAUUUAUUUCUCAUAAUUUAAAUUUCAAAGUAAUAAGCGAUAGAUCAGGAUCCAUGAUUUGAACAUGCAACUUUAAAGUAAUGCAGUAAGAUAUAGAUCGGUGUCCAUGACUUGAACAUGCAUGAACAGUAACCCCACUCGUGAGUUAAAAAGAUAGAUCCAUGAUUUAAACAUACAUUCGCAGAUAUUUGAUCAUUAUAUGUUGUAAUUAUAUUCUCAUAAAAAAAACUAAAAAUGCUUCAUAGCAUUUGUAUAUUAUGCCAAUAUUGAGAUAAUUUCGAUAUCUCAUAUGUUUUAGAUUGGAACAGAUCACGAAAGUUUUUCUUCGAAAAGUUAUGGUCAUUAGGACAUGAUGGAUUUGAGGUAACAAAAUAGAUGAGAUUUAUUAAAACCCUUGAAAUAGUCCAACAAUCCAGCGCUAACAUUUAGCACAGUGUAAUUCAAAAGAAGACAACCACAGAAACACACAGGGGAUGUUUUAAACUCCAAUUUUUAUAUAUUUGGCAUUAUUCAAAUUGCAAACAAAUAUGAUGACUCUCUUUCUCAAAGAAACAUAUGCCGUUAGGGUGAUCCCAGCGCUUCACUUAGAAUGGUUUUUCAUAGCAUUAAAUGAUAUGCCACGUAGGAAAAAACAUGAUGUGCCAUUUUAUUAACUUAGGAAAGAGAAGAAAAUUGGGUCUUCUCAAAAUGAUCAUCAUCUAACAAAAUGUCUCUUUGUUUAUUUGUGCAAAGAGUAAAUGUGCAUCGUGCAAUGUCAUGCAUGCUGCCAACCAAGAUUAAUUUCUAUUUAGUUGAACCUGUGCAACAUUUAAAGUGUGAAGUAAUUUUUGUUGGACUUGAAGCGACAAAGCACCUUGGUCGAUUAGGCCAUCCCCAACCCAUGGUGUCCAUGGGUGGUGUCUAGAGCAGUGAGAGAUCAAUAAAUGCAUAUAUGGACACUACCUCCCCAUUGCAUCGUUUAUAUACCAGUUUUCAUAGGCAAAAAAAAAUUAGUAGCUCUUUGCAUGUAACAUUAACAGAGGAGGGUCAGCUGUGGCAAGCAAGCAAGCAGACGCGGGAGGGGAGGCGCGCAGCAGGCAUGGUGACGGGGUAGGGCGCAGCGGAUCGAGAUGCGAGGAUUUUUUUUUGGGGGGGUGGGGUGGGGGGAGAGAAACGAGUCAUCCAACCCAACGCGGAUUUAGCUAGUUUCCAGUGCCUUGGAACAGCCGCCGAAACGGUGUCGCGCAUGCGACCUGGUUUCUAUGUUUUUGCUUCUUUCUCUUCUUUUAUUCCGUUGCCACAUCAACUUUUUGUCUAGUUGGCAGCCUAAUUAAUUCUAUGGAAACCAGGUGACAUGGAGGGUUGGGGACAUGGUGGAAAAAACCGGAACGGGCCGACAGUUCAACCGGAAAAAACCAGAACCCGUUCAGUUCAAAAGAAAGACCGGACAUGCAUAUGACCCGCUUUGAACCGGCAGAACCGGUCGGUUUUUCUAUGAACCGGUCAUUAAACCGUCCCCGGUUAGACCGAACAAGCCACAAUAAUCUUGAAAUGGGCCUUGAUGUGGCCCAAUUGGUCUGCCUAGAGCGUUUUGGUUGGCAAAAAUCAAUCUCCUAUUCUCGGCACGUGUGAUAUACAAUGGUAAGUGAGAUAUACAAUUCUCGGCACGGCUACAUUACAAGGUGUCGCAUUGUGUCAAUGUUUGGUUAAUUUGCUAGAUUCACAUAAUACAUGCCAGGAAGUUCAGAACAAUGUGUUGCCUUUCACCGGAAAACUUUGUUGGAGCAAAUGCCUUCUUCUUUUUUGCUUCUGCUUCUUGAGUCCAUGUGGAGGAAGCAGUAGAUAGCUGAUGAUAUCAGGAUUCCUUCUGUGUCUGUGUAGGUGUAGCAACACCACUAUAAUUUUUAUUUAGCAACACAAUAUCAAUUUGGUCUAUAAAAGUAUGAAUUAAAUCAAUCCCCAACCACAAUUAGAGUAAGUUGGUGAGUUAUUGUAAAGCUCUGCAAAGUUAAUUUAAAAGUUAUUGCAUUAACUUAUUUCGUAUCACAAACAAGUUUUCACAAGAGUAUUAAUGGAACAAUGAAAACCAUUGAACAUACUAUAAUUUUUUUUCUUACUGAAAUUAUAUAAUUCAAAGAGCAUAAACCCACACAGUCGUAAAGUUCCACGUGUAGUGCAUUAUCAAAAUAAUAGCUUACAAAACAUAACAAACUUAGUUUCAAAAGUUGCAAUCCUUAUCACAUUGACACAUAAAGUGAGCGAUGAGUCAUGUCAUUAUUUUUUUGCUCACCAUCAUGUAUAUAUGAUGGGCAUAAAAGUUACUUUGAUGAUGAUAUCAAAGAACAUUUUUAGGUGCACCUAACAGAAUAUCCAAAUAAUAUGACUCACUUAGAUCCUAAUAUAGCAUCAAGCAAAACUAACACUCUAAAGCAACCGAUAGGGAAACAUCUAUAAAUAGACAAGCAUAAUGAAAACCCUCCUCAUCCUUCACACAAUUCAAACAUUAUAGUUGAAGCAUAGUAGUAGAAUCCUACAAAAAUGAAGAUCAUUUUCGUAUUUGCUCUCCUUGCUAUUGUUGCAUGCAACGCUUCUGCACGGUUUGAUGCUCUUAGUCAAAGUUAUAGACAAUAUCAACUACAAUCGCAUCUCCUGCUACAGCAACAAGUGCUCAGCCCAUGCAGUGAGUUCGUAAGGCAACAGCAUAGCAUAGUGGCAACCCCCUUCUGGCAACCAGCUACGUUUCAAUUGAUAAACAACCAAGUCAUGCAGCAACAGUGUUGCCAACAGCUCAGGCUGGUAGCGCAACAAUCUCACUACCAGGCCAUUAGUAGCGUUCAGGCGAUUGUGCAGCAACUACAGCUGCAGCAGGUCGGUGUUGUCUACUUUGAUCAGACUCAAGCUCAAGCUCAAGCUUUGCUGGCCUUAAACUUGCCAUCCAUAUGUGGUAUCUAUCCUAACUACUACAUUGCUCCGAGGAGCAUUCCCACCGUUGGUGGUGUCUGGUACUGAAUUGUAAUAGUAUAAUGGUUCAAAUGUUAAAAAUAAAGUCAUGCAUCAUCAUGCGUGACAGUUGAAACUUGAUGUCAUAUAAAUCUAAAUAAAAUCACCUAUUUAAAUAGCAUUCAUGUAUGAGGUUGCAUUAUCAUAGCUAAUUACCAUCACAAAGAACUUUACAAUUACUAUGUGCAUGCAUUUGAUCCUAAGCUACUUUGGCUAUUAGAUACAAAUGGAGUGUAUUAAGCAAGUCCAACUUUUCAUUCUAAUAGGAACAAACUUGAAGCACAUAUGUCAAUUACUAUAUCCCCAACAAUUGAUACACUAUAGCAGUGGUUGCAAUGGCAGCUGCAGGAAUUGCUAGUGAACCCAACAGCCCAUAUAACUGAAUUGAAGCCAUGUCAGACAUCCGUAAUGAACAACAAAUAAUUCCAAAUAGUGCAUAACCAAUAAAUACUUAAAGAUUUGUCUUUCAACACUAAUGUUUGCAUUUCAUGCAAUUGUAUUGCUCUGGAAGCACCUUUUAACAGGUUGUAUCAUCACAUGCAUUACAUUGGAGGAUAAGGAUAUAAGAGAUCAUAUAUAGAAUAGAGGAUAUGGUGUUUUAGAAAAAGAAGAUGAAGAAUAUACAUUGUGAAACAGUGCAUGAUAUAGGCACAUCACUUAAUACAUUAAAAGCACUGCCAGAAAUCUAUGUUGGUGAACAAAUGCUCACUGGUUGUCUCACUUAUAUCACCAUUCACCAAGUUCACCGUAUGUAACAAGCACUUGGCCCCAUGGUUCCCCUUACCGUUUUUGACGCGGUUACCACAUGGUUACCGCAAAAAACCGUGUGGUAACCGUGAGACAUACCGUGGUUUCAAAAACUAAAAAGGUUACCGCGUGUGAUAGCCGCGCAGUUUUGUAAACCCUGCUUGGCCCUACACCACCCCAGCCAUUAAUUCUUGUCCUUCUCUGUACAACGCAACGAGGAAAUACAUCAUGGGCAUAGGGAAUAAUUAGCAAGUUUAGCAAAAAUGAAUGGCACAAUUGUAUAGCAUGAGUGAUGAUGCAAUGAGGAAACAUAAGAACAUCAGCCAGGUGUUUCUCCCCCUCAACUCCUGCUUGUCCCAAGCAAAACAAAAAUGUAGCUUUGGUUCAGUCAAGGCGAGUCAGUCCAGCUAGAGAUUAACCACCUUAUUAUUACUAUUUUUUUAUUAUUACUACCCUAGCUUACCCAAAAAAAUGAACAUUUUUCAUUUUUAAUUUUAAAAAUAAAUCCAUCCAAAACUUAUUUUCAAGAUUUGAACAUUUGACCACGCCAACUAAACUGGCGUGUCAAAACAAUACCGUCAUGCCACUCCCGCUGGUCACACCGGCGGGGACCGACCUCACUGGUAGGGGUGGACAAAAAAGCUUGGGCUCGUGAGCUCGGCUCAAGCUUGGCUUGGGCUCGCAUAGCUCGGCUCGGCUCGAAAGCCAAACGAGCCAAGCCCAAGCCUCCUUCCUACCUCGUUUCCGAAACGACCCAAGCCCGAGCUGGCUCACGAGCCACUCGUGAGCUCGCUUGGCUUGGUACAAUAGGGUCAUAUGCAAAAAAAAAUUACACCUUUUCUAACUAUUUAUUUGUUGAAAAUUAUAACUUUGAUUGUCAUAUUAUCUAUUUAUGUGUUGUGAUGACAUAUUAAAGAAAAAUAUCGCUUUAUUACACAUUCUAUGUGGUAAAAUAUUGCUCAAUUUCUCCUAGUCUUGCUUGAGAUUUACUUGAUGCCAGGCUCGCUUGGCUCGGUACAAUAGGGUCAUAUGCAAAAAAAAUUACACCUUUUCUAACUAUUUAUUUGUUGAAAAUUAUAACUUUGAUUGUCAUAUUAUCUAUUUAUAUGUUGUGAUGACAUAUUAAAGAAAAAUAUCACUUUAUUACACAUUCUAUGUGGUAAAAUAUUGCUCAAUUUCUCUUAGUCCUGCUUGAGAUUUACUUGAUGCCAGGCUCGCGAGCUAGCUCGAGCUGGCUCGAGCCCAUAAACGAGCCGAGCCGAGCUGCAGUUUUAGCUCGUUGUUUGUAGCGAGCCAAGCCAAGCCGAGGUUCCCUUGCACCAAGCUUUCAUGAUUCCACCCCUACUCACUGGUGUGGCAGCGUUAUUUGGCCACGCGUGGCAGGAUAAAACCGUCACGUCCGCUACAGGUGGUGUGCCAGUGUCAUCUUGUCACACUAGAUGAGCUAGUGUGCCUAAAAGGUUCAAAUUUUAGAAAUAAUUUUGAAAGGGUUUGUUUUUAAAAUUUAAAAUUAAAAAGGUUCAAAAAAUUAAAAAAAAUCCCUAGCUUACACACCGGAAAUGAACUAGAAACUUAAAGGCAUGUGAGCUUCUAACGAGCACACGUUCCAUUAGGUAAUCUGGCAUAUGUGACAUAUAGUAAGGGCUCUAUUUUUUUAAUUAUUUGCUGGAUUAUUAAAAUAGAUUAUUUUCACCCAUCCCAUAGCUGGUGAAAACAUUCCCCACGCUGUUCCGAAUAACAAUGCCGACGCUACCAAUUUAUUUUCACCCAUCCCAUAGCUGGUGCCUGCCACACACCUGCCACUUGGGUUCUUUCCCCGCACCCAUUCACAUCACUUUGUCUUCCCUCCGACACAAUUUUUCCUUUCUCAUUUUCCAGCGUUGCACUGCCAGACGGGCACAAGGAAUUCCAUAGAUUCAGAAGGAAAGAUGCAGAGCCCUUUACCGUCGCUUGCCCAGAACCGAAGACACAGUCAUUACGCAGGUACCAAGCUCGCCAUAGGACAAGGAGAAACUGCGCCCGCUCGUUUUCGCUCAGCUUAUCGAGUCCCCCAAGAAGCCACCCUGGGCCUAGCUUCGACAGGGAACGCUUAUCCGGUAACCUCCAGCUCGCCCGCAGAGUUUCACGGAGGGCCCUUGGCCGGGUACAUGAAAUCACCGCGUGAAACUCGUCUUCCUCCCCCUGGCCGCAGAUAGUACAGGUCGCAACUGCUUGCAGCUUUCGUUUACACCUGUUCUUCUGGGUAGCCAGAUAAUUUCGGGCUAGACGCCAGGCGAAAAUACGGACCUUUGGUGGCACAGGUGUACUCCAAAUUCUUCGCCAGAUGGAGCGAUCACCGUCCGUUUCUCUACUACUGCCUUCUCCAUCCGGAUGGAACUUGUUCAGCCACGCUAAACGAUAAGCAGACCUCACCGAGAAAAUCCCUGAUUUUUCGUAGUGCCAAGCUAGGAAAUCCUCAUCCUGGUAUGGCGACAAAUUGAUUUUCAGGAUCUCUUCCACAUCAAGUGGGUGACAGACGUGCUUGAUCAGAUCAACGUCCCAGCUCUUUUCCCCUUGUUUCAGCAGCUGCGAGACCCAGCGAAGACGGCAGCGUCCGCUCCUUCCCAUAAGCAUGAGAGAGGAGGCUCGGGGAAUCCAUUUAUCCCGCCAAAUCCUGACCUUGGUCCCAUCCCCAAUUCGCCAUAUAAGUCCUGUCUUCAGCAACUGCAACCCAUGUUCAAUCCCUUUCCAUGUCGGAGACGCUUCAGCCGGGAAGACCGCAUCUACUAGUUCACAAUUAGGAUAAUACUUAGCUUUUAAUUAGGAUAUAUAUAUGUAUAUAUAUAUAUGUAUAUAUUGUAAUAUUCCAGUAUUCCACCCCCCCCCCCCCCCCCAACCCCAAAACAACAAAUCAGUUUUCAAGUUAAGCUCACUAGCAAAUCGACAAAAAAAAAAAGGGCAGUCCAGCAUAUAUAUAUAAACGUUCAUGCACAAUGUACAUGUACAUACGAAUUUAUUAGUUCUUUUUCUCAAUGUUCAGAUAAGUUUUGUUGAGUGAUAAAUAAUCACUGUACACUAUAUUGUUAUUUUUUUAAGGAAAUCUUUCAUCAUUGUUUGUACUGCAUCGAAGAGAAAAAUGGGUGUGUAAAUGCACAUUCUCUCGCGAGAGAUUAAAAUCCAUCUUCUAUUUUGCCUUUUUUUUCUCUAUAAUUUCUAGUGGAUAUCGAUUGAGAACAGCUAGAAAUUACUUAUAAGCAUAUUUUUCAUGGAUUCUAUUUAAGAUACAAAACUACUACACAUGGGUACAUGCUAACCAAGGUUUACAAAUGCAAAAGCGAAUAGAAAUUUGCUGUGCCGAGCUGUUUUUCAAAAAGAUUAUAUUCUUUUCUCCCAAAGAUGAAGAUGAAGAUUAAUUUUUUUCGUAAAACGAGGUGAUAUUAGCAUAUGAUUGAUUGAGUUUUAAUUAUAACAAACUUGAAAAUAGAUUAAUAUAAUAUUUUAGAACAACUUUCAUAUAGAAAGUUUCCACACGAAACGUACAGUUUAGCAGUUUGAAAAGCUUGCUACAAAAAUCUUAAUCUUCAUCCAACAAGAAGAACGGAACCUAAACGAUAGAUCUGAAUCCAUGACUUGAACAUGCAUGAACAGUACGGUGAGUUAAAGAGAUACAUUUCGAUCCAUGAUUUAAACAUACAUACAUAACUGGGUGCAGAUAUUUGGUCAUUAUUUAUUGUAUUUGUAAUUAUAUACGUACUCAUAAAAAUUAUUAAGAACGCAGUAAAUUCAUAAAAUUAAGCAGUUUUCAUGGCGAAUCUAAUAACAUUAUUUUCACAUAUAACAUUCGGAUAUUUUGCCUAUCAUGAGAUAGUUCGUAUAUCUAAAUUAAUCCCCAACGAUUUUCUAGCAGUGAUUCAGAUAUCACAGGCUAAUCUCGUAAUACAUAAAGAUGAUUAUGUUCAAAACAUGAUUUAGGUUAAAAAAAUUCCAAGCGAAUCCGUAAACUAUAUUCAUGUUUCAGAUAGCCGGCCUUUGGUUGAUUAUGAAAAACGAUUAUAUUAUUCACAUUUUAAAUAGUUUUGUGCUAUAGACAUGUAUAUGAAAGACAAAACGAGUUAAAGAAAACUUUUUUAGAAAAAAGAAACUGUGUGACCACGAUCUUGAUACAGGAAAAGUUUGAAUUAGUAUGUUCAAUUCUGUUCAUGUACAUUUGCUAUAUAUAUUAUUGCCUUCAUUUGCAAUUAUACUGAAUACUCGCUCGAGGAAUAAAUCGGUACAUGUACGCAUGCCUCUCAAUAAUUUGAAUGUGAAUUUGAGAGUACGUAGUUCAUCUCAUCAUAAUCAUCCACACCCAAAUAAAUUACUACAUUCCGAUUACUCAUAAAUAAUAGGUAAAACUAAUUUCAAUUUGACUUGAUUUCAUCAAUGGAUCUUCAAAUCAAAUCAAAUUUCAAACCCAUCCAUCAGCAGUUACCAAUCCUGCCAUCCCCGGCAUCGGUGAAGAACCUCUUCCAGAACCAAUGGCGGCGCCACACCGUGUCGACCAUCUCGUCGAUGGGCACCCCCUUCGUCUCCGGCAGCAGCCAGAAGACGAAGGCGGCCAUGAUAACGAUCCAGAUAGCGAAGAAGAAGAAGAUGAAGGCCUUCAUACUGCACAUCAUGGAGAGGAAGGCCUGCGCGAUGAGGAAGGUGAAGAGCAUGUUGGAGCUCACGGCGAAGGAGAACCCCGUCGUCCUCGUCGCCAGGGGGAAUGUCUCCGACGGGAUUAGCCACCCCAGGGGCCCCCACGACCACGCGAAGCUCGAGACGUAGACGCAGAUGAGCACCACGAUCGCCACCGCCCACUUCUCGCCCGGAUUGCCGUUCGCCUUCACGUGUUCCCACAUGAUCGCCCCCACCGCUGUCUGCCAUGGAUCUUUCAUGUUAGUUUGUAGAACUAAAGGAACGCGAAUGCUAAGAAAUGACCUAAUAUCAGAUAAUUAGAAGGGGUGAGGCUUCGAAUACAGGUCGUCCCCACCAUCUUGCGGAGCUAGCCGGAAAACCUCUUGCCGUUUUUUGGGUUUCUCGAACUGGGAGAGGACUUAUGUAAAAGUUUAUAUUAAAAAUUAAUAUAUGUUUCAAAAUUUAAAUGUGUAGUGUAUUUAAAAGGAAGUUAUAGUAAAAUUAUAUAAUAAAAAGAUAUAUUUAAGUGCAUCAUAUAUUUAAAAAGAAAAGGUAACAUAAACAUGUACUCCCUCCGUUUUUUUAAUAGAUGACGCCGUUGACUUUUUCUCACAUGUUUGACCAUUCGUCUUAUUUAAAAAAUUUACGUAAUUAUAAUUUAUUUUGUUUUGGGUUGUUUUAUCACUCACAGUACUUUAAGUGUGAUUUAUAUUUUAUACAUUUGCAUAAAAUUUUUGAAUAAGACGAAUGGUCAAACAUGUAAGAAAAAAUUAAUGGCGUCAUCUAUUAAAAAACGGAGGUAGUAGAAAAAACUAUAUUUUAAAAGCCAACUGUGUUAUAUAUUUAGAAAUAGAGAUAUAUAUACAAAUAUGUAAUAUGUUUAAAGGCUAAAUUGCUUCGUGUGUAAUAUAUGUAAUAUAUUACCUGUGCGAUGAGCAUUUGGCCGCAGGCCUGGAGGAGGAGCCUGCGGCGGCCGAUCUUGUCGACGGCGACGAUGGAGACGAGCGUGGAGACGACGUUGACGCCGCCGGUGACGACGGCGGAGAGCAGCGACCCGUUGCUCUUGAACCCCAUGGUCUGGAAUAGCACGGGCGCGUAGAACAUGAUGGCGUUGAUCCCCGUGAACUGCUGGAACACCUGCAUCGCCACCGCGAUCACCAGCGGCGGCCUCGACUCCCGCCGCCGCAGCCUCCGGUACGCCGACUCCUCCGCGCUCAGCGCCGCCGCCGCCUCGCAUGCGCGCGCGAUCUCGUCCAGCUCGUCGCCGACGUCGCGCGUGCCGCGGAUCCUCUCCAGCGUGGCGCGCCCGGCGUCGCGCCGCCCGCGCUCCACGAGGCUCGUCGGCGUCUCGGUGAUCACCAGCGAGCCCAGGAACAGCACCGCCGCGGGCACUCCGGCGCCGCCGAGGGAGUACCUCCACCCGGUGCUCGGGUGGGCGCUCGAGGUGAAGUAGUUGACGACGUUGGCGAUGAGGAUGCCGAUGGUGACGUCGAGCUGGAAGAGGAUGUUGAGCGCGCCGCGGAUGUGCGCCGGCGCGAUCUCCGACAGGAACAGCGGCGCCGCCUGGUUGCCGAACCCGACGCCGACGCCGAGGCAGAUCCUCCCCACGAUCAGCAUCGCCAGGUUCGCCGCGCCGGCGCACAGCGCCGUCCCGCCGAGGAAGAACACCGACGCGAGCUGCAUCGUGCGCCGCCGCCCCAGCCGCGUGCACAGCCUCGACGCCGCGAAGCUGGCGGCCAGCGCGGCGAGGUACAGCGACGAGGUGAACAGCUGCAGCCGCUGGUCGUCGAACUUGCAGUAGUUGUUCUCCCUCGCGCGGUGCUUCCGCGCGUACACCGACGGGAAGAACUUGAUCAGGAAGCCGUCCAUGGCGGUCACGCCGCCGGAGAUGCCGACGUCGUAGCCGAACAUGAGCCCGCUCGUCGCCGCGAUGAUGCCGCACAGCCACACGUACCACGUGAUCUUCCCCUUGAACUCCCGCCGCUCGCCGCCGCCGGCGACCUUGGCCUCGACGGCGAAACCACCCGCCAUUGAUGACGUCAACGACGACGACGAGAUCAAUCAAAUGGAGAUGAUGAGGAAGAAGAUGACCAAGAGGUGGUCGAGUAUAUAUAGAGGAUUUUAUUAAUGGAGAUAAGAUGUGGAUAAAUUGGAGUGAUCUCAUGCAUUCGCAUGCAGAUAAAAUAAAUUAAAAUUGAAUUGAAUUUGAAUUAAACUUGGUCAACGAACAGAUUAACUGAAGGGGUUUAAUUAAGCAGAUCGGAUUAGUUACUAGCUAGAACUAAUCAGGAUAGAGUUUUCCGGGGGGUUUUUUUGGGGGUUUUUUUCACACGGUGACGGUGACAUGCAUGCAGUUUAGGGGAGUUGGAUUAGUCCUUUUUUAAGGAAUUUAUAGUUGGAUUAAUGGUUAGGAGUAAUUAGGAUUAAUCGGAUCAGCCGAUCUCAACAGUGACCAGUUCUCCUGCGACAAGCCCGUUCGUUCUCUUGACACGUGGCACCAAUUCAUUCGCUCUCAAUCUAUUAAUGGUAAUUUAAUCUCCAACCCAAUCCAAAUGCAAAAAUUGAAAGAAAAAAAAACGCGUUUCUCACAAGAUGGACUGUUCCUGUGAUGACUAUUUUUGUCUCUACAGGCCGUCCUAAACUCGUAAAUAUAUUAUCUCUACCGUGUAUUUUAUUAUUUUUUUGAAAAAAAAAAGUAUGCACAAAAAUGGAUUUUGGCCAUUAAUUUAUCUCUAUUGAUUUUUGAAAAAACCUUUACAUGAUUUUUAUCUGUCGCUCUGUUCUGCUUAUGCCAAAGAUGGACGUUGUGCAAAAUUGAAUUGAUCAAGAGCAGCUUGUGCACAGUAAUUCUCUGUUGUAGUAUGCCUUUUGCCUCGAAACUGAUUAAAACAGAACCCAAAAUAAAGAGCAUGAGUUAACUAAAGAAAGUUAACCCGUAAUCUUGAUGCUAUAGCAUGCUUCAAAAUUAUACCCUCGAAUGCUAAAAAAAUAGUACUCCCUCCGUUUCAUAAUGUAAGUCAUUCUAGCAUUUCCCAUAUUUAUUUUGAUACCAAUAAAUCUAGACAUAUAUAUCUAUCUAGAUUCAUUAGCAUAAAUAUAAAUGUGGGAAAUGCUAGAAUGACUUACAUUGUGAAACUGAGAAAGUACAGGUAAUAAUCAUCACUUAUAUUUGUCGAAGAACAAUAUGAAAAGAAAGCUAUCAAGCAGGUGCCUUAUUGCAAAGUUACAAUACACACUGGCGAAUGAACUGCAAACUUAACUUAUGUGUCACUAACAACUUAGAAACGAGCAAACAAAAACCAGUCAGUUCAUCGUCUUAGACUAAAACAGGCACCCUGCAGACAAGUGCCUUGAUCAAACGGUUUUUACACGGCAAACCAACAGACGAAAAUUCACCAGUUAAACACAUUUCAGCAUCUCUUCGUACGCAUAAGAACUCUUCAAGCUUCUGAGCUUCAUCAGGUGUUUCUUUGACCGCCAUAAUGUUUCUUUCAAACUCCUCGCCUUAUCUCUGCGAAUUCACACAUAAUAUGAGCUUAGGGAAACAUUGCAGAAGAUAUUGGCCAUGUUUUAAUUGGCUGGCGAAAAUCGUAUGCUACCUGAAAUGUGGUUCUGGGAGCUCAUUCUGAGAUAGGCUUGCGAACCAAAAAGAAGUACAUCGGCGUGAAGAUUUCCUUCCUGUAGUUAAUAUAUUUGCAUUAGAACUUUGCAUGAAGUAUUAAACAGGAGAGGAAAUGGAAAAACAGACAGCUGAACUGGAAUUCCAGAAUUCGUGACAAUUAUGUUGCUUUUCUGAUUCCUGGUGCUGAAAUAUGAAUCAGAGACAGACUUACUUGCCACCUUCGACGAGACCUUCAGCUGCCUUCUCUAAAAAGUUAGAUACCCUUUCACUUCCUUGUGGGGCAAGGCCGACGUAUUCCAAUGCCUUCACCUAAAAAAUAACAGAAGAGGAUCUCAAUUCCAUUUCCAUGCGAAUCAAGAGUGAAUAUAUACCAUGAUUAAAUCAGGCUGUUAUGGCCAGUUACAGUGGACAAAGCAGCCUGAUCUUUGAAUAUUCAGUGUAACAAAGUUUUGAUCGAAUUUACCAUACAAGCAAUUUAGCACAUCUGCUGAGCAGAUUAUGUCAAGUCUACCCGAAAUUUGAUACUUCUAGAAAAAAAAUAGUAUAGUACUUUUAAACUUUGCUAGCUAUUAGUAUAAUUGUUUGUUUUAUUUAUUGUAAAUGUCCAAAGAAUGACUUUUCUAGCUAGCCCUGGUAGAACUUCUAUAGGUUUUCAUGUUACAUAAACUAUUACAUGAACCAUUGUUCUCAAAACCACUUUUAAAGGCAGCAGGGAACCUAAAACUUCAUUAAUUAUUUUCCACCACAAGAUUGGUGUGCCCCCGAAUGUUCAUUGGUAUUAGGCCACAUGUCACUGAAACAAUGGAGUGGCACUAAAAUGCACCCUCUUUGGGAUGCCAACUCCUCAAUUUUAAGCUUUUUUCUGUUCAGAGGGAGGAAUUUGAUAAGAAAGAAUGUCUAUAGUACGCUUUACUCCAAGGGACAAAUCAAACUUGAUUUCACUGUGCAUCUUGAACAAUCAACUCAGAACAUAAGGUGUAGCAACAAUAAAGAAUGACUACAGAUGUAUCUGUUGGCCUUACCAUUGUGCGAGUAAUUGCACGCCCCACAGUAGUCAGACGGAAGCUACUCAAGGAAAACCGGCUUGGAUCCAAGGGCAGGUACCAAGGAACCGGGGAAUCUUCAGCAAGGUCUUUAUCCCAAAUAACCUUCACAGAAAAAAAAAUUAUGCCCAUGGGAAAGGAAUAACAAAUAACAGAAGUGUUCAUGAAACUGUGCUGCUUUGAAAGAAAACUGCUGUAACUGGCCAGAGUUUCUAAACUAACAAUAGAGGUGGGCUACUCUUCCAGCCAUGGGUUUUCCUCAGGUAAACCCAAACACACAAUCAAACAAAAGAGAGGUAAAGCACAGCGUCUACAUUACCUCAAACCCAGCAUCUUUUGCAGCUUGAAGACAUUGUUGAGUGCUUCGGAUAUCUGGCAGGCCAUUGCCAAGCUCGAUUUCAUCCUUGAUCCUCUUGUGUGUUGCAUUGUUCGGUUCAUAGUGAUCAGUAAUACACCACUCAUACACAGCAAAACACUGGCCAGGCUUCAAUACACGAUAGAUCUCCUUAUAGCAGCCAACCUUUGACAUGAAAAAACCAAUUGACUUUGUGUCGCAAGGAGGGAUUAAAGUUGAUGAUGAGUUUUAAUAUACAAGCAAUAAUUUGCAAUCAUACCGGAUCAGGUGCGUGGCAUGUUGCCUCAAUGGCAUAGACAGCAUCAAAAGUGUUAUCAGAAAACGGCAUCUUCAUGAAGUCUGCCUGUAUAGAGACCAAUAUGUAGAAUGUAACUGUUUGUCCUUCAGCUUAUAUAUAUUGUCAAAUAAGUCUUCUCUGUACAGCUAAGCAAGUGCAGAGAGUCUACGCAAGGUAAUUUGCAAUAUGUGAUGGUUGCUGGAAAGGGAUAAAUAACAUUUGCACAGAGAUGCAGCUGCAAAUAGAUGAUUGACUACUAAAAGAUGGGGGAAAGAGGCAAAGAGCCAAAAAGAAUGUCUAUUUUAGCUAACUAUACCUUCACAAAGUCGCAAGUUCCACUAACUCCUGCUACCCGAUUAAGCUCCUGGAUAUUAAAACAAAAAUCUUAUGUCAACACAGGAGUAAUGUGAUGAACAGCAAACGCUGAAAACUGUUUACUAAUCUGAAGUUCUUAACCAUAUGCAGAAGUAGAGUAAAUCAAAUUAAGUAAGGGAACAUCAAUUAACCUUUCCCCUAGUUAUCUGGUACUCAUUGUUGUUCAAUCCAGUGACUGAAGCCAAGCUGCAGGAAACAGCAGAUCAUGGCCACAUUAGUCAUCUCUAGUUCAUAAUCCAUAGUGAGGGGAAAAAAAGAGAAGUUUCCACACUUUUGAGGACAGUAUUUUAGCAGAAAAUGGAUCAUCAACACUGAUAUUUGGGAAAAAGAAAUGCCCUAAGUAAACAAUGAGCUCAAUGCCAUCUUCACCCAAAAAAAUAACAUAUAAUGAGGAAGUACAGGGUUGAUACUUAACGACGUUGUCCUGGCACCAUUAUCCAAGAUCAAUUUACCACACGUUUAAUUUUUAAAUGUCAAAUAUUUAUUAUGCAUAUUAAAAUUUCUGGCCCAAACACAUUACAAGCAAGUGGACAGAAGGCCCAUGAAUCAAACCUAAAUUUGGCAAUUUCUCUUAGUGGUCCGCCUAUUCCACAACCGACGUCCAAAACCUACAGUAGGGAAGUGAAGUUAACACUUUCAUUCUAAUGUUGUAGUGUAGAACCAGCAGGAAAUCUUUAUGAUAGGUUUAAAUAGGAAAAUUAACCUUCAUUCCUGGUUUCACUCCAAGCUGAAGGGCAAGAAAGUGCUCAUGUCGCUUAAUGCUUUCACGUAGGGAUUCUCCAUUCCAUCUAAAACAUUCAGGAACAUGACAAGUUUCUGUCACUAGAUGUCAGGUAAUAUGCAAAACUUCAACUACGUUCUCGUAUUUCAUUACAAUGAGCACAGAUGAUCUCUCUAAAACCCUCACCUGUGAGCAAAGUGGAAGGAUUCACCCCAACCAUACUCAUAGAAGCUGGUGGCAAGAUCAUAGUAUUUAUUAACCUGAUAAGGCAUUAAUGCAUUAGUUGCUAAUAUAAAAACUGAAAAACCCAAAAUUAUCUCCAAUUAGCAUGGGGUAAAUGGGUGAUGCAGCAAACAAAAAAUUGUCACAAACUCUAAAUUUGAAGGUUUCCUUCUUUCAAACAGAAUAAAGAGGGGUUCAAUUAGAAAUAUGUGACUAAAAUACAAUUGACAUAUAGCAUAAACAGCAGAACCUAGAAUAUGUGUACUGUCUUGCUUCAACACUCAACAUGACAAUUUAAAAAGCACAAUAUUUGAGUUGUCUUAGAUAUCUCUUUGAAUCAGUCGUGCUUAGUUAAAUUUAUAAUCUAGUCAAGAAGAACUGAAGAUUAACAGCUUUUUAUCGUGCAAAAGUUGAAGCAAAUUACAGACAAACAGUUGAAGCAAAUUAUGCAGAUAUAAUCCUUUUAACUGAGCAUCUAGAAAAUGACUUGAGUAGGAAAGCAACAAAUUUACAAAAUAAGAUAUUCACAAAAAUGUAAUAAUUCUGUCUUCUGAGAGACUAAGAUGAUUUACCAUGUCUGUGUAGUUGGACUUUCUUGCUUCUUCUUUUCCUCCAUAGUAUCCAUGGUAUUUCUCAUACCUUGCAAAACCAAUUUAUUUAAAAUAAAUAACAGUAAAAUACAGGCCAAGUUCUGAGCACAAAAAUCCUUUUUCUGAGUGUCAAUAAAAUUCUUGCUAAGCAGUUGAUAUGUUUUUUAUACAGGGUAAAUAUUGAAUGUAUUGACAAAUUCUUAAUAGAAUGUGCUAAAACUGGCAUAGAUAGAGAUAGUUUAAAAGAGGAUAAGCUUGUUUUAAUAAUUCUGUAAUGGUGCCACAGUAUGUACUCCUUUCCUUGAUUAACCAUAGAGCAUAGUUUGACCUUGCACGAGAAAUCAAGGAUUAAAGAGGUGACAAAGGUGAUGAAACAUUAGAGAAGAUGACGUGGGUGCACUCUCAUUAUUGAUUCAGAAAGAUGAGCGAGCAUACUUUGUGGCAGUAACAAAUAAAAGCAAAUGAGAAGGAGUAAAAGACAUGGGAAUGGUAGAAAAAGCUCAUAUCUUAUAUUUAUUGCUGGGUCUUUGGAAUAUUAAUGGGAGGGGAGUACAAUACGUAUGGACAAGUUGGCAUGGCUUGAAGUAGCCUAUAUAGUGAUGGCCUGAUGGGCGACCACAAAGCAUCACAUUCAAUACACAUGAUAAAAACCUAGUACUAUUCUAAUAAGAUGAAAUAGGUGCAAUGCAUCAGGAGUUUUCAGAUGUCCAGAACUGCUACCACCAAAAAAGAAGAAGAAAAUUUCUGGGUGCAGAACGAAAAGUCGAGCAAACAACAGUGAGAAAUUACGAAAUCAGUGAAUCUGUGCUUUCCUUGUUUAAUCUCAGUCAUACAAACUGAAUUCUGAACCCUGAACUCUGAAGAGAUGCAUUCAAGUACAGCACAGCAGACAUGCAAGUACAGUACAUCACCAGAAUCAAACCUGCAUAUCUAAAUCUAAAUCUAAAUGCCAACAAAAAUAAAAGAGAGAGAGAAAAUAAUAAUCAACCAACGCAGAGAAACAAAGAGCAGAAGAUGCUUUACUCAUCGACAGCCGACUUGACCUCAUCCUUGGUGAUCUUCCCCCCGAGUCCAGAUGCAAGAUCCAUGGCCCCAGACCUCGACAUCGCGGCGUCGAUCACCGGAGCUCCACCUGCAACCAACAGCAGCAAAGUUCCUCACGGAAAUCAGGAGCAUCCACCUCCUCACUUUCCUCCCAAAUCCGAACAAACCACACACAUAUAUAUUCCAAAAAAAAUUCAAACGGUAGUGCGAAAGGGAUGGAUAUGAUUUAUUUUCUUCACCCUUUUUUGCCCGUCCCUUUCCCCCCAACCUCUCCUCCUCAUCUUUUCACCCCCAAACAAAGAACAAAAAUACUAGCCAAUCACCCAGGCCGCAAAUGCGGUGUACCAAUCAGCCGCCGAUCAGGCCAUGGAUGGAGGAGGCCGCACGGCGAGCAGGGCCACGAUCCCGUGACGGUAGGGCGCUCCCCCCCCCCCCCUCCUCUCUCUCCCGGGGAUGGGUCUGGAACUCGAGAUCGCGACAGAGCCGAGCCGAGACGAUGCGUGCGAUAGGAGCAAUGCAUGUGCGCCGGCGAGCGGACGCGGGAGGAGGAGGACGAGGAGGGGAGGUGCUUACCGGACGGUGAGGGCGGCGGCGGCGGCGGUCGCCGGAGACGAGAACUCCGGCCGGCGAGGAGGGAGGUGGGGAGGAUGGGGUGGCUUCUCUCCCUCGCGUGGGUUUUAUCGUGGGGUUGCAUCUCGGCUCAAUAUUGAUUAUUUUUUUCUAUUUUUAUUAUAUAAAAUAAUACUCCAUCUGUCCCCCAUAUAUAUAUAUAUAUAUAUAUAUAUAUAUAUAUAUAUAUAUAUGGGGGACAGAUGGAGUAUUAUUUUAUAUAUAUAUAUAUAUAUAUAUAAAUAAAUAAAAGAACCUGAUACUGGAUGGGAUAAUCCCUAGUUAAGUUUUUUAAGAUAAUGAUAAAACUUUCAGUAUCUAAACUAACUAGACUUGCACGCUAAAAUACCUGGAUUUGAACGAAUUAUUAUGGAGUGGCUACUUAAGCCCGGUUUCACGUAUUGAUAGGAGUAUGAAGUUUGUGUGUUAAAUUAUAUUUGUUCUAAAAUUUUGGAUUUCAUCUAAAUAAUAGGAAAAUAAUGAUUUAUUUAAAUGUUAUUAAUAUAAUCGUGAAUCCAGAUCUAACGAUUUAUGAAGUUACGAAUAUCAGUUUCAAAAAAUUUUGGAUCUAGAGCUACGUGCCUAUGUCGAAGAGGGCCCUAAUUUAUGGUUUCUAAUUUUAUUUUCUUCUAUUAUAUGAAAGAUAUAUGGCACAUCCUACUUCAAAUAUGUCUUUUAACACAUGUUAAAAAAGACAAAGGCUAAUAAAAUGCUCUAACAUCACUGAAAACUUUUAAAAGCGUGCUUUUAUCGUAGAGGAGAUGGUAAUAAAUAAAGUUUUUGAGAAAAUAAGUCCAAGCAUGCAAAUUUGUGCAUCAUCAUUCUUCUUCAACUACGAAAUACUUCCUCUAUCUCAUAAUAAGUUUAUUUUUAGCUCAUUUUAUUUGUUUUAAAAUAAAUUUAAUUUUAGAGUAACCAUUGCAUCGGAGUUUGUGAAAGUAGCGAACAAUUGUACUCCAUUUGAAGUAGAUAAAAUCGGAAAUGGUUACAUUGAGAUUUGAUAAAUUAAGGGUUUGUUAGGCAUAGCUCUAGCUCUAUCUCUCCUGAAAUUAUAGUCCAAUCAAACGGUUUCAGUUUCACCCAAAAUGCGAGCGGAGUUGGUUGAAAUACUUUUACAAAAUGAACUAGAGAUGUGAAACUGGGUUUAGGCAGCUCCACCUCCACAACUCCAUUUCAAACCCUAACUCCUAAAGUUAAAUUUAAGAUAUUGAGCCCUAUCAAAUGAGAAGUUAAAUUUAUAAGUUAGAGGCCUACCAAAUAGAAUGCGUGUUUGGUAGGGCUCCAACUCUCAAAUUUAACUCUAUGAGUUGGGGUUUAGAGUGGAGCUGUCUAAACCUAGCUCCACCUUUUUAGUUCAUUUAUAGAGCAUUUUUGUCAGCUUCACUUCUUUUUGAAUAAAGCUAAAAUUAUUUGGUUGGACUCUAGCUUCAGGAAAAAUGGAGCUAGAGCAAACCAAAUAGUUCAUAUAUGUUCUUGGCAGCUCUUUAGCUUACAAGCUUCAGCUAUAUUUAAAAUAUAAAGGUUGGUUUAAAGUUAUUUCAACUUUCUUCCGUUGUUUUCUAUUUUUCAGCAUCAUAUCAACUCAAGUCGUUAAAAGUAAAAGUAUAAAAUCCUAGAGCCCUAUACAAUUAUUUUCAUUGUUUGGGUCCCGCAUCAUAGCUUAUAUAGCCACACUAAAAAUCUCAGCGAAGGAAAAAAAAAGAAAGAAAAGAAAAACAUGCACAUCGACGAUGAACUGUCACCGUAGAGCCUAGUAGAGCAUUAUAUAGCUUCAUCUAAUUCUAAUAAGGUGCAAGAUAGUGUUUGCGAUAGAUUAAGAUGAAGAUAAAGUAGAGCUGAAAAAACUAGAAAAUUAUUAGCGCAUAACUAAUUAAGUUUAAAUAUUAUAAAUUUAAAAAAUAGAUUUGUUCGAUAUUUCAAAGCAACUUACACAUAGACAUUAUUUAGCAAUUUAAAAAACAUGUUAAUAAAAAUUAAGUUAAAAUUUAUAUGUUAAUUCGAAAAUAAUGUGCACGGUCAAGUACUUAGCUUAAAAAAGGUAACCAGCUAGUACUAGCAGGGAGAAACAGUGUCCAGCUGCUGCUGCGGCAAGAGCCUGGAAUGAGGUGGAUCCUGCCAAGCCAGCAUUUUGAAGACAUCAUAGCUAGGCUGUCGUGCGUCCAAAAAUAUAGCAAUGUUGGCGAAAUAAAAUAGUCACAAACCAACAACAUAGCGCCAUAGCGAUAUAUUAGGCGUUCAAAAAUAUAGCUUCCCUACCAACUCAUUAAUCCCUUGGUUCUAGAUUUAAUACGGAUACUUAUAUUUAUAACUAACUUUUUUUUAUGGUAGGUAACGUACCUGUCUUCUGAAGAUGAUUAUAGAGAUAGAGUGUGCUUAUGUACACAUUAUGAACAUCUACAUUUAUAUAUACUUUUAAAAGCACUUUAAUACACUAUAUAAUAGAGUUAUUUUUUAACCGUACGUGUAGUCGAACUGGUGAGCCAGCGAUCGAUCACUAUUUUAUCUAGAGAUGGUAACGGGGCACCACCCUAUUCACUACUCGUGACUCAUGAGCACGCAUCAAUCAGAUGAAAUUUUUACUUAUCAGAAAUUGGUAAAUUGAGUUGGAAAAAUUAAUCAAACCUAUAAAUAAAAUUCACAAUUAAACUGCAGUAAGGCCUGCCACCUUUGAAACACGAGAAUUGUUUUUAUGCCUAACGGAAUUUAACUAACUAAUUCAUCUGAAAAUAUCGUAAAAUUUGCGUGAAUAAUUAAGGAGACCGUGGCAACAAAGAUGUGCAGCUGCGUAUUCAUUUAUCAAAGAAGGAAAAACGUAAAUAGCUGAAGUUAAUUUGGUGUAAUAUAAUAUAAUAUCAAAAUAUAAUAAUUAGUAUUGGAUUGAACAUAUACCAACACUACAAAUUUAUCAUAAUAUUAUAGUUUGAAAUCGAGGGAGUACUUUGUUAACGACAAAUGGCGUAUACCAUCAGUACAGUACUAGUACUACUUAAUUCGACCGUUUGCUGACAAGGAAUUGAAGCAAAAACGACAUGAAAUCGGAGAGAGCUGACUGCACUAAUCAGAUUCACACAUAUUUUUCAUUUCUAUCGUAUCAAUCCAACUUGCAUUGAUUGCUUUUAGUUGAAGCGGUGAAUUCAUGUUUUGGUGUGUAUGAAAUCAUCAUGCAGGUAGUUGGGCGAUUUUGUGAAAAUUACGAAGAUGAUAUACGUACCAUAACGCAGUCGGAUGGCAGAUAGCGUAGUUCGUAUUCGUACAGCAGCUCUAGUAAAUUAUUUGUCCGAUUUUAAUAGUUAAGGGUAUACAAUGUCUGGCUUUCGAGUUUAUAAGGGUGUAAUUCGAUCGACCGCAAUAGUUCCAAGGGUAAAUCGUACAUUUUCCUAAUUAUAAUGAUGGUGGUAUGUGGUUUGUCCUUCAUUAGCCUUCAUCUUUCUCUGAUCUCAUCUUCGUCUCUCACGUCAAAUUAGGAUCCUCUGAUUUUGAAGUCACAACUUCUUUAUUUCUGACAUGUAAAUCCGAGUUUUUUUUGCCAUAAAAAAAGUCACAUGACAUCAACCUUAGAGGAUCAUGUGUCUCUUGCGCCACUACCGUCGUCCCUCUUCUUCCUUUACUUACCUUCACGCCUUCUCUAAAAUUAUACCGCCCAUCUUCUCAUUGCUCUUUGGCCGAAUGUGAUACUAACAAUAUUCUCCCAAUAAACUUGGAUCUUCAAGAUCUUCCUAGAUUAUUAUAGCUGCAUACUCCCUUCGUAUAAAAAACUAAUCUAGUAUAUAGUAUCGGAUGUGACAUAUCAUAAUACUGUGAAUUUAGAUAUACAUAUAUCUAAAUUUAUAGUACUAGUUUGGCUUUUUUACGAGACGAAAGUAGUAUGUAUAUAAAGAAGCAGCCGUAUGUUCCUGUUCAAAACGAGGACAAUAGAUAUAGCAGAAACAAUGGUGACACGACUACGAGCCACAUGUGCUAUGAGUGGGUCAUGGAUGUUGGCAUCAUGGUAUGGUAUAUACUUACCGCAGCUGUCACCAGAGAUGAUAAUUUCCUACUACAUUCGUUAUAAUUUAAAAUAUACUAAUAUAAUAUUAAAUUAGACAUAUUAUAAUAUUACGAAUCUAAAGUUCGGGAUAGAUAUGAUCUAUCUAAAUUUAUAAUAUUGGAAUGUGUCUAAUUUAAUAUUAAAUUACUAUAUUUUAAAAUGGAGAGAGUAAGUAGUACUACGGCUGAGGACAAAUGUAUCGGCAGAUCAGAUCAGAUCGUGAGUGCAGAGCAAAGCUAGGGUGCGACAAGGAAACCAACAAAAGAUUCUGCAUCUGUAUAUCUAUUUUAGAAAUAUAUAAGAAAGGUUCGGGUAUUUCGGUUAGCACCAUAAGGUAUGUGUGCUAACGAGUCUCGCUUCUCUUUUAAUAAAUUUGGAUAUGAGAGAUAUUUCUCUAAUAUCCAGCAUAUUUCAGAAAUACAUCACAAAUACAAUGCAAUGCUGUGCUAGCUGCUACAGCUAUCCAGAUACACAACGUACGUAUGCUGCAUGUAGCACAACCUUUGUCCUCAGGAUGGCAACAGUACCAUAUGCCAGAAAAUCAGACUGAAUUCUUCGGUGUUGCCGUCUUAGAACUUCUUUGAAAGCUACCUCUGAUGAACCUUUGUACAAAUAAAAGUUGUGGCAGAUAGGGUUUAAAAAGCGCUAGUGUGGUACCAAAUCCAAUAUAUAAGGUGCUAAUUAACAUUUACUCUCUCUUUUCCUGGAACUAGUUUUUUCCAACUACUACUCUCUCAUUUUCCACACAAGUAUAUUUCCAAACGGUUAAACAACGAUAUGUUCUUUUUUAAAAGAAAUCUAUAGGAAAGCUCCUUUACAAAAUCAUAUUAAUCCAUUAUCUAAGAAUUUUAUAACUAAUUUAAUUAAUUAUAUGUUUUUUAGAUAACUUAAACAACUUUAUUAACCAAGACAGAAAGCAGGGGAUACACCCCAAUACAUCGCAGAAGGAUACAACUUAAAGCAAAGCAAGAAGCCAUCUCUAACAAGGUAGAAGCUAACCAAUCUAAGGAAGCUAACUUCCAGAUGAGACUAAACAACAGUAGAGAAUCAGAUCGACAGAGUUCUGCGGCAAAGCCGCGACGACUGAAUCCUUGGGUCUCCAUUGACAUGCUCACCGCUUGACAGACUGGAAGGCUCCUACAGCUGUCACCACGGAAACGACACAAAUCGGAGGUUUGGUGCUGAGCCGUAGAUCUUGGUGUAGACGUCACCGGACUCAGCGAAUUGGUUCCACGGAGUCUGCCGUUAGAUAUGCUAAUGGACCAUUUUUUUCGUGCGUGGGAAAGGAGUGUUCAGACAAGCAAACGAUGCUAGCUAAUAGCAAUGUUUUCUUUCCAGAAGGUAGCAUGGGUGUCCUUAUGGGUCUUAUUCCAGUAUUUACUGUUCGAUGGCUAAGUGUCCUCAGGGAUGGGCAGUGAAAAUGCAAUUCCUAGCAACCAACAAAAUAUUUAAUUAGAUUUUUUUUCUUUGUUUCAUGUCAUUUGCUUUUUCAUUGGAAUUAUUAUUUGCUUGAUAACAUACCAAAAAAGAAAUCUAUCUAGCUACCCAAAUGAUCAAAUAUGCAACUAGCACAGACAUCAGACCUGUUGAUAUAAUUGUCUUUUAGCUUCCCUUUUUAUAUAUUUUGUUGGAGAUCUGGCUGCAACUAUCCCAUUUUCUAUGUCCAUAAUGUUUUGGUUCUGGCACUGUGCGUUACACGUGGUAUGGCAUAUCAGUUCAAUUAGAAAAUGACAACAGUACCUCUACCACUGGGACCGGGAUCCUCUCUAUCAUCAAAGGCAGAUAGCCAAAGUUUUGAUUUGGGUUAUUUGGAUAUAUUGCAUUAUAAAUUUGACGGAUUUGAAAUAGUUUGGGUCUAUGCUACAGUGCUUGAUAUCAACGGGCAAGUACUGGCAAAUUGUUUGAUUACGCUGCCGGAAUUGGAUUGUUUGAGAGGCAACCGUAACUUCACUAACUCAAACACGUGACAACUAUUAAUUUGCUGAUACUCAUAGUAGAAAUGAUUUGGACCUUCCACAUUUUCUUAUCUAACGAAACAAACCUAUUUAUGCCAUCACCAUAAUUACCAUUAGAAUUCGUGGGUUAAUAAUAUUGUUUCUACUGACAGAAGAGCAUAUGAAUCAAUGGUUUAGAUAAUCUAUGUUGAGUGUUGACAGUAUUGCUGGUAGCAGAUUUGCACCGGUGGAUGAUAGUAUUGUCUUGUCACAACAAUUUGGUUGGCGUGGUAAAAAAGUUUCAGAUUCAGAAAUAAGUUUUGAGAGGGUUUAUUUUUAAAACUAAAAAUUAAAUAGUUAAAAAGGUUUUUUAAUAAAAAAUCCACCGGUAGAUUGGUUGCAAAACUUGGCUACAAAAGCAUAGU